rnacentral:lncRNA from 1 species
GAUGGGUGAACUAAGUAACUACACUUCUGGACAUUCACCAGCUGGCCAGAAGCUUGCUGGUACUGCUCUAAAAUCUGCAUGACUUUCUUCAAGGAUGUAGCCGAGCCAUUCGCAAAGACCAGAACGUCGUCGGCAAACGCCAGGUGUGUCACAGGGGGACAUCCCCUGGGUACUGUGUAACCCAAAAAGCCAGAUUGAGCUGCGAGACUGUUCAGCCCCCUUGACAAUACCUCCGCUCCAAUAACGAAUAAAGCCGGAGACAAAGGGUCUCCCUGACGGAUACCUCGACUAGAUUUAAAAAACCCAUGUGAUGCCCCAUUAAUAAUCACUGAAAACCACACGUUUGAAACCAACCUCCAGACCAUGUCAAUGAAUCGUUCCCCAAACCCAAAUUUGCGCAAGACACCGACAGUGAAACCCCACGAGACUCUGUCAUACGCUUUAGCCAUGUCUAACUUGAAAAUUACAUUUCCCCCUCUAGCCCGGUGUCUAAAUCCCGACAUCAAUUCCUGGGCCAGUAGAUAGUUCUCAGUUAUAUUCCUACCCUUGACAAAACCCGUCUGUUGCGGUGACACCAGUUUUGGCAAUAUCCCCACAAGCCUAUCCGCCAAAAUUCUAGAUAACACUUUAUUAAUAAAAUUGCAAAGGCUAAUAGGCCGAUAUUUCGAAAAGUCCUGAGGAUUUGGUACCUUCGGGAUUAGAACAAUAGAUGUAGAAGUAAUAAAUCUAGGCAGCUCCGCCCCACAGAAAAAACUCAGCACUGCUUGAUAGACAUCAUGUGCAAUAAUCUCCCAUGCAAAAGUGAAAAACUUACCUGUAAAGCCGUCUGGGCCUGCCGAACUGUCCCCAUCUAUAGCAAAGAUCACUCUUUUCACCUCCUCAAGGGACGGACAUGUUUCAAGUGUCUCAUUAUCAUCCCCCGUGACAACACGCGGAAUCAGGUGCAAUAAGUCCCCUGAUGCCCCUCCUGGCUCCGAGAACGGCUCCGAGAAAUACCGGACUGCCAUGGAGGCAAUCCCCUCAUCGUCCUCAACCCAUGCCCCACUCUCAUCCUGCAUCCUAUGAAUCGCCCCUUGCACCCUUCGUUGCUGUACGGUAGCAUGAAAAUACUUAGAGUUCCUAUCCCCGUGCCGGAGCCAUUUGACGCGAGUCUUUUGACUCCAAAAUCGCUCUUCGUUGGACAACGCCAGCCGCAAUUUUGCUUGAGCCUUUUGCAGCUCAAUUUGAGCGUCCCCCGAUUCAUCCUCCUCCACUCGAUUUUCCGCUGCUAACAAGUCCGAUUCUGCCCUUUGAACAGCAAUAAAAAUAUUUCCAAAAGCCUCCUUAUUCCACUCCUGUAUCACCCGUCGGGCCUUUACUAAUUUGGAACAUAACUUCCGUAGGGGGGAGCCCGUACACUCUAACUGCCAUGCAUUUCGAAUAACCUCCAGCAGAUCCUUUCUGUCUGUCCAGAGAUUCAAAAAGCGGAACGGCCUAGGCUUAUUAUCCAUGCGUGAUGCCAAACCAAUCCUCAGCGGGGCAUGAUCUGACGGAUGUCUAGCCAGAUGGACUACUGACACAGAUGAAACGGCAUCUGAGAAGAUUCCAUUAAUUAGUAGCCUGUCUAGACGCUUCCAAAUUCGUUCGCGGCCUCUCCGAUUAUUACACCACGUGUAGCUGGAUCCAGAGAAACCCGCGUCAAAGACCUCCGCCUCCUCCAUGAAUGACAGUAGCUCCAUACCCUCUGCUCUAGCAAAUGGUCUCCUCCCUCGCUUCUCGUGAGGGUCUAUGAUCACAUUAAAGUCACCACAGACACACCACGGAAGUGAGGUGGGUUUGUCAGUCAACAGGUCUUGCCAUAAAAUUCGCCGCUCCUCCAUCGUGCACCGGGCAUGCACAAACGAGAAGCACAGCGACCUUGGUAGCCACGGGUGAUGCACCAGUAACAUAAUGUGCUGUGAAGAAUUACCUAUUAUAGUACAUGUAAUCGGAGCACUAAACAGCACCCAUAUGUCUGCAGACAAGUUACCCACUACAGAAUCAAAUGGUAACCGCAUUUUAAUAGAAUCUAUUUGGGACAUUGCUAGCUUCGGUUCACAAAUAGCAACAAAUUUCAAGUUAUGCAAACGAACUAGCUUAAUCAGACGACGCAGGUUGGGGGGUUUGGAGACCCCUCUAAUAUUCCAAAAUAGCCCACUAAUCAUGGGAUAAAGGUUGGAAAGAGUUUUGAGAUAAUGUUACCGAUGACCGCAGCUGCCUAUCUGAUAGGAACUGAGCCCGAGCGCCUUUUUUCCUUGUUCGCCUAUCCCGUUGGACCAGUACGUCGGCUUGAUCGAUGUUGAGCUCCACCAUUAUGGCGGAUACCGGAUGUGCACCGCCGAUUAAGUCCUCCUCCUCAGCUGCACUUAAAGACCCUUGUUCAGCUAGCACCAUAGCCCCAUCCCCUAUAUCUUGCUCCUGCCAUUGCUGCUCAUUUGGGAUAUCAUCACAGGCAGUACCCGCAACUGCUUCGUUCAAGCCCUUUGAAGCAGAGUUGCUGCUAGUGCCGCUGGUGUCCAUCGCCCUCUUCUCUCCAAGUUCCGCUGCCUGCUCUCUUCCCCCAUUUGGAGCCAGCUCCACCACUGCCAAAUUAGCAGCUGCAACAUCCACCGUCCCCACCGUUGCUCGAUCCUCACUUGCUCCAGUUGCGGCAACAGAUUCUGUCAACCCAGAUGCUGGAGCGGUGACUGAUGCCCCAGGUGCGGCAACAGCCUCUGCUGCCUUUUGGACUCCUAACGUCUGCCCACAGUUAGGAUCAUCAUCUGCCAUCGCUGUCUGCAUUGUUGCAGCAAAAAUAUCUGCUGCACGUUGGGUCCCCAACACCUGCCCACCGUCUCUUGCAUCAGCAACCAUCACGUGCUGCCGCACCUCCGCACCCAGACAUUGCGCCUAACCUUUAGUCUCUCAACUAUUUUGUUUAAGUGAAAUAGCACCUAACCUUUAUUUAUUUGGCCAGUUUCGUCCUUGUUUGACUUAUCUACCCAAUUUAUCAACCUUGUGCACUAACAAUCAGGGGCAAAAUAAGAAAUUUAGUCAAUGCCCUUACAAAAAUGAUAGAAGAAAUAGAUAUUUGACAAAAAAUUAAAAACAAAAUUGAAUCAUGUAGAGAACAAAAAACAUAAUGUUUCUUACGGAGAAAAAAAUGGAGCUGAUGCCUAAAAUCUCACAUGGAUCCAACUCAGUCCAUUGAAUGGAGAAAAGGGAAAAUAACACAACAAGAAUAUGCUAAAAGUUGGAAAAAUGUGCUAUAAUUAUGAUUACUCCUUUAAGAAAUAAAGCUGAAAGAAGCUCAAUUUCUUUUUGUUUUCCAUAUUAUUCAAUUUCGUUGUCGAUUUUUUGAUAGAUGUAUGUUUUUUUAUUGUUUUAAUAAGGGCUGUGAUUGGAUUUCCUAUUAUGACAUUGGCUGUCGAUACUAAACUUGAUAAAUUAGAUGGAUCAUCCAAAUAAAGAUAAAAUUGGCUAUGUAAACAUUGGUGAGGGACUAUUUCAGCUUAAGAAAAAUAGUUGAGGGACUAAAUUGGCUUAUAAUAAAAUUAGGGACUAUUUCAGCUUUGUAAAAAUAGUUGAGAGACUAAAUUGACUCGUAAAAAGUUUAGGGACUAUUUUGACAUUAACGAAAUAGUUUUGGGACUAUAAACAUUAGGUCGCAAUGUUGAAAUAUCAAAACCCGUGUUUUGGACCAAAACUCAUAGAACUUCUUCACGUCGCUAACGAAAUUUGAUUCUGAAGUAAUGCUAAUUUUAGUUAUUAUUUGUUUCCUUGUUGGACUUCUGUCUUUUUGGUUACAAUAUUAAAAUGUAUCCAUAAUUUUCAAUUCCAAAAUUGUUGAAUAUUUAAACGAAUUCUAGAAAGGGCACUGAGAGCCAAAGUCUUAUUCAAACAGCCAGCCAUCUGAGAGUACGUAUUUUUUUAUUAUCAGGUUCAAUAUGUAUCUAUUGCUAUUUUUGAAUGAUCAGCCAUGACUAAGAGAAUGAAAUAAUUCACUUGUUUUUUUUAGAUAUGAAUUCAUUACUGUCAGUAGUCUAUAAAUACACUUAUUGCUCACCAUUCUUUGCACCGCAAAAUCUUUUCAAGAUCCAUCAAACCCUCCUGUUCUUGAUCUUGUCCAUUUGUGAAAACACAAAUUAAAGCAUCAUGGCCCCUAUCACUUGUAGUGCUGAGAUGACCUCCCCAAUCCCUCCUGCAAGGUUGUUCAAGGCCGCCAUCCUUGAUGACCACCCUUAAUGCCACAGGCUAUUAAGAGUGUGGAAAUCCUUGAAGGAGAUGGUGGAGUUUGAACCAUUAAGUUGAGCACAUUUGGUGAAGGUUAGAUGUCAUAUUAAUGUAGAACCCAAAUUUUAAGGAUCUAAUAAUAAUCAAUGCGUGCAGGGUUACAGAAUUGGUGGGAUAAAACAAAUACUCAAAAUAUACGUGGAAGAAAAGAAAAUAAUAAAUUCAACUCACAAUAUUAUUGAAAUUUCAAACAAUGAAGAAAAUCAUACCACAAUAAAUUCAGCUGGUUCUAAUAAUAAUCAAAGCAUACAAGGUUACAGAAUUAAAAGGAUAAAACAAACACUCAAAAUAUAUGUGGGAGAGAAGAAAAUAACAAAUUCAACACACAAUAUUAUUGAAAUCUCAAACAAUGAAAAAAGUCAUACCAUAAUAGAAAACCUUGCUAAUUCUUCUAGAUUCUUUCUCUUGAGAAACCAACCUAAAUAAUGUCCUAUUUAUAAUCUACCAAACUUGUUAGGAAAGAAACCACUUGCAUAAGAAAUUACCAAAUAAAACAGAAAUUCCUAAAUCACACAACUACUAAAAACAUAACUCAAAUAAAACUAAAAAUAAAUAAAUAUUUCUAGGCUUAGUUUAAUUUGUCAACAUUGCCUCCCUUAAACCAAACUAUCCAUUGAGAUAGGUUCAACACCUUCUUGAGCAAUAAUUUCUAUGUUGUAGUACACUUGACAUGAAACUCUAACUUGUUACCAGUUAUUAAUUUCAUUUUUACAUGUAACAGUGGACGCACUAUGUAUUUUGUAAAAAAUUUCUCAGUAAUUUCUUCUUGAUCAAAGUACUCACUUAUACAAACCCAUUCAUCACCAGAAUCACCAUAUUUGCCACCAAUGAAAGUGCCUAAAAAUACAAAAUCAUAGAUUGCUUUUUGGCUAAAAUUAUCAUCACCAAAUAAUUCAAAAUAACCACUACUACAAUCAUCCAAAAUUUUCAUACUGUCAGUCAACUCUUUUGGAGUAAAAUAUUUUUCAAUUCCGAUGACAUCCAUAUCUAUAAAAUCAAACAUUCUCCCAUCACUUUGAAGAGAGUCCGCAACCAACGAAUUUUUCAACAACAAUUUCAUGUUCUCUUCUCUUAUCAAAUCAAAAUUUUCUUCUUCUUUUGUCAAAUUACCAUAUUAUUUUUUUCAACAAAUUCAUUACUUCUAAUUUCUCCAAACAAGGUACGCAAAUCAAAACUAUCAAUUGAUUCAAAAUUUUUGAUAUCACCCAUAUUAUCAACAAAUCUAUCAUUUUUAAAAUCCACAAACUAAUUCCAACAACUAGAUUUCGGUUUGAAAGCAUAAUUUCUCUUAAUCGUGUGCAAAACAUAGUAAAUAUCCUUCCAAAAUCUCUAAAGUAUUUUAGUAUGACCAAUAAAGGCUUUAUAAAUACUUUCUGCCAUUAUUUUACGCAUCACUUGAAAGAAUAAUUGUGCCUUUUUCUUAAAAACAUGUUUUGCCAACAUACUUGCAUCAACCCAACAAAGAAUAUCAUCCAAAUUACAUUGUUUGACAUAUUUUUCCACUGUUAAAAUCCAACCAAAUAUGUAUGUCUAUUUGUGCUUAUAGGAGUCAAUAUGAAAAAUUUUUCACCGUCAAUCAGAUCUUUAUAAUAUUCUAUUAUUUAACAAUUUGUAUACCUGAAUAAAUUUUUUUCCUCCAUCCUGUCAUGUUUUCUUGGCCGUUCUGGUUGACUAAACAAAUUAUUGUUGUAUGUAUACCUAUGCUCGUCAAACCUCAUUCGUGUACACUCGUAAGGAGUGGUUCUGAGCUUAUUGUGAAUGCUCAGUACCAAGAAGUAGAAGAGAGAAUGCAUAAGAGAGAAUUAACUUGGCUAAAGAAUUAGGAAACAAAUGAGGGAUUUUUUAAGAAAUUAAUUCUCCAACUGCCACUUUUGGAAAUUUUCUAUCAACAACUAGCUACCAAAACACUAGCACAUAGUAAGAAAUUGGGAUAAUUUCAGAAACCUCGCUUGAGGCUUUUAAUAAUCUCAAGAAGCUCCCCUCAAAAUUUUAAAAUUACACGUACCAUUCCUAUUGGUGCAAAAGUACUCUACUACCCCUAAUAGGAUACUCAAAAGACUUUUUUAUGGGAAAAAAGAAGGCCAGAAAUCCAAGCGAAAACAAAAAAAAAUCAAUUUCUUUUCUCUUUUAGCCUUUUACGCUUGUGCCUUCUACCUUUGCUCACUUUCCCAUGCCAAUCUUCCUAUAACCACUUUCCUAAUCCCUUUUCCCCAACUUUUCUUCUCUACUUCAAGACCAAUUUUUGUCCAUCAACCUUGGCUUGUGCUUUGUUCCAUUCCCUUCCCUUCUCCUUCUUUGAUUUCCCUUACAUCUCCCUUUCUCUUUGCAAAAGUGACUAGGCUCAUCUCUCUCCUUUUUUUCCCCAUAUUUUAAGUGUAGUGGGUUUGAUUAUUUUGCCUCUAUUUUAUUUGAUUUUGGUGGAUUAUGGGUGAUAAAACUUGGUGAUGUCACAUAUUAAAAGUUUGAUAGAUGGAUAUUGGGCUUUAGACAAUGAUUUGCUGAAAAAAAAUGGCCGCAAUGAGAGGAAGAGGCAAGGGGAUUUGAGUGUGGGGGUUGAUUGUUGAUGAAUUGUUGUUUUGGACAAAAUUUGAGGUUGAGUUUUAUCAAAUUUGGUAGCAAGUGGCGAGAUUUGUUUAGGUUGCGGGAAAUAAAUUGGAUUGUGGUUUCUUGGGCAUCCACAGUCGUUGGAAUUGGUUUUGAUUCAAAUUAGGGUGGUUACUUGAUUUUCCUAAUAGUGUUGCUUAAAAGCACACGAUCAUCAAAAUUCCUUAUUUUUAUCUUUUAUUUUUUUUGUGGAAAAGAUUUCAUGACUUUCGUGAUAGUCUAAUUUGGAAGAAGGCAAUCAAGGGAUGCAAUCAACAUUUAGCAAAAGCUUUUGUUGUUUUCUUUGUAAUUUUUAGGGUAAAAAGGGUAGUUUAGGUUAUUUGAAGGAAAUGAUAGUCUAUUGGAUCUAUUUUGAAGCAUAAAUAGUGAACAUAAGGGAGGUUGGUGUUAUUUCUAAAAUCUAAGGGGAAUUGUCUGAAAUUGUCCGAGACCUCGGAGGAGGUUUUCAAAAUUAUCCGUAAGAAAUCAAAUGCGAAACUUGAUUAGUACACGCACACACGACACCGCACCACGCCACGCGUGUGUUGAGGACUGAUGUCCGUAACCAACGACAAGCAGGUUUUCAAUUUUUUUUUCCUUUCCUAGAUUCAAAGAUGGUGUCAGCUUCUAUUAUUGGUGAGCAGGAGGAAAUCCACAAUAUACAUUACACAUCACCCAUAUUCUUUUUAAUUGAACAAUGUAUGAAAUUAUGGUGAUUCGAAAUUAAAUUAUAUGUUUAUUGGGCAACGAAUCCAAAAUAAGAGUUGGAAAUGUAUUGUGACAACAAUUGUUAACUUUGGCCACAAAUGAUCAAAAUAAAUAUUUAAGGUUUAAUAUGACAUUAUGGGUUCAAAAUAUAGUUACUUGUUAUGAAACAACUAAAAGUGCGGAUGCCCAUUUGUAUUCUCAAAAGGAUCAAUUCACAAUUCAUUGCUCCCAAGAGGAUUAAUUCAUAAUUCAUUGCUAUAUUAUGUAAAGGAAUUACAUUGGAUGAACGGUUUCAAUCCAUAAGAGCUAUUCAUGUAUUGGAUGAACCAUUUCAUAUGGCUAUUUAUAUUCUUGUAGUAAUGAGUGUUUAAUAGAAUUGUUGUACCUCUAAUUUUGUAGUACCUAUAUAUAGAGGUACCUUAGCACCUCUUGGGUGUACUUUUUGAUUAGUUGGAAUAAUAAGAAAAUCAUUCUCUAUUUUUGUACUUCUUUCUCUAAUAUUUCAAUUCCUAUUAUAGUAGUUCAUUUUUUUUUUAGUUUUACAACACGUUAUCAGUACAAGUCUCUACUUUUGAACAAAAAGGUGAAAACGGAGUCUCUACCUUAAAAAAAAGUGAAACACGAGAUUCUGCCGAAAUUCUGCCCGUAUUUUUCCAGUAACUUCUGUCUACUUAUUGAGAAACGGAUGCCAAAUAUUUGGGAUUAAAUAAUGGUGAUGAUGACAUUUGUCUCAUUGAUAGUGCUACUACGCACACUAUAUUGAAAAAUAAGAAAAUUUUCUUGUAUGAAAAUGAGAGAGACAAAUGUUAAUACCAUAAGUGGUAGUGCAAAAUUGAUUGAAAGAUUCGAAAGAGCCACUCUAUUUCUUACUGAAGGGACUAAAAUUGUCGUAAAUAAUGCACUACUGUCUCCCAAGUCUCGGAGAAAUUUAUUGAGUUUUAAAGAUAUCCACGAAAACAGAUAUCAUAUCGGGACAAUAACUGAGACAAAUAAAGAAUUUUUAUUAAUCAAAAGUAUCAUUUCUAGGCAGAAAUACGUAGUAGAAAAAUUACCUUCUUUUUCUUUUGGCUUAUAUUAUGCACAAAUUAGUGCAAUUGAAAUUUAUCACCUAGUAGACCAGAAGUCUACUCAUCCCAAUAAUUUUAUCAUUUGACAUGAUCAUUUCAGAAAUCUUGAAUCUAUAAUGAUGAGACGAAUAAUCGAGAAUUCACAUGGUCACUCAUUGAAAAAUCAAAAGAUAUUAAAAGCAAAUGAAUUUUCCUGUGUUGCUUGUUCCCACGGAAAAUUAAUUAGACCAUCACCCGCUAAAGUUGGGACUGAAUCCCCUACAUUUCUAGAACGAAUUUAUGGUGAUAUAUGUGGAUCAUUUCGAUAAUUUAUGGUGCUAAUUGAUGUAUCAACUGGAUGGUCACAUGUAUGUUUAUUAUCUACUCCCAACCUAGUGUUUGCGAGAUUGCUUGCUCAAAUAAUUAAAUUGCGAGCACAAUUUUCAGACUAUCCAAUAAAGAAAAUUCAUCUAGAUAAUGCUGGUGAAUAUUCAUCACAUACUUUUGACGAUUAUUGCAUGCCCAUUGGAAUAACUGUUGAACAUCUUGUAACUUAUGUUCACACAUAAAAUGGUCUAGCCGAAUCAUUUAUUAAACGGGUACAAUUAAUUGUUAAACCAUUGUUGAUGAGGUCUAAACUACUUUCAUCUGCUUGCGAACAUGCUAUAUUACAUGCAGCAACACUUGUGAGAAUUAGACCGACAAGUUAUCAUACUUAUUUUCCCCUACAAUUAACUUUUGGUGAUAAAUCCAAUAUUUUUUAUUUACGAAUAUUUGGUUGUUCGGUUUAUGUUCUAGUUGCACUGCCCCAACGUCGUAAAUUGGGCUCGCAAAAAAGAUUGAAAAUAUAUGUCGGGUAUGAAUCACCUUUAAUUAUUAAGUAUAUGGAACCAUUGAUAGGUGAUUUAUUUACUGCGAGAUUUAUAGAUUGUUAUUUUGAUGAAUCACAUUUUUCAACAUUAAGGGGAGAUAAAAAUCGACCAAAAAAGGAAAUCACUUUAAAAAUAUCAUUGAAUUUCUCGAUUCUCGUACCGAAGUAUGUGAACUAGAAGUUCAAAAGAUUACACAUUUGCAAAAAAUUACAAAUCAAUUACUGGAUGCAUUUAAUGAUUCCAGAAGAGUUACUAAAUCACAUAUUCCUAUUGAAAAUGCUCCAAUUAAAAUUAAUGUCCUUGAAAGACAAAUUACAAGUGCUAAUGAGUCUAAAGUGCACCUGAAGUGUGGGAGAUCUCUUGGUUCCAAAGAUAAAAAUUCUCGAAAGAAAAGAGGAGCAUAUGAAUCAACAAUUAGUGACAAAAUUCAACCUCUUGAAGAGAUCGCUCCUAAAGAACCAAUUCUUGAGAAGAAUGAAAUCAUAGAAAAUUCAAUAAAUUUUAUCACUUCAGGAAAAAGUUGGAACCGAAAAGAAAUAAUUAUUAAUAGUAUUUUUGCAUAUAAUGUAGCACUUGAUAUUAUGGUAGAGAAUGAGGAUCACGAGCCUAAAUCGAUUGAUGAAUGUCGACGUAGAAAUGAUUGGCUAAAAUGAAAAGAUGCGAUCCAAUCUGAAUUGAACUCACUGGUUAAAAGAAAAGUUUUUGGACCUAUAGUCCAAACACCUGAAGGUGUAAAGCCAGUAGGAUAUAAGUGGGUAUUUGUGAGAAAAAUGAAAUCGUAAGGUAUAAAGUAAUACUUGUAGCCUAAGGAUUUUCACAAAGGCCUGGAUUUGAUUAUGAUUACACUUAUUCACCUGUAGUAGAUGCUAUCACAUUGAUAUUUUGUGAGUUUUGCAGUACAUGAAAAAUCAGAUAUGCAUCUAAUGGACAUCGUUACUGCAUAUUUAUAUGAAAAUCUUGAAAAUGAUAUUUAUAUGAGAAUUCUCGAAGGAUUCAAUAUGCCUGAAGCAUGCAAAUCAAAUCCUAAAAAUAUUUAUUUCAUUAAAUUACAAAGGUCUUUGUAUGAAUUCAAACAAUGUAAACGCAUGUGGUACCACCUCAAUGAAUGUUUAACUAAAGAAGGCUAUACCAAUGAUCCAAUAUGUCCAUGUGUCUUUAUAAAAAAAAUGGAUCAAAUUUUGUGAUAAUUGUUGUAUAUGUUGAUGAUCUAAAUAUGAUUGGAACUCCUGAAGAGAUUCAAAACAGUGUUGAAUAUUUGAAAAAAAAUUUGAGAUCAAAGAUUUUGGAAAAAUAAAAUUUUGCUUUAGUUUACAAAUUGAGCAUUUGAAAAGUGAAAUUUUUGUCCACCAAACUGCUUAUACCUGGAAGGUAUUAAAGCGAUUUUAUAUGGAUAAGUCACAUACAUUAAGUAUUCCAAUGGUCAGAUCAUUAGAUCCUAAUAAGGAUCCUUUAGACCGUGAGAGGAAGAUGAAGAGAUACUUGGUCCUAAAGUACCAUAUCUCAGUGCAAUUGGUGCACUACUGUAUCUUGCUAAUUGUACAAGACCUGAUAUAUCAUUUGCAAUAAAUUUAUUAGCAAGAUUUAGUUCCUCGCCCACAAGACGACAUUGGAAUGAUAUUAAACAUAUUUUUCGUUAUCUUUAAGGAACAAUUGAUCUUGCGUUAUUUUAUUCAAAUAAAUCUAAACUUGAAUUGCUUGGUUAUGCUGAUGUUGGAUAUUUAACUACUCUGCAUAAAACAAAAUCUCAGACUGGUUAUCUAUUUACAUAUGGAGGUACAACCAUUUCUUGGCGAUCUACAAAGCAAUUAUUAGCCACCACCUCAUCGAAUCAUGCUAAAAUAAUAGCAAUUCAUGAGGCUAGUCGAGAAUGUGUUUGAUUAAGAUCAAUGACCUACUAUAUCCGGAAGAGUUGUGGAUUAUCCUCUGAAAAAGAAAAUCCUCCAACUAUAUUUUAUGAAGAUAAUGCAGCUUGUAUAGCUCAAUUGAAAGGAGAAUAUAUUAAAGGAGAUAGAACGAAACAUAUUUCACCAAAUUCUUUUUUACUCAUAAUUUACAAAAGAAUAGUGAAAUUGAUGUGCAACAAAUCCGAUCAGAUAAUGAUUUAAUAGAUUUAUUUACUAAUGCAUUGCUGACUGCAAUAUUUGAGAAAUUGGUAAAGAAUAUUGGAAUGCGAUGACUAUAAGAUCUCAAAUGAUAUUUGCAUCAGGGGAAGAAAUCAAUACACAAGAAUAGUGUACUCUUUUUUCUUCACUAGAACUUUUGUCCCGUUGGAUUUUUUUCUAGUAAGAUUUUAAUAAGACAUAUUCUUUGUGUAAUGAAUAUUCAAUGGGGAGUGUUAUGAAACAACUAAAACUGUGGAUGUCCAUUUGUAUUCUCAAGAAGAUAAAUUCAUAAUUCAUUGCUUUCGAGAGAAUUAAUUCAUAAUUUAUUGCUACAUUAUGUAAAGGAAUUACAUUGGAUGAACGGUUUCAAUCCAUAAGAGCUAUUCAUGUAUUGGAUGAACCAUUUCAUAUGGCUAUUCAUGUUCUUCUAGUAACGAGUGUUUAAUAGAAUUGGUGUACCUUUAAUUUUGUAGUACCUAUAUAUAGAAGUACCUGGCACCUCUUGGGUGUACUUUUUGAUUAGUUGGAAUCAUAAAAAAAUCAUUUUCCAUUUCUGUACUUCUUUCUCUAAUAUUUCAAUUCCUAUUAUAGCAGUUUUUUUUUUUAGUUUUACAACAUUACUCAAAUAAGAGAGUUAUUGGACUACAUGUUUAUUGACCUCUACUAACUUAUUUAAGGUCAUUUUAUAUCACUAUCCAAAGAAGAAUUAAGGUCAUUUUAUAUCACUAUCCAAAGAAAAAUUCUUGGGCGUUAGCAUUUUUCUUACAUGCGAAGACUAUUAAUGAAAGUUGACCCAAAUCUCUCUGUCUCUCUCUCUCUCUCAAUUCUUAGGACUGAUGCCAAUUCUUACCAUUUAGAAAGAAAAAUUAGAUUGUUUAUAUAUAUGAUGAGUUCCCUCUAAGUCAUGGUUAAGAAAAAUUCUUAGUUAAACGUAGUUUUAUGAAAUGUGAAUUUCCUUUUCGUUGUCUUUAUUCAUUAGUAUUAUUGGGAUUAUUGUAUUCUAAUUGCAAUGCACAGAUACAUGGAUUUUUGACAUUUUUUCUUUUUAAUUGACUCUGACUAUGUCUCAAACUCGAGACAUCAAACCUGGAGACGACUUUUGUCCAAAAUGCUUGUAAAAAUUCAGAAGAAUAAUUUUGGACCUUAUUAUUUAAUAAUGGUAGAAUUAUGAGAGUCAUUCCUAGUUAAUUAUCAAACUUGGAACUUGAAAAAAAUGUCGACAUCAUGUCAUUAUUAUUUGUUUGUUUCAUAGAAAAAUAAAGCAUUCUCCGACUCCACAUUAUCAUAUUAUUUUCAAUUGGCAGCUUAAGUGAGAAAGACAGGUGAAAAUUUUGUGCAUUACUAAUUUAUUUAGGCCUCACGCGUCGCGCGAAUGUGCCCACAUCAUCUUCGCUGUAUUGGAGAAAUUUGAGCGCUUUGAUCAUAAGAAAUUCACAAUCACAACUGGCCACAAAGAAAGCACUAACUGGUUUAAACAAAGCAUGCAAAUUUCUUAAACAAUAGAUACCUAAACCAACCAUUUUACCGUCCUGCCAAAAAAAGGGCAUUAAAGUAAAAACAACCUAUGCCUAACACAGCUAACAAACUUCAGCACCUUCACUUCACUGCCACGUCAUCAACAACAUUUGCAAAUUUCCAAGGAAGUCCACGCACUAAAGGUGCCCAUGCCCCAUAGGUAGGGCUGUCAACGGUCCGGGUCUGGACCCGAACCCGACCCGGACCCGCCAAUAUUUGUCGGGUACGAGUAGGCAUAUAGUUCCGGGACCCGGACCCGGACCCGGAACCGUUUAACCUAAUAGAUUUGCGGGUAGAAUACGGAAUAUGCCGUUCCGACCCGUAUAGGACCCGACCCCGUUUUUUAAUUAAUUAAUAAUUAAAAAUAUAUACCCAAUUUUGUUCAACCCUAAAUCCCUAAUAGUCUAAUACCCACGUAACCCACCGCCGCCGCACUCUCUUUUCCUUUGCUCCUUACCCAGCCCCAGCGACCAUUUUUCUCCUCUGCCUCCCAACUCCUGAGUCGCGCCUCCACCACCACCACUCACCACUCACCAGAUCUGCAAUUUUUCAGGAAAUUGACUGAAGUUUGAGUCUGACCGAAAAGGACUAAACGUCUAAACCGAACGUCUUCAGUCUUCCUGGAGUUUCUGCUCGGCUGCCGCCGACUGCUUUUGCCGACUGCAUGUCGCAGCUAACGUGGCACACUACAAGAAAGUGAGAAGACUGCAGUUCGUGGACGCGAUUCCUAAAUCUCCUUCAGGAAAGAUAAUGAGAAGGCUCAUCAAGGAGAAGAUGGCAGAAAUUUAAAUAAGAAGAUGCGACCAGUGGGCGUUUUUGCUCAGAACCAACACGGGUUCUGUAGGAAUAAUCAAUUCCCUCCUCUUAGUCUUCGGUAACAUAUGGGCUGCUAUUCCAUUCUCACCUUUACUAUUGUGAUUGUAAUAAGCUAAUGCGAAAUUCACUUGGGUCGGUCCCAUGGAGAUAUUUUAAAUACUAGUACUAUGUCUGGCUUAAAGCAGUAAAGGCCUCAAAUAGUCACAACCACAGCACACCAGCAGUACUGCCUUUCACACGCCACGAGGUUAUCUCAUCUCGAAGAUCAACAUAGGUAAUUAAGUAGAGCUCCCAAAGUUUGCCACAGGUUUUAACGGGUCUGAUUGCCGGGUAGACCCGGCCCGGAUUCGGGACCCGUCGGAUACGGGUCCGAUGACCGAUUAAAAGAUCCGUCGGGUAUUCGGGCCGAAUCCGGAACUAAUCUAGUAUAACGGGUCCGGAUUCGGAUAUAUGCAUUCCGGCCCGGACCCGGCCCGUUGACAGGCCUACCCAUAGGGGACCUCAGGUUAGUCUUCUUAACAUCAACUCCUGUCUUUCUAUUCUUAGGAAAUAUUGAAAUUAAACGUUAUAACUAAUCCUGAUUUCCUUGUGCCAUAUUUGUACACAAUUUGGCAACAAGGGUAAAAAAAAAAUAAAAAUAAAAAGGUUUAUCUGCAAACUGUAGUUCGGCCUGGCUCUUUUUUUUUUUUUUUUUGGGGAUAAGAUCAUCUCAGCACCCGCAGACCCCGUCAUGUAUCAAUAUUUCUGUACUUAGCAUUGGCUUCUUCCGCCUGAAGAACACACGAACCACCGAAAUAGAUGGUGAAUGAAAGUGCACUUAACCCUUUUAAUUUUUCAAAACAAUUGCUUUUAGAAAAAAUAAUAAAAACUUUUUUGAAUUUAAUUUUAGAGAAGAAGAAUUUUAAACCUUUUUGAAUUUAAUCUUGGAGAAGAAGAAGUUUAAAACGUACUUUAAUUUUCACAACUGAUGAUGAAAAUAGCAAAAUGUUCACGGAGAGUGACAAAAGUGACAUCUUAUCUUUUUGCUGACUGCUCCGCUUUCCAAUGAGAGGGUCCAGAAGGGACCACGGGGAGCAGUUGCAGGUCCAAUCGUUUCUAGUGAUUUUGUGUAUUUUACACAUCAUGUAACUUUAUUUGUAUACGACGUAAUUUUAUUUGUACAACAUGUAAUUUUAAAAUAAAUUUUUGUGAACCCUACACACGUUAUUAAAAAUGAGGUACAAAAAGUAAUUUGGAUUGCAAAAAUUUUUUGAACCAAAUCUUGGCCGUGAACAGCUCAGGAACGAUCCAUCUAAUGAACGCUUCUGCCUCUUAUCCAUCCAGAAGGGGGUGCCUCUGCUUCAUAUUUUAUCCAUAUUGAUAUUUUUUUUUCCUGUGCCUCUAAGUAUUAAAUGUGAAAGGUUGCCCACCAUAUUUGACGAAACCGUUUAUCCUAAUUGAUUAUUAUCAACAGGGCAUAACUUUAAUAUUCUUCGUCCAACCCUUUCUGGUGAUUCCUGCAACUCCAGCCGUCCGUCAAUGACCAUAAAGCACCAUUAACCGACAACUAACUAACCACUACUAAUCUAUUCUCAAAUUUUAAUGAAAUUGCACAAUUAGUUUUCAUUUCUCACUUUUAUUUCAAAUUUGGUCUCAAUUUAAUGUGAACCCCAACAAAUAAGAUCGGAGUUGAAAUCAAAGAAGGUAUUUCAAUCACCAUCAGAUAAAUUCGUCAUAUCUAGUUUUGUUUUUGAGAUGCAUAGAAAAUGUAAGCUGAUUUUUCAAUCUACGAGAAAAACGAAAGUCUAAGAGAAUAAUUUUGUCAAAAUUUGACAAUGGAAUAACAGUUGUGAACGGGUGGCCACUGGUUGGCAGCUAGAAGUUAUAGCAGUUUUAAAACAUAAUUGGAGAAAGUAAAAGAUUAAAACUACGUUGUCUACUAUUAACGACUUACAUUGACAAAAUGGCUAAAGUUAGGGUUGAAAAAUAAAUUAAACUACGCGACAUUCGAAUCAACUUCGAUUGGUAAGAGUUUAUUUCAAUUUGGUUUGUUAACUAGUCAAAUCAAAUUUCAACAACAUUUUAUAGUCGAUAACUUUGAAACUUGAUAAAAAAGUCCGUUUAAACUCGAUUUAGUAAAUAAACAAAUCAAGUUUGAACAAUAUUUUAAACUCAUUAAAAUAAUUAAAUAUGUUUGAAUACUAGGGUAUUCGAUUUAAUUAGAUACGUUUGUACCCCUAAUUAAAGCAUGCACUUUUAUAAGUUUAGGAAUCAACAUUAUACAUUUAAUAGCUAGCUAGAGGGUCAAACAGUUAAUUGCCUUAAAUUCUUUUAGCAGCCAUAAGGUAUAGUUGGAGGGAUUCCCUUGAAAUUGGUUAGAUUCUUCUAUGUGACUAAAGAAUUUCGGGUGCGACGCAUUACUAGUCCUACCCUAAAAAAAAUGGUAUUACUAGUCCUUUUUUUCUUUUUUGGCGUGCCCCCGCCGUGGGAUGUGGGGAGGGGAGUCUGUGCGAGAAUUCUAGGUGGGGUACAAGGAGCCAAAGUUCACCUUAUUCAAAGUAAACAACCGUCCAUCUCAGUUGUCGACUUUCCUGUCGAUUGCGUAUAUAUAUUACUAUCUUUUACCAUGACUCUAGAGGAUAGCUAAUUUUGCUUGCUAUUAAAUAAUAAUUUCGGUAGUCUAUAAAUACUCUUGUUCCUCACCGCUCCUAGCACCACAUAAUUCCUUCAAGAACAGCCAAAACCUUCUUGAAAUCCCUCUUUUUCCUUCUAGUUCAUUUCCAAGAAACAAAUGGCCCCUGUCACUUCCAGUUAUGAGGUCACCUCCUCAAUCCCUCCUGCAAGGUUGUUCAAGGCCACCAUCCUUGAAGAGAAGCAUCUUCACAAGAUCUUGCCACAGGGUGUUAAGAGUGUCGAAAUCCUUGAAGGAGAUGGUGGAGUUGGCACAAUUAAGUUGACCACAUUUGUUGAUGGUAAGAUAAUCAAUACAAAGUGAUUAUUUUCACACAUUUGAAGUCUUCAAAUUGCUCCUUUUAUUUGGGAAAAACUAAUGACUUUUUUUUUUGGUUGCGUUAAAUAUUUAGGUGGCGAGCAUAAGACUGCCAAACAGAGAGUUGAUGGAAUUGACAAAGAAAAAUUUACAUACAGCUAUACUGUACUUGAAGCUGAUGGAUUUAACGAUGUAAUCGAGAAAAUCUGUUGUGUCAUCAAAUUUGAACCCUCUGCUGAUGGAGGUUCAAUCUGCAAAACCACUAACACAUACUACCCCAAAGGUGGUGCUCAGAUCGGUGAGGAACACCUCAAGGGAGGAAAAGAGAUGGGUUUGGGAAUGGUUAAGGCUGUUGAGGCUUACCUCCAUGCAAAUCCUACUGCCUACAACUAAUUAUAAUGAAUGCUACUGAAGGACUCUUCGACAUAUUUUCUUCAAGAUUGAAGUACACACUGAGGGUGUGUUUCCUUUUUUGCUUGGUUUGCUUUAAGCUGUUUGGUUAAGUUAAAAACAAAAUUGAAUCAUAGAGAGAACAAAAAAAAUAUAGUGUUUCUUAUGGAGAAAAAAAUGGAGCUGAUGCCUAAAAUCUCACAUGGAUCCAACAAGGAUAUGCUCAAAGUUGGAAAAAUGUGCUAUAAUUAUGAUUACUCCUUUAUGAAAUAAAGCUGAAAGCAGCUCAAUUUCUUUUUGUUUUCCAUAUUAUUCAAUUUCGUUGUCGAUUUUUGAUAGUUGUAUUUUUUUUAUUGCUUUAAUAAGGGCUAUGAUUGGAUAUCCUGUUAUGCCAUUGGCUGUCGAUGCUAAACCUGAUAAAUUAGAUGGAUCAUCCAAAUAAAGACAAAAUUGGCUAUGUAAACAUUGGUGAGGGACUAUUUCAGCUUAAGAAAAAUAGUUGAGGGACUAAAUUGGCUUAUAAUAAAAUUAGGGACUACUUCAGCUUUGUAAAAAUAGUUGAGAGACUAAAUUGACUCAUAAAAAGUUUAGGGACUAUUUUGACAUUAACGAAAUAGUUUUGAGACUAUAAACAUUAGGUCACAAUGUUGAAAUAUCAAAACCCAUGUUUGGGACCAAAACUCAUAGAACUUCUUCACGUCGCUAGCGAAAUUUGAUUCUGAAGUAAUGCUAAUUUUAUUUAUUAUUUGUUUCCUUGCUGGUCUUCUGUCUUUUUGGUUACAAUAUUAAAAUGUAUCCAUAAUUUUCAAUUCCAAAAGUGUUGAAUAUUUAAACGAAUUCUAGAAAGGGCACUGAGAGUCAAAAUCUUAUUCAAACAGCCAGCCAUCUCAGAGUACAUAUUUUUUUAUUAUCAGGUUCAAAAUGUAUCUAUUGCAAUUUUUGAAUGAUCAGCCAUGACUAAGAGAAUAAAAUAAUUCACUUGCUGUUUUUAGAUGUGAAUUCAUGACUGUCAGUAGUCUAUAAAUACACUUAUUGCUCACCACUCUUUGCACCGCAAAAUCUUUUCAAGAUCUAUCAAACCCUCCUGUUCUUGAUCUUUGUCCAUUUGUGAAAAAGCAAAUUAAAGCAUCAUGGCCUCUAUCACUUGUAGUGCUGAGAUGACCUCCCCAAUCCCUCCUGCAAGGUUGUUCAAGGCCGCCAUCCUUGAUGACCACCUUCUUCCCAAGAUCAUGCCACAGGCUAUUAAGAGUGGAAAUCCUUGAAGGAGAUGGUGGAGUUUGAACCAUUAAGUUGAGCACAUUUGGUGAAGGUUAGCAGUUAUAUUAAAUGUAGAACCCAAAUUUUAAGGAUCUAAUAAUAAUCAAUGCGUGCAGGGUUACAGAAUUGGAGGGAUAAAAUAAAUACUCAAAAUAUACGUGGAAGAAAAGAAAAUAAUAAAUUCAACUCAUAAUAUUAUUGAAAUUUCAAACAAUGAAGAAAAUCAUACCACAAUAAAUUCAGCUGGUUCUAAUAAUAAUCAAAGCAUACAAGGUUGCAGAAUUAAAAGGAUAAAACAAACACUCAAAAUAUAUGUGGGAGAGAAGAAAAUAAUAAAUUCAACACACAAUAUUACUGAAAUCUCAAACAAUGAAAAAAGUCACACCAUAAUAGAAAACCUUGCUAAUUCUUCUAGAUUCUUUCUCUUGAGAAACCAACCUAAAUAAUGUCCUAUUUAUAAUCUACCAAACUUGUUAGGAAAGAAACCACUUGCAUAAGAAAUUACCAAAUAAAACAGAAAUUCCUAAAUCACACAACUACUAAAAACAUAACUCAAAUAAAACUAAAAAUAAAUAAAUAUUUCUUGGCUUAGUUUAAUUUGUCAACAUUGCCUCCCUUAAACCAAACUAUCCAUUGAGAUAGGUUCAACACCAUCUCGAGCAAUAAUUUCUAUGUUGUAGUACACUUGACAUGAAACUCUAACUUGUUACCAGUUAUUAAUUUCAUUUUUACAUGUAACAAUGGACGCACUAUGUAUUUUGUAAAAAAUUUCUCAGCAAUUUCUUCUUGAUCAAAGUACUCACUUAUACAAACACAUUCAUCACCAGAAUCACCAUAUUUACCACCAAUGUAAGUGCCUAAAAAUACAAAAUCAUAGAUUGCUUUCUGGCUAAAAUUAUCAUCACCAAAUAAUUCAAAAUAACCACUACUACAAUCAUCCAAAAUUUUCAUACUGUCAGUCAACUCUUUUGGAGUAAAGUAUUUUUCAACUCCGAUGACAUCCAUAUCUAUCAAAUCAAACAUUCUCCCAUGACUUUGAAGAGAGUCCGCAACCAACGAAUUUUUCAACAACAAUUUCAUGUUCUCUUCUCUUAUCAAAUCAAAAUUUUCUUCUUCUUUUGUCAAAUUACCAUUUUAUUUUUUUCAACAAAUUCAUUACUUCUAAUUUCUCCAAACAAGGUACGCAAAUCAAAACUAUCAAUUGAUUCAAAAUUUUCAAUAUCACCCAUAUUAUCAACAAAUCUAUCAUUUUUAAAAUCCACAAACUAAUUCCAACAACUAGACUUCGGUUUGAAAGCAUAAUUUCUCUCAAUCGUGUGCAAAACAUAGUAAAUAUUCUUCCAAAAUCUCUAAAGUAUUUUAGUACAACCAAUAAAGGUUUUAUAAAUACUUUUUGCCAUUAAUUUAUGCAUCACUUGAAAGAAUAAUUGUGCCUUUUUCUUAAAAACAUGUUUUGCCAACUUACUUGCGUCAACCCAACAAAGAAUAUCAUCCAAAUUACAUUGUUUGACAUAUUUUUCCACUGUUAAAAUCCAACCAAAUAUGUAUGUAUAUUUGUGCUUAUAGGAGUCAAUAUGAAAAAUUUUUCACCGUCAAUCAGAUCUUUAUAAUAUUCCAUUAUUUAACAAUUUGUAUACCUGAAUAAAUUUUUUUCCUCCAUCCUGUCAUGUUUUCUUGGCCUCCCUGGUUGACUAACCAAAUUAUUGUUGUAUGUAUACCCAUGCUCGUCAAACCUCAUUCGUGUACACUCGUAAGGAGUGGUUCUGAGCUUAUUGUGAAUGCUCAGUACCAAGAAGUAGAAGAGAGAAUGCAUAAGAGAGAAUUAACUUGGCUAAAGAAUUAGGAAACAAUUGAGGGAUUUUUUAAGAAAUUAAUUCUCCAACUGCCACUUUUGGAAAUUUUCUAUCAACAACUAGUUACCAAAACACUAGCACAUAGUAAGAAAUCUGGAUAAUUUCAGAAACCUCCCUUGAGGCUUUUAAUAAUCUCGAGAAGCUCCCCUCAAUUUUUAAAAUUGCACGUACCAUCCCUAUUGGUGCAAAAGUACUCUACUACCCCUAAUAGGAUACUCAAAAGACUUUUUUUAUGGGAAAAAAGAAGGCCAGAAAUCCAAGCGAAAACAAAAAAAAUCAAUUUAUUUUCUCUUUUAGCCUUUUACGCUUUUGCCUUCUACCUUUGCUCACUUUCCCAUGCCAAUCUUCCUAUAACCACUUUCCCAAUCCCCUUUCCCCAACUUUUCUUCUCUACUUCAAGACCAAUUUUUGUCCAUCAAUCCUGGCUUGUGCUUUGUUCCAUUCCCUUCCCUUCUCCUUCUUUGAUUUCCCCUAUAUCUCCCCUUCUCUUUGCAAAAGUGACUAGGCUCAUCUCUCUCCUUUUUUUCCCCAUAUUUUAAGUGUAGUGGGUUUGAUUAUUUUGCAUCUAUUUUAUUUGAUUUUGGUUGAUUAUGGGUGAUAAAACUUGGUGAUGUCACAUAUUAAAAGUUUGAUAGAUGGAUAUUGGGCUUUAGACAAUGAUUUGCUGAAAAAAAUGGCCGCAAUGAGAGGAAGAGGCAAAGGGAUUUGAGUGUGGGGUUGAUUGUUGAUGAAUUGUUGUUUUGGAAAAAAUUUGAGGUUGAGUUUUAUCAAAUUUGGUAGCAAGUGGCGAGAUUUGUUCAGGUUGCGGGAAAUAAAUUGGUUUGUGGUUUCUUGGGCACCCACAGUCGUUGGAAUUGGUUUUGAUUCAAAUUAGGGUGGUUACUUGAUUUUCCUAAUAGUGUUGCUUAAAAGCACACGAUCAUCAAAAUUCCUUAUUUUUAUCUUUUAUUUUUUUUUUGUAGAAAAGAUUUCAUGACUUUCGUGAUAGUCUAAUUUGGAAGAAGGCAAUCAAGGGAUGCAAUCAACAUUUAGCAAAAGCUCUUGUUCUUUUCUUUGUAAUUUUUAGGGUAAAAAGGGUUGUUUAGGGUAUUUGAAGGAAAUGAUAGUCUAUUGGGUCUAUUUUGAAGCAUAAAUAGUGAACGUAAGGGAGGUUGGUGUUAUUUCUGAAACCUAAGGGAAUUGUCUGAAAUUGUCCGAGACCUCGGAGGAGGUUUUCAAAAUUAUCCGUAAGAAAUCAAAUGCGAAACUUGAUUCGUACACGCACACACGACACCACACCACGUCACGCGUGUGUUGAGGACUGAUGUCCGUAGCCAACGACAAGCAGGUUUUCAAUUUUUUUUUCCUUUCCUGGAUUCAGAGAUGGUGUCAGCUUCUAUUAUUGGUGAGCAGGAGGAAAUCCACAAUAUACAGUACACAUCACCCAUAUUCUUUUUAAUUGAACAAUGUAUGAAAUUAUGGUGAUUCGAAAUUAAAUUAUAUGUUUAUUGGACAACGAAUCCAAAAUAAGAGUUGGAAAUGUAUUGUGACAACAAUUGUUAACUUUGGCCACAAAUGAUCAAAAUAAAUAUUUAAGGUUUAAUAUGACAUUAUGGGUUCAAAAUAUAGUUACUUGUUAUGAAACAACUAAAAGUGCGGAUGCCCAUUUGUAUUCUCAAAAGGAUCAAUUCAUAAUUCAUUGCUCCCAAGAUGAUUAAUUCAUAAUUCAUUGCUACAUUAUGUAAAGAAAUUACAUUGGAUGAAUGGUUUCAAUCCAUAAGAGCUAUUCAUGUAUUGGAUGAACCGUUUCAUAUGGCUAUUCAUGUUCUUGUAGUAAUGAGUGUUUAAUAGAAUUGAUGUACCUUUAAUUUUAUAGUACCUAUACAUAGAGGUACCUGGCACCUCUUCGGUGUACUUUUUGAUUAGUUGGAAUAAUAAGAAAAUCAUUCUCCAUUUCUGUACUCUUUCACUAAUAUUUCAAUUCCUAUUAUAGUAGUUCAUUUUUUUUUAGUUUUACAACACGUUAUCAGUACGAGUCUCUCCUUUUAAACAAAAAGGUGAAAACGGAGCCUCUACCUUAAAAAAAAAGUGAAACACGAGAUUUUGCCGAAAUUCUGCCGUAUUUUUCCAGUAACUUCUGUCUACUUAUUGAGAAAUGGAUGCCAAAUAUUUGGGAUUAAAUGAUGGUGAUGAUGACAUUUGUCUCAUUGAUAGUGCUACUACGCGCACUAUAUUGAAAAAUAAAAAAAUUUUCUUGUAUGAAAAUGGGAGAGACAAAUGUUAAUAUCAUAAGUGGUAGUGCAAAAUUGAUUGAAAGAUUCGGAAGAGCCACUCUAUUUCUUCCUAAAGGGACUAAAAUUGUCGUAAAUAAUGCACUAUUGUCUCCCAAGUCUCGGAGAAAUUUAUUGAGUUUUAAAGAUAUCCGCAAAAACGGAUAUCAUAUUGGGACAAUGAUUGAGACAAAUGGAAAAUUUUUAUUAAUCACAAGUAUCAUUUCUAGACAGAAAUACGUAGUAGAAAAAUUACCUUCUUUUUCUUUUGGCUUAUAUUAUGCACAAAUUAGUGCAAUUGAAAUUUAUCACCUAGUAAACCAAAAGUCUAUUCAUCCCAAUAAUUUUAUCAUUUGGCAUGAUCAUUUCAGAAAUCUUGAAUCUAUAAUGAUGAGACAAAUAAUCGAGAAUUCACAUGGUCACUCAUUGAAAAAUCAAAAGAUAUUAAAAGCAAAUGAAUUCUCCUGUGUUGCUUGUUCCCACGGAAAAUUUAUUAGACCAUCACCAGCUAAAGUUGGGACUGAAUCCCCUACAUUUCUAGAACGAAUUCAUGGUGAUAUAUGUGGAUUAUUUCGAUAAUUUAUGGUGCUAAUUGAUGCAUCAUCUAGAUGGUCACAUGUAUGUUUAUUAUCUACUCCCAACCUGGCGUUUGCGAGUUUGCUUGCUCAAAUAAUUAAAUUGCGAGCACAAUUUUCAGACUAUCCAAUAAAGAAAAUUCAUCUAGAUAAUGCUGGUGAAUAUUCAUCACAUACUUUUGACGAUUAUUGCAUGUCCAUUGGAAUAACUGUUGAACAUCUUGUAACUUAUGUUCACACACAAAAUGGUCUAGCCGAAUCAUUUAUUAAACGGCUACAAUUAAUUGCUAAACCAUUGUUGAUGAGGUUUAAACUACUUUCAUCUGCUUGCGAACAUGCUAUAUUACAUGCAGCAACACUUGUGAGAAUUAGACCGACAAGUUAUCAUACUUAUUUUUCCCUACAAUUAACUUUUGGUUAUGAAUCCAAUAUUUUUCAUUUAAGAAUAUUUGGUUAUUCAGUUUGUGUUCUAAUUGCACCGCCCCGACGUUGUAAAUUGGGCUCGCAAAGAAGAUUGAAAAUAUAUGUCGGGUAUGAAUCACCUCUAAUUAUUAAGUAUAUGGAACCAUUGACAGAUGAUUUAUUUAUUGCGAGAUUUGUAGAUUGUCAUUUUGAUGAAUCAGAUUUUUCAACAUUAGGGGGGAGAUAAAAAUCAACCGAAAAAGGAAAUCACUUUAAAAAUAUCAUUGAAUUUUCUCGAUUCUCGUACAAAAGAAUGUGAACUAGAAAUUCAAAAGAUUAUACAUUUGCAAAAAAUUACAAAUCAAUUACCGGAUGCAUUUAAUGACUCCAGAAGAGUUACUAAAUCACAUAUUCCUAUUGAAAAUGCUCUGAUUAAAAUUAAUAUCCUUGAAGGACAAAUUACAAGUGCUAAUGAGUCUAAAGUGCGCCUGAAGCGUGGGAGAUUUCUUGGUUCCAAAGAUAAAAAUUUUCGAAAGAAAAGAGGAGUACAUGAAUCAACAAUUAAUGACAAAAUUUAACCUCCUGAAGAGAUCGCUCCUAAAGAGCCAAUUCUUGAAGAGAAUAAAAUCAUAGAAAAUUCAAUAAAUUUUGUCACUUCAGGGAAAAGUUGGAACCGAAAAGAAAUAAUUAUUGAUAGUAUUUUUGUAUAUAAUGUAGCACUUGAUAUUAUGGUAGAGAAUGGGGAUUACGAGCCUAAAUCGAUUGAUGAAUGUCGACGUAGAAAUGAUUGGCCAAAAUGAAAAGAUGCGAUCCAAUUUGAAUUGGACUCACUGGUUAAAAGAAAAGUUUUUGGACCUGUAGUCCAAACACCUGAAGGUGUGAAGCCAGUAGGAUAUAAAUGGGUAUUUGUGAAAAAAAAAUGAGAAAAAUGAAAUCGUGAGGUAUAAAUUAAUACUUGUAGCCAAAGGAAUUUCACAAAGGCCUGGAUUUGAUUAUGAUUACACGUAUUCACUUGUAGUGGAUGCUAUCACAUUUAGAUAUCUUGUGAGUUUUGCAGUACAUGAAAAAUCAGAUAUGCAUCUAAUGGACGUCGUUACUGCAUAUUUAUAUGAAAAUCUUGAAAAUGAUAUUUAUAUGAGAAUUCCCGAAGGAUUCAAUAUGCCUGAAACAUGCAAAUCAAAUCUUAAAAAUAUUUAUUUAAUUAAAUUACAAAAGUCUUUGUAUGGAUUCAAACAAUCUGAACGUAUGUGGUACCGCCUUAAUGAAUGUUUAACUAAAGAAGGCUAUACCAAUGAUCCAAUAUGUCCAUGUGUCUUUAUCAAGAAAAAUGGAUCAAAUUUUGUGAUAAUUGUUGUAUAUGUUGAUGAUCUAAAUAUGAUUGGAACACCUGAAAAGAUUCAAAAUAGUGUUGAAUAUUUGAAAAAAAAUUUGAGAUCAAAGAUUUUGGAAAAAUAAAAUUUUUCCUUGGUUUACAAAUUGAGCAUUUGAAAAGUGGAAUUUUGUCCACCAAACUGCUUAUACCCGGAAGGUAUUAAAGCGAUUUUAUAUGGAUAAGUCACAUACAUUAAGUAUUCCAAUGGUCAGAUCAUUAGAUCCUAAUAAGGACCCUUUUAGACCGCGAGAGGAAGAUGAAGAGAUACUUGGUCCUAAAGUACCAUAUCUCAGUGCAAUUGGUGCACUACUGUAUCUUGCUAAUUGUACAAGACUUGAUAUAUCAUUUACAAUAAAUUUAUUAGCAAGAUUUAUUUCCUCGCCCACAAGACGACAUUGGAAUGGUAUUAAACAUAUUUUUCGUUAUCUUUAAGGAACAAAUUGAUCUUGGCUUAUUUUAUUCAAAUAAAUCUAAACUUGAAUUGCUUGGUUAUGUUGAUGUUGGAUAUUUAUCUGAUUUGCAUAAAGCAAGAUCUCAGACUGGUUAUCUAUUUACAUAUGGAGGUACAACCAUUUCUUGGCGAUCUAGAAAGCAAUUAUUAGCCGCCACUUCAUCGAAUCAUGCUAAAAUAAUAGCAAUUCAUGAGGCUAGUCGAGAAUGUGUUUCGUUAAGAUCAAUGACCUACUAUAUCCGGAAGAGUUGUGGGUUAUCCUCUGAAAAAGAAAAUCCUCCGACUAUAUUUUAUGAAGAUAAUGCAGCUUGUAUAGCUCAAUUGAAAGGAGAAUAUAUUAAAGGAGAUAGAACGAAAUAUAUUUCACCAAAAUUCUUUUUUACUCAUGAUUUACAAAAGAAUGGUGAAAUUGUUGUGCAACAAAUCCGAUCAGAUAAUAAUUUGAUAGAUUUAUUUACUAAUGUAUUGCCGACUGCAAUAUUUGAGAAAUUGGUGAAGAAUAUUGGAAUGCGACGACUAUAAAAUCUCAAAUGAUAUUUGCAUCAGGGGGAGAAAUCAAUACACAAGAAUAGUGUACUCUUUUUUUUUCACUAGAGUUUUUGUCCCGUUGGAUUUUUUCCUAGUAAGGUUUUAAUAAGACAUAUUCUUUGUGUAAUUAAUAUCCAAUGGGGAGUGUUAUGAAAUAACUAAAAGUGUGGAUGUCCAUUUGUAUUCUCAAGAAGAUCAAUUCAUAAUUCAUUGCUCCCAAGAGAAUUAAUUCAUAAUUUAUUGCUACAUUAUGUAAAGGAAUUACAUUGGAUGAUCGGUUUCAAUCCAUAAGAGCUAUUCAUGUAUUGGAUGAACCAUUUCAUAUGGCUAUUCAUGUUCUUGUAGUAACGAGUGUUUAAUAGAAUUGAUGUACCUUUAAUUUUGUAGUACCUAUAUAUAGAUGUACCUUAGCUGAUAGGUUGCAAUUUUAUCAUUUAUUUUAUAAUUAAUUUCUCCUAUUACCUGACUUGAUGUGGAUUAAUUGCGGGAUUCUACUCACUUUUAGUAUUUUGCAUUUAUUUCAGGGAGUAGAGCGAAAAUAUAAUAACAGGUGCUAAUUUGACAAAAAAAGAGUCCAAGGCACAGAGCUUAUCCCGGGGGCAUUAUUGGCAAAGGAAGACUUUUGCCCAUUUUGGUAAUUUCAAAAGAAGAGAGCAGGGCAGAGGCCUCUAUUUUACUGGAGGCUGGAGCGCCGCACAAAGGGAGCUUCUUCUUCCUUCGGAGGCUCCGUCCUCUCCGCAAGGGGGCUGCCGCACACAGCAGCCAUUAGAAUAGGAGCAAUUGAUAUAUGACAGAGAAUGAGCACUAGCACCAGGGAGUUGCCUUUGUUGACUUUUCUUCCCUUUUAGUUCUUAGUAGUUGUUUUACCUUCCUCGUACGUAGGACCUUUAGCAUAGUUUCCUUUUGACUUUCCCUUGAGUCUUGGGUGGAUGUCUCCUGCGCAUGUCAGGAGCAAUUGAAGGUCUCGGUCACUUUCUGUAUUCUUCCAUCAACUGAGCGAACUGAGCUCCCUUGGUCAAGGGCAAUGGCUGCGGCUUCCUCUCCAACUUUGUGUGGGAUUCGUUCACCAGGAAUGAACUAAUUUUUCUUUUCUAGUCAAGGAACAACGGAGGUCUUGGUUGGCCUAAAUUUGUGAGAUCGAAUUAGUUUUUAUUUAUUUCCAUUAUUCACUGGUAUUUGUCUAUCUUCUGCUUUAUGUUCAUAUGGUUGUUUUAUUAUUCGAUUAUCCAGGGCCCGGAUACUAGAUUAAUUCAAUAACCUGAAGCCAAUUAGGAUAGUUAAAUCCGUAAUUGUUUAAUUAUUCUAAACUGCUGGCAACUGGCAUGAUUGGGUUUGUGUCAGGGGGAUAAACAUGCUAACUUAAAGAGACCCUCGUAGCGUGUUGAUUGGUUAGAAUUAGGCUCUUCUAAUUAUUCAUGCAAUUAGGGAAUUGAACUUCUAUGGUCGUACCUAGGGUUAUUUCCUGAUUAGAGAAAUAGUCAACGGUCGUACCUUGGCUAUCGACAAAUUGAGGAAGAGUUGGUUGUUUAUCGCGUGUAUGGCAACUAUAACUAAUUUAUCAGAUAGUAACUGGAAUAAUCCUUGCAUCUGUGAUCGAAUUAAGUGAACCAUCUCCGAAGUUGUCUCUUGGCUAGAGUUCGUCAAUUAUUAUUUUUAUUGUGAUAAUUAGUUAUUUGAGUUGUAGUUAUUUUAUUUUAUUUAUUCCAAGUAAUUUAGUUACUCUCAUUUUCAAAAACCCCCCAUAUCUGGAACUUGAGAAGAAAUUAAAUUAUCCCCAGUCCCUGUGGAUUCGACCCUGCUCACCGCUAUAUACAGAAUUUGUAUUUUAUUUGAGCAGGUAUUUAUUAUUGCACAGGUUCGGCACCUGUCAAUUUUUUGCUACAUUAUGUAAAGGAAUUACAUUGGAUGAUCGGUUUCAAUCCAUAAGAGCUAUUCAUGUAUUGGAUGAACCAUUUCAUAUGGCUAUUCAUGUUCUUGUAGUAACGAGUGUUUAAUAGAAUUGAUGUACCUUUAAUUUUGUAGUACCUAUAUAUAGAUGUACCUUAGCACCUCUUGGGUGUACUUUUUGAUUAGUUGGAAUAAUAAAAAAAUCAUUCUCCAUUUCUGUACUUCUUUCUCUAAUAUUUCAAUUCCUAUCACAGUAGUUAUUUUUUUUUAGCUUUACAACAUUACUUAAAUAAGAGAGUUAUUGGACUAUAUGUUUAUUGACCUCUACUAACUUAUUUAAGGUCAUUUCAUAUCACUAUCCAAAGAAGAAUUAAGGUCAUUUCAUAUCACUAUCCAAAGAACAAUUCUUGGGCGCUAACAUUUUUCUUACAUGACUAUUAAUGAAAGUUGACCCAAAUCUCUCUGUCUCUCUCUUUCUUUCAAUUCUUAGGACUGAUGCCAAUUCUUACCAUUUAGAAAGAAAAAUUAGAUUGUUUAUAUAUAUGAUGAGUUCCCUCUAAGUCAUGGUUAAGAAAAAUUCUUAGUUAAACGCAGUUUUAUGAAAUGUGAAUUUCCUUUUCUUUGUCUUUAUUCAUUAGUAUUAUUGGGGUUAUUGUAUUAUGAUUGCAAUGCACAGAUACAUGGAUUUUUGACAUUUUUUCUUUUUAAUUGACUCUGACUAUGCCUCAAACUCGAGACAUCAAACCUGGACACGACUUUUGUCCAAAAUGCUUGUAAAAAUUCAGAAGAAUAAUUUUGGACCUUAUUAUUUGAUAAUGGUACAAUUAUGAGAGUCAUUCCAGGUUAAUUAUCAAACUUGGAACUUGAAAAUAAUGUCGACAUCAUGUCAUUAUUAUUUUUUAGUUUCAUAGAAAAAUGAAGUAUUCUCCAACUCGACAUUAUCAUAGUAUUUUCAAUUGGCAGCUCAUGUGAGAAAGACAAGAAAUUCACAAUCAACUGGCCAAGAGAGUGCCAACAAAGAAAGCACUAAAUGGCUUAAACAAUGCAUGCAAAUUUGCUUGGCACUUAAACAAUAGACACCUAAAUCAACCAUGUCACUGUCUUGCCAAAAAAGGGCAUUAAAGUAAAAACAACUCAUGCCUACCACAGGUAACAAACUUCAGCACCUUCACUUCACUACCAUGUCAGCAACAACAUUUGCAAAUUUCCAAGGAAGUCCACGCACUAAAGGUGCCCAUGCCCUUAGGGGACCUCAGGUUAGUGUUCUUAACCUCAACUCCUGUCUUUCUGUUCUUAGGAAAUAUUGAAAUUAAACGUUAUAACUAAUCCUGAUUUCCUUGUGCUAUAUUUGUACACAAUUUGGCAACAAGGGUAAAAAAAAAUAAAAAUAAAAAGGUUUAUCUGCAAACUGUAGUUCGGCCUGGCUCUUUUUUUUUUUUUUUUUUUUGGGGAUAAGAUCAUCUCAGCACCCGCAGACCCCGUCAUGUAUCAAUAUUUCUGUACUUAGCAUUGGCUUCUUCUCGCCUGAAGAACACACGAACCACCGAAAUAGAUGGUGCAUGAAAGUGCACUUAACCCUUUUAAUUUUUCAAAACAAUCUUUUAGAAAAAAUAAUAAAAACUUUUUGAAUUUAAUUUUAGAGAAGAAGAAUUUUAAAAUUUUUUGAAUUUAAUCUUAGAGAAGAAGAAGUUUAAAAUGUACUUUAAUUUUCACAACUGAUGAUGAAAAUAGCAAAAUGUACACGGAUAGUGACAAAAGUGGGAUCACGGGCAGGAAAUCCUGAAGGUUGCGUGCAUUUUACACACGGCAUAAUUCUGUUUGUAUAUAGUGUAAUUUACUUUUUACAACGUGUAAUUUUAAAACAAAAUUUUGUAAGUCUCACACAUUUUAUUAAAAAUAAGGUACAAGAUGAAAUUUGGACCAUAUAAUUUUUUUUAAUCAAAUCUUGACCGUGAACUGCUCAGAAACGGUUUACCUGAUGACCGUCCCUGGUCCAAACCCGACAAAGGUGCCAUCUUAUCCUUUUACUGACUGGCCCGUUUUCCAAUGAGAGGGCCCAGAAGGGGUGCCUCUGCUUCAUAGUUUAUCCAUAUUGAUAUUUCUUUUCUGUCCCCCUAACUAUUAAAUGUGAAAGGUUGCCCACCAAAUUUGACGAAACCGUUUAUCCUAAUUGAUUAUUAUCAAUAGGGCAUAACUUUAAUAUUCUUCUUCCAACCCUUUCUGGUGAUUCCUGCAACUCCAGCCGUCCGUCAAUGACCAUAAAGCACCAUUAACCGACAACUAACUAACCACUAUUAAUCUAUUCUCAAAUUUUAAUGAAAUUGCACAAUCUAUUCUCAAAUCAAAUUUGAACAACAUUUUAUAGUCGAUAACUUUGAAACUUGAUAAAAAAGUCUGUUUAAACUCGGUUUAGUAAAUAAACAAAUCAAGUUUGAACAAAAUUUUAAACUCAUUAAAAUAAUUAAACACGUUUGAAUAUUAGGGUAUUCGAUUUAAUUAGACACGUUUGUAUCCCUAAUUAAAGCAUGCACUUUUAUAAGUUUAGGAAUCAACAUUAUACAUUUAAUAGCUAGCUAGAGGGUCAAAAAGUUAAUUGCCUUAAAUUCUUUUAGCAGCCAUAAGGUACAGUUGGAGGGAUUCCCUUGAAAUUGGUUAGAUUCUUCUAUGUGACUAAAGAAUUUCGGGUGUGACGCAUUACUAGUCCUACCCUAAAAAAAAAUGGUAUUACUAGUCCUUUUUUUCUUUUUUGGCGUGCCCCCGUCGUGGGAUGUGGGGAGGGGAGUCUGUGCGAGAAUUCUAGGUCGGGGUACAAGGAGCCAAAGUUCACCUUAUUCAAAGUAAACAACCGUCCAUCUCAGUUGUCGACUUUCCUGUCGAUUGCGUAUAUAUAUAUAUUACUAUCUUUUACCAUGACUUUAGAGGAUAGCUAAUUUUGCUUGCUAUUAAAUAAUAAUUUCGGUAGUCUAUAAAUACUCUUGUUCCUCACCGCUCCUAGCACCACAUAAUUCCUUCAAGAACAGCCAAAACCUUCUUGAAAUCCCUCUUUUUCCUUCUAGUUCAUUUCCAAGAAACAAAUGGCCCCUGUCACUUCCAGUUAUGAGGUCACCUCCUCAAUCCCUCCUGCAAGGUUGUUCAAGGCCACCAUCCUCGAAGAGAAGCAUCUUCACAAGAUCUUGCCACAGGGCGUUAAGAGUGUCGAAAUCCUUGAAGGAGAUGGUGGAGUUGGCACAAUUAAGUUGACCACAUUUGUUGACGGUAAGAUAAUCAAUACAAAGUGAUUAUUUUCACACAUUUGAAGUCUUCAAAUUUUUCUCUUUUUUUCCCUUUUAUUUGGGAAAAACUAAUGACUUUUUUUUUUUGGUUGGGUUAAAUAUUUAGGUGGCGAGCAUAAGACUGCCAAACAGAGAGUUGAUGGAAUUGACAAAGAAAAAUUUACAUACAGCUAUACUGUACUUGAAGCUGAUGGAUUUAACGAUGUAAUCGAGAAAAUCUGUUGUGUCAUCAAAUUUGAACCCUCUGCUGAUGGAGGUUCAAUCUGCAAAACCACUAACACAUACUACCCCAAAGGUGGUGCUCAGAUCAGUGAGGAACACCUCAAGGGAGGAAAAGAGAUGGGUUUGGGAAUGGUUAAGGCUGUUGAGGCAUACCUCCAUGCAAAUCCUACUGCCUACAACUAAUUAUAAUGAAUGCUACUGCAAGGACUCUUCGACAUAUUUUCUUCAAGAUUGAAGUAUAAACUGAGGGUGUCUGUUUCCUUUUUUGCUUGGUUUGCUUAAGCUGUUUGGUUAAGUUAUUCGCAGCAAGAGAAUAAAAUAAUUCAUUUGCUGUUUUUAGAUAUGAAUUCAUGACUGUCAGUAGUCUAUAAAUACACUUAUUGCUCACCACUCUUUGCACCGCAAAAUCUUUUCAAGAUCCAUCAAACCCUCCUGUUCUUGAUCUUUCUCCAUUUGUGAAAAAACAAAUUAAAGCAUCAUGGCCCCUAUCACUUGUAGUGCUGAGAUGACCUCCCCAAUGCCUCCUGCAAGGUUGUUCAAGGCCGCCAUCCUUGAUGACCACCUUCUUCCCAAGAUCAUGCCACAGGCUAUUAAAAGUGGAAAUUCUUGAAGGAGAUGGUGGAGUUUGAACCAUUAAGUUGAGCACAUUUGGUGACGGUUAGAUGUUAUAUUAAAUGUAGAACCCAAAUUUUAAGGAUCUAAUAAUAAUCAAUUAAUAAUAAUCAAUGCGUGCAGGGUUACAGAAUUGGAGGGAUAAAACAAAUACUCAAAUAAAUGUGGAAGAAAAGAAAAUAAUAAAUUCAACUCACAAAAUUAUUGAAAUUUCAAACAAUGAAAAAAAUCAUACCUUAAUAAAUUCAGUUGGUUUUAAUAAUAAUCAAAGCAUACAAGGUUAAAGAAUUAAAAGGAUAAAACAAACACUCAAAAUAUAUGUGGGAGAGAAGAAAAUAAUAAAUUCAACACACAAUAUUAUUGAAAUCUCAAACAAUGAAAAAAGUCACACCAUAAUAGAAAAUCUUGCAAAUUCUUCUAGAUUCUUUCUCUUGAGAAACCAACCUAAAUAAUGUUCUAUUUAUAAUCUACCAAACUUGUUAGGAAAGAAACCACUUGCAUAAGAAAUUACCAAAUAAAACAGAAAUUCCUAAAUCACACAACUACUAAAAACAUAACUCAAAUAAAACUAAAAAAUAAAUAAAUUUUUCUUGGCUUAGUUUAAUUUGUUAACAUUGCCUCCCUUAAACCAAACUAUCCAUUGAGAUAUGUUCAACACCAUCUCGAGUAACAAUUUCUAUGCAAAUCUAUGUUGUAGUAUACUUGACAUGAAACUCUAACUUGUUACCAGUUAUUAAUUUCAUCUUUACACGUAACAGUGGACGUACUAUGUAUUUUGUAAAAAAUUUCUCAACAAUUUCUUCUUGAUCAAAGUACUCAUUUAUACAAACCCAUUCAUCACCAGAAUCAUCAUAUUUACCACCAAUGUAAGUUCCUAAAAAUACAAAAUCAUUGCUUGCUUUCUCGCUAAAAUUAUCAUAACCAAAUAAUUUAAAAUAGCCACUACUACAAUCAUCCAAAAUUUUCAUACUGUCAGUCAACUCUUUUGGAGUAAAAUAUUUUUCAACUAUAAUGACAUCCAUAUCUAUCAAAUCAAGCAUUCUCCCAUCACUUUGAAGAAAGUCCGAACCAACGAAUUUUUCAACAACAAUUUCAUGAUCUCUUCUCUUAUCAAGUCAAAAUUUUCUUCUUCUUUUGUCAAAUUACCAUAUUAUUGUUUCAACAAAUUCAUUACUUCUAAUUUCUCCAAACAAGGUACGCAAAUCAAAACUAUCAAUUGAUUCAAAAUUUUCGAUAUCACCCAUAUUAUCAACAAAUCUAUCAUUUUUAAAAUCCACAAACCAAUACCAACAACUAGACUUCGGUUUGAAAGCAUAAUUUCUCUCAAUCGUGUGCAAAACAAAGUAAAUAUCCUUCCAAAAUCUCUAAAGUAUUUUAGUAUGACCAAUAAAGGUUUUAUAAAUACUUUCUGCCAUUAUUUUACACAUCACUUGAAAGAAUAAUUGUGCUUUUUUUCUUAAAAACAUGUUUUGCCAACUUACUUGCAUCAACCCAACAAAGAAUAUCAUCCAAAUUACAUUGUUUGAGAUAUUUUUCCACUGUUAAAAUUCAGCCAAAAUAUGUAUGUCUAUUUGUGUUUAUAGGAGUCAAUAUGGAAAAUUUUUCACCAUCAAUCAGAUCUUUAUAAUAUUCCAUUAUUUAACAAUUUGUAUACCUGAAUAAAUUUUUUUCCUCCAUCCUGUCAUGUUUUCUUGGCCUCCUUGGUUGACUGACCAAAUUAUUGUUGUAUGUAUACCCAUGCUUGUCAAACCUCAUUCGUGUACACUCGUAAGGAGUGGUUUUGAGCUUACUGUGAAUGCUUAAUACCAAGAAGUAGAAGAGAGAAUGCAUAAGAGAGAAUUAACUUGGCUAAAGAAUUGGGAAGCAAUUUAGGGAUUUUUUAAGAAAUUAAUUCUCCAACCGCCACUUUUGGAAAUUUCUAUCAACAACUAGUUACCAAAACACUAGGACAGCGAUCCGUCUCUAUUUUACUCUUCAAGUCUUCGCCGGGGAAGCAACCCGGCCUUGCGAGACUAUAAUGAAUAGGCACUUGCCUUCUGUUUUUACUUUUUUUUUGUUCAAAGACUAUAAUGCCCUUAUUAUUUGACUGCGCAUCUCGCAAGAUAAUGCUUUCCAUCAAAAUUAACUGUUGGGUUUGACAGAAGCGCCACGAAUAUUCUAUUUUAUUAGAUCCAGAGUCAAAAUUUUACCGUUAAUUGUUAGAGGGUUAAAACUUUAUCUGGAAAGGAGUUGGAGGGCCAUUGGAACUCUUUUUCCAAAAAAAAAAAAAAGUCACUUUUGUCAUUUGUCCAAGAACAGUUCUGGGGCCAUCUCGACAGUAUAUAUUUUUCUUACAUGCCAAGACAAUUAAUGAAAAUUGACCAAUAACACACGCACACACACACACACACACACACACUCUCUCUCUCUCUCUCUCUCUCUCUCGGUUGCUGCCAAGUCUUUCCAUUGAAAAAGGAAAAUUCAUAUUGUUUACAUAGAUAAAUUACCUCCAGUCCGUGGAAUGUCUUGAUGUUAGGUGAGUUCUAAUAUUUUGGUAUCAUCUAGAGGUGGCAAAUCAACCCACUUAACUAAAUUUACCCAUAUCCGCCCAUGAAUAGAUGGGUAUGGAUAUCUUAAAUUUUUGUAUAUGAGUAUAAAUGGGUUACCCAAUAAUACCCAUUUAAAUGGGUAACCCAUCAAACCCAAUUAACCCAUUUAGAAUUCUCUUCCCCUCAAGUCUCUUCUUUUCCCCCACCUUUUUUUUUUUCAAAUUUUUCAUUUUGUCAUGAUGUUAACUACUUUUGUUUUAUUAUUAUUAUUUGUUGGUUUUAUCUUAUUAUUUUAUUUUCUCUUAGUUUGUUAACUUACUCAUUUUUUACCAUUACCAAUUUAUGAUAAAUUUUAGCCUAUUUUCUUAUCUUUAUAAAAUGAAAUUUUAAAUUUAUAUAUGAAAAAAAUGUUAGGGGUUCAAAAAUUUUGGAUUAAGUUUUUAUAUUAAUUUUUAUAGUACUUAGUUCAAAAUUUUAUAUUCUUAUUAUUCAAUUAUUAAAUAAUAGGUAAUUUUGUGACAUAGAGUAUAAAUGAAAAAAAAUUGGUAAUUAAGUUUAUUGAACAUUAUAAGUAAAUAUUUAAAACUAAUGAUGGGUAUAAAGAGUGAUAUAAAUUGAUAACUUAGUUUGCAAAAAUGAAUUUAAAUGAGUUUGCAAAAAGUUAAAAUAAAUGGGUUAUAAAUGGGUAAUUGGGUUACCCAAUUCAUUUUUUGACUUGCCUAUUUAUACCCAUAUAAUUAAAUGGGUAUAAAUGAGUUGACUCACUUAUACCCAUUACCCAUUUUACCCAACUCAAACCCGCCCAAGUCACCCAUUUUGACACCUUUAGUAUCAUCUAAUGUUCAUUUGUGAAAGAUUGAGAAAUGAUAAAGAGCAAAACACCAAUUUAUUCCAUAAAUUAUUUUGCUAAAAUCAAAAUAGUCCAUAAAUUUUCUUUUGGCCAAAUUUUUGUCAUGAACUUUCAGAAACGGUUGCAGGGGAUUUCAUCCGGAUUGCUUGUGCAGUUGAGUAACUAUACAGAAAUUCUUUUUGGGAUGCUGAGUAUCUUAGGAUGGGUACAAUGAUCGCUUAGAUCAGUAGAGAUGAUUGAUGAUGUAGUAGGGGAAGAUUCCCUUUAUAAAGCUGAUUUUCUCAUGAUUAAUAAGAAUAUAAAUGUUACCAAAUUUUCUUUUCAAAUGUGUAACGAAAAUAUUGGCCAUGAUCAGCAAGACCUCCUUAAUUAUAAAAGUUUCUUGAAUGUCAUCAUCCAAUUUGUUUAAGCGAGGAUUUUUAAAUGCUAUCUUUAAGCAAAUUGAUUUUUGUAUUAUAGAUACUUACUACUAUUACUUCAUACCUAGCUACAAACCUCAUGUAUGUUUUAGUUUUAAUCCAGAACAAAUCAGGGCCACGGGCCACCUUGCACAUAGCGAGAGUGGAAAAAUAAAACUACACAAUUGCUUUUUUGAAGCCAGUGACUCAACUGAUUUUGCGCUCGGCAAUUCAUCCGAUUUUCAUUAAAAGGGCCCUAAGAGGCCAUUGGCGUUUUGGGCCUGUGAAAAUUUGGAUGAUUUGGUGUGUCCAAUGCAUGUGUAAGCACAAAUUUUGUUGUCUAAAAUAAAAGACAAGAAAACUUACAUAAAUAUCAAAUUUAUUAAAUUAAAUAACAAGAGGGUUACAAUAUUUGAAAAUUUUUGAAUCAAAGAAAUUAAUCUCCUAAUUUUUAUCUUCAAAAGGCUUUAAUCGGAAGGCCAAAAAGGCUUGUUCUCCGAUCAAGAGGGUGUUUUCUAUGAUUUCUAUGUAAAAAACGGCUGCUUUGAUGAUGACGUUAAUAUUUGAAUCUUUAAAUCUUCAACGCCGAUGGAAGGAGGAUUUAUUUAACUUAAUUUGGAUUUGGAUUUGAAUUUGAGGGAAAAAGCUCUCAAGAGAAUUUGACAAAGUUACUUUGAAAUUUAGGAAUUUUAAUGUAUUUUUGCCUUGAGGGAAGACCUUUAUUUAGAGUCAACAUAUGCAAGCUAUGUCUUCAAGAGAAUCCUUCAAAACCAUCUUGCGUUUGGGUAACUUGUACCUUAAGAAACCCAUUUAACUUGGAGUUAAAUAGUCGGCCGACCCAAAUAGUCAAUUGUGAAUUAACAAAUCAAUUAAAUCACUUUAAUUUAAAUGGGCAUCACAUUUUUUAUUUGAUUUAAUAGCUCAUAUAACAUUGGCUCAAUUUGUCAAUCCAAAACAUAAUGAACUUCUAUAAUUUAAUUUAAUUUAAUAAAAAUCAAUUUAAUUUACUUAAUCUUGCCUAAAAAUAAAUUAAAUAAAUUUUCGUUGUCUAUGUCCCCACUUCAAAACUUGGCAAGGCAUUGCAUGUUUAUUUGAAUUAACUUAAAACUUCUUAAUACGAUUCAUCUAAGCACCUUUAUAUAUAUAUAUAUAUAUAUAUAUAUAUAUAUAUAUAUAUUUAUUUAUUUAUUUAUAUAUAGAGGUACAGAAGACAUGUCUUUGUCUUGAAACUGUGACAAACAGGACACUUAAGACAAGGGCGUGUGAAGACUAUCGCACUAUUUGAGCGAAAAAAACCUGUUUUGCACGUAUAUUUUGAAGGUAAUCAUCUUUAUUGUCUUUUGACAACUUCAUGUUGGUCGAGUAUCAGAUAUUCACCAAAUUUUGUUGAAAUUUGUCAAAACUUGAUUUGUUUCCAAUUUGGAGAAAAAAAAAGAUUUUUUUCUUCGUUUCUGCAAUUUUCCAGGUCACUCUUUCCUAUCAACAUGUUACGAUUCAGAAAUUGAGACAAAUCUUGUACAUAGGAAUCUUUUUUAACAGCUGAUGGUUGGAAUUUAGCAGACACCUUGAAGUCAAAGAAGGCAAAUAGCAUUCCAAUAGCAUUAUUUGGUUGCAUGCCAUAUCCAAGAUUUUCACUAGUAAGCCACCAUUUUCUUGCUUUUGAUUGUUAUUCAUUCUCUGUUGCGCAAUUUUAUUUUCGCACAAUCUAUUUUUUUCGUUGAAUUUUCUCUUUUGCAAAACAGCGACCACCAAGGAAAGACAGAAAGAUUUUUUUGUUUUUGUUUUUGUUUUUGUUUUUGUUUUUUUUUUUAUGGUUGCACCUUGUGUUGGCACCCCUUAUUUGAAGCAAGUUGAUGUUCCAGUUGUGUUGGGGAUUUUAGGGCCAUAGCUCUUAGAACUCAAAAUACUAAUGUAAUUUCCGCACUCCAUGACAUUUACUUCUUGUCAAUGCCAAACUCUCCUCUUUUUUUUUGUGAUAUGAAAGGAAGAUCUCUCGUUGCAACAUAUAUGGUGGACACUCAAUUUGAAAGAAGGUGCAACCACCAACUUGCACGAGAGCCAUAUCAUGGUUUGAGGAGUAUAAUGAAAAUGAUGCAACUGCAAACUCUUAUGAGAGCCAUAUCAUGGUUGAGAAGUACAAUGAAGAUAGUGCAAUCAAAAAUUUGAAAAAGGUGCAAUCGCAAACUCCCAUGAGAGCCUAUCAUGGAUUGAGGAGUACAACGAAGAAUGUGCCACAAAAAGUUGAAAAAUGUGCAAUCGCAAACUCGCACGAGAGCCUAUCAUGGUUUGAGGAGUACAAUGAAGAAGGUGCAACUACCCACUUCAAUGAGAGCUUACCAAAACUCGAGAAGCCCUUUCAUUUAACUUCACAUUGACUAUUUAUUACUUCUCUCACUGUCUUCGAUCACACCAUUGUAAUCAAAUUUUUUUCUCUUGCUUUUGGUCCUAACGAAAUGGUGAUGGUCAAGGAAGUUACAUCUUCAAACAAAAGGCACCUCCUUAUCACUAAUAGCCAUGAUGACUCUGCUGACAAAGGAACGAAAUUAUUGGUGCAUCCCUCUAUACAAGAAAUUUACUCUGGUGAUUGGUUUUCUCACAAGUAUUCCGAAUUAAAGGAUUGGUCACUAAAAUUUUCUCAAGAUGAUGGUACGAAAGUUCACUCCUUGAAAUUCCUUAUCAUAAUAAGGAGCCAAGGACAAUUGGCAGGCGAAUCCUAGAUGAGACUAAGGGUGCAAACGAGGCAAGUCGAAUCGAGUUUUGAAGUUAUUGAGUCGAGUUACACUUAUUUAUAUGCGAGCUCGAGUUCGAGGUCGAAAAAUAGAGCUCGAACUCGGCUCGAUGUAGGAAAAGGAAAACUCGAGAUCGACUCGCUUAUGGCUCGCGAGUUUAGCUCGAAUUCUGGCUCGCGAGCAGCUCGAGUUUUGCUAGAUUUUCUGGCUCGCAUGAAGCUCGAAGUCAGCUCGAUUCUAGCUCGUUAGGAGCUCCAGUUCGAACUCGAAAACAGCUCGAUUUUCUGGAAAUUUAUGCAAGAAAACAGAAUUUUUGUCCGCAUAUUUUUGAUAAAAUUUGAGCAUGAUAACAAUAAGUUUUCACAUAUUCUUGAUCUUGAGGCCUACAAAUUAUGCACUAAUACAAUCAUAAAUGUCCAAAUGUCCACUAAUACAAAUUAUCCAAAUGUCCACAAAUGUCCACUAAUACAAAUUAUCCAAAUGUCCACAAGAAGUCUGAAGAAUACCAGCUUGUUGUCCACAAAAACCAAGGCAUGACAUGAAGCGAGAAUUUCCUGACUGCGUCCUGGAACUUUACUCAUUUCUGUCUCUAAUUCCUCAUGAUCAGUUAGUCCACCAACAUUGAACAAUAUGGAUCAGGAAUGGGGAAAAAUCACUUUCUAACACUCAAGAUCACAUACAACUCAUAUCCAACAAAUAUCCUGAAGUUUCAUGAGUAUAAUCACAUUAAAAGAGAAAAGGAUACUGACAAGCAUGCUAAUCAAACUCAAGCAGAAAAGGUACUUUCUCCUUGCCGUCUCCGACAUCCCAGCCAGCAAAUGGCUGGGGUUCGUGACAGCUGUUUGGGUCCAAUCCAUCUCCGGCAACAACUAUACCUUCUCCAAUUACUCCGACGCCCUCAAAUCACUCAUGGCCCUCACUCAGCUCCAACUCAACAACCUCUCCGUCGCCAAUUGAUGUCAUUAAAGCAGAAAAUCGGCCUGAUGGCCUCCACCAGCUGCCAUCCCUAAUCCAAGAAGGUCGAGUGUAGUAUGCUUAGGACCAAAUACAGAUGGAGUUCCCAACAUCAGUUCCUUCAAGCUAGACCCACCAUCACACGGCAGCCCUAGUCCUAGGCCUACUACCAAUGAUGCACUAUCAGACUCAAUUGCCCUCCCACUCUUCGCCCGGAAAGACAGUGGUGAAAAGAGGUAAGGAGGUGGCGGCAAAGAGCGACGGGUUAGCCAAAGUUAGAAGAUCCUCUUUUUCUAGAUUUGCAAGUUUCCUACUCUAGAGACAAAAAUGUCCUUGAUAUUUGGUCGUGCAUCUUACAAGAUAAUGCUUUCCGUCAAUUUUAACCGUUGGAUUUGACGGAAGGGCCAUGAAUAUGCUAUUUUAUUAGAUCGAGAGCCAAAAUUUUACCGUUAAUUGUUGGAGGGUUAAAACUUUAUCUGGAAAAGAGUUGGAGGGCCAUUGGAACUCUUUUUCCAAAAAAAAAAAGUCACUUUUGUCAUUUGUCCGAGAACAGUUCAGGGGCCAUCUCGACAGUAUAUAUUUUUCUUACAUGCCAAGACAAUUAAUGAAAAUUGACCAAUAACACACGCACACACACGCGCACGCACACACACACACACUCUCUCUCUCUCGGUUGCUGCCAAGUCUUUCCACUGAAAAGGAAAAUUCAUAUUGUUUACAUAGAUAAAUUACCUCCAGUCCGUGGAAUGUCUUGAUGUUAGGUGAGUUCCAAUAUUUUGGUAUCAUCUAAUGUUCAUUUGUGAAAGAUUGAGAAAUGAUAAAGAGCAAAACACCAAUUUAUUCCAUAAAUUAUUUUGCUAAAAUCAAAAUAGUCCAUAAAUUUUCUUUUGGCCAAAUUUUUGUCAUGAACUUUCAGAAACGGUUGCUUCCUGCAACCGUUGGUGAGGGAUUUCAUCCGGAUUGCUUGUGCAGUUGAGUAACUAUACAGAAAUUCUUUUUGGGAUGCUGAGUAUCUUAGGGUGGGUACAAUGAUCGCUUAGAUCAGUAGAGAUGAUUGAUGAUGUAGUAGGGGAAGAUUCCCUUUAUAAAGCUGAUUUUCUCAUGAUUAAUAAGAAUAUAAAUGUUACCAAAUUUUCUUUUCAAAUGUGUAACGAAAAUAUUGGCCAUGAUCAGCAAGACCUCCUUAAUUAUAAAAGUUUCUUGAAUGUCAUCAUCCAAUUUGUUUAAGCGAGGAUUUUUAAAUGCUAUCUUUAAGCAAAUUGAUUUUUGUAUUAUAGAUACUUACUACUAUUACUUCAUACCUAGCUACAAACCUCAUGUAUGUUUUAAUCCAGAACAAAUCAGGGCCAUGGGCCACCUUGCACAUAGCGAGAGUGGAAAAAUAAAACUACACAAUUGCUUUUUUGAAGCCAGUGACUCAACUGAUUUUGCGCUCGGCAAUUCAUCCGAUUUUCAUUAAAAGGGCCCUAAGAGGCCAUUGGCGUUUUGGGCCUGUGAAAAUUUGGAUGAUUUGGUGUGUCCAAUGCAUGUGUAAGCACAAAUUUUGUUGUCUAAAAUAAAAGACAAGAAAACUUACAUAAAUAUCAAAUUUAUUAAAUUAAAUAACAAGAGGGUUACAAUAUUUGAAAAUUUUUGAAUCAAAGAAAUUAAUCUCCUAAUUUUUAUCUUCAAAAGGCUUUAAUCGGAAGGCCAAAAAGGCUUGUUCUCCGAUCAAGAGGGUGUUUUCUAUGAUUUCUAUGUAAAAAACGGCUGCUUUGAUGAUGACGUUAAUAUUUGAAUCUUUAAAUCUUCAACGCCGAUGGAAGGAGGAUUUAUUUAACUUAAUUUGGAUUUGGAUUUGAAUUUGAGGGAUAAAGCUCUCGACAGAAUUUGACAAAGUUACUUUGAAAUUUAGGAAUUUUAAUGUAUUUUUGCCUUGAGGGAAGACCUUUAUUUAGAGUCAACUUAUGCAAGCUAUGUCUUCAAGAGAAUCCUUCAAAACCAUCUUGCGUUUGGGUAACUUGUACCUUAAGAAACCCAUUUAACUUGGAGUUAAAUAGUGGUCCGACCCAAAUAGUCAAUUGUGAAUUAACAAAUCAAUUAAAUCACUUUAAUUUAAAUGGGCAUCAUAUUUUUUAUUUGAUUAAAUAGCUCAUAUAACAUUGGCUCAAUUUGUCAAUCCAAAACAUAAUGAACUUCUAUAAUUUAAUUCAAUUUAACUAAGAUCAAUUUAAUUUACUUAAUCUUGACUAAAAAUAAAUUAAAUAAAUUUUCGUUGUCUAUGUCCCCACUUCAAAACUUGGCGAGGCAUUGCAUGUUAAUUGCUGGAGGCAAGACUUGAAGUAUUAAUUUUACUGCUGACCUAAAGUCAAACUAAAUUAAAGACUUCAAGCGUUCGGCAUACGGGUGAUCCACUUUUUUUUUUUUUUUUUUUUUUUCCUUUUUCUUUGGGAAGAGAAUGGUCCACAUCAAUUGUAGAAUUGCACCUCAAAGUCCAAUUGAAUAGGCAACGGUCACGGGUCUUCACUUUCACCUACUACUUGAAUAAAGCCUUGAAGCUCUUGAAUUUUCCAACUCUUAAUUUAGUCGUCAAUGGAAGUGCAGCCCCACAAUAUUAGACCGCAACUUUGACCCGUAGAAUUAGAAACCCCCGUUUGAUUAUGCGAUGUGGGCUCCUGCGCAGAAACUCCCAUAUGCUGAAAUUUGGAGUUUGCUCGUACGUUUCUGACCACCAAAUCUUGUUUUGGCACUUGGCAAUAUGGAAUUUGCUGAGUUUCAACGCUUCCUAAACGGAACUUUAAUGUAUUUCCAAAACCAAUGUUUGCAACUUCUGAAUAAGAAUAUGCCAAAUUUUAAGAGCUUCCCAAAUUGACUUCCAGCCAUUGAAAUUAUUCUUGGGAACCAAAUUCAAAUGAUUUCCAAAAAGUUAAACGAUAAUCACUGAAUUUAGUAUCUGUCCAAAACUUAAAACUUCUUAAUAUGAUUCAUCUAAGCACCUUUAUAUAUAUAUAUAUAUAUAUAUAUAUAUAUAUAUAUAUAGGUACAGAAGACAUGUCUUUGUCUUGAAACUGUGACAAACAGGACAUUUAUGACAAGGGCGUGUGAAGACUACCACGCUAUUUGAGGGAAAAAAAACCUGUUUGACACGUAUAUCUUGAAGGUAAUCAUCUUUAUUGUCUUUUGACAACUUCAUGUUGGUCGAGUAUCAGAUAUUCACCAAAUUUUGUUGAAAUCUGUCAAAACUUGAUUUGUUUCUAAUUUGGAGAAAAAAAAAGAUUUUUUUCUUCGUUUCUGCAAUUUUCCAGGUCACUCUUUCCUCUCAACAUGUUACGAUUCAGAAAUUGAGACAAAUCUUGUACAUAGGAAUCUUUUUUAACAGCUGAUGGUUGGAAUUUAGCAGACACCUUGAAGUCAAAGAAGGCAACUAGCAUUCCAAUAGCAUUAUUUGGUUGCAUGCCAUAUCCAAGAUUUUCACUAGUAAGCCACCAUUUUCUUGCUUUUGAUUGUUAUUCUUUCUCUGUUGCACAAUUUUAUUUUCGCACAAUCCAUUUUUUUUCUUUGAAUUUUCUCUUUUGCAAAACAGAGACCACCAAGGAAAGACAGAAAGAUUUUUUGUUUUUGUUUUUGUUUUUGUUUUUGUUUUUGUUUUUUUUUUUUAUGGUUGCACCUUGUGUUGGCACCCCUUAUUUGAAGCAAGUUGAUGUUCCAGUUGUGUUGGGGAUUUUAGGGCCAUAGCUCUUAGAACUCAAAAUACUAAUGUAAUUUCCGCACUCCAUGACAUUUACUUCUUGUCAAUGCCAAACUCUCCUCUUUUUUUUUGUGAUAUGAAAGGAAGAUCUCUCGUUGCAACAUAUAUGGUGGACACUCAAUUUGAAAGAAGGUGCAACCACCAACUUGCACGAGAGCCAUAUCAUGGUUUGAGGAGUAUAAUGAAAAUGAUGCAACUGCAAACUCUUAUGAGAGCCAUAUCAUGGUUGAGAAGUACAAUGAAGAUAGUGCAAUCAAAAAUUUGAAAAAGGUGCAAUCGCAAACUCCCAUGAGAGCCUAUCAUGGAUUGAGGAGUACAACGAAGAAGGUGCCACAAAAUGUCGAAAAAUGUGCAAUCGCAAACUUGCACGAGAGCCUAUCAUGGUUUGAGGAGUACAAUGAAGAAAGUGCAACUACCCACUUCAAUGAGAGCUUACCAAAACUCGAGAAGCCCUUUCAUUUAACUUCACAUUGACUAUUUAUUACUUCUCUCACUGUCUUCGAUCACACCAUUGUAAUCAAAUUUUUUUCUCUUGCUUUUAUUGCAAGUUGGUCCUAACGAAAUGGUGAUGGUCAAGGAAGUUACAUCUUCAAACAAAAGGUACCUCCUUAUCACUAAUAGCCAUGAUGACUCUGCUGACAAAGGAAUGAAAUUAUUGGUGCAUCCCUCUAUACAAGAAACUUACUCUGGUGAUUGGUUUUCUCACAAAUAUUCCGAAUUAAAGGAUUGGUCACUAAAAUUUUCUCAAGAUGAUGGUACAAAAGUUCACUCCUUGAAAUUCCUUAUCAUAAUAAGGAGCCAAGGACAAUUGGCAGGCGAAUCAUAGAUGAAGACACACACUGGGGUGCUUCCUUGAGAUUUAGUGAUGAAUUUGGUUAUAUCGAGAAUUAUUAGGAGCGGUUGGAAGAUAUUUUUGGAAAAAACAAACAAGUGUUUCGUGAAAAUUACUUGUUCGAUGUCUUAUAUGCUUCGCUUCUCAUAUAUAACAAAAAUUCUCAUGUGUUUAGAGCAUUUUGCGAGACAUGGUGCCUAAACACUAAUACCUUGCAUAUGUCAAUUGGAGAAUUAUCUCUCUCACUUUGGGAUCUGUGUAAAUUAGAAGGACUUCCAAUCAUCGGAUACAUCUAUGAAGAGGCGAUCCCAUGUGUAGAGGAACUAACUGGAGUUAAUGAAAAGAAGUUGAUGCAUAUUCCGCAAAAUUGUGAGUAUUUGUUCGCGGCUCUGCACUACCUUCAACAUGGAGAAUACUACAAUUAUGGAGUUUCUGCUAGCCAAUAGAUUAACUUUUGGUUUAAAGGCAACGUGAGGUAUUCAAAACCAAAACAGAGAAGGAUAAAGAGAGCAUCUAGUGCUUAAGCAACCCAAAAUCCAGAUGGAAAGAUUGGACAACCACGUAAUUUUUAAUUCAAGACAAUGGCAUAUAUGAUACCAUUGGAGACAAGUCUCACUUACGAGAAGAGACUUAUCUUGUAGCAUUUAUAUCUUGUUGACUCUACGUUUUUACUCUACCAGAUGAGGACGUCUAUUAUAUUAGACUAUCUACCUUCAAAAUGGCUAGCAUGAUGGCUGUCGGAUAUAAAACUUGCCUUGCUGUUCCUGUCUUGCUGAGUAUCUAUCACGGAUUCAAUAAAAUUUCAAAUUCAUCUACUCCAAGGUGUGCGCGUGCAUUUUUUUCAAUGCACUACGUGUAUGCUUAACUGGCGAGUUAUUUCUCUACCCAUUAUUCAACUCCGAAUAUCAUGCCUGGACCAACAAUUAUCAAUUAUUCUGGAAAGGGUGUGCACAAUAUUUUGAUGAAAAUAGUGCUUGCGACCUCAUUCAUCAAGGAGACAAAGUAACUUGGGGGACAACUUCUCUUGUGAAGAAUUAAAAUGAAUUUUUUGUUGAUGAUGGCAAGUUAGCGAACCCAGAACUGAUUUAUUUCGUAAGUGCUUGCUCAAAUUAUUUAGUCUUACAUGCUGAAGGAGAUUUUCUUGUUGAGCCAUACAGGUUUGCAAGGCAAUUCGAAUUUUAUCAAAACACCCCACAAGAACUGGGAGCAGAUGUUCAUUCUACAAAUUAUGACUUGAGUCAAAUACUUUGACACAUUGCUAUUCAUAAUAAGACAGAGUCGAAGGUAUUUUUUUCUAGUUACCCCUUGAAUGCUAACAAGCAUAUAUCUCCAGAUUUUCAAACAUGAUGUUUUGAUUAAGAGUGUCCAACCAAAUUUGAAACAGAAGAAAUCGAAAGGAAAGAAACUUGCAAAUUUGAAUAAUCCUGUCAAGGUUGGCAGUAAUCUUGAGGCGAAACAGAAAAUCACCAAGACUGUGAGGAUUGAGGAGAAAGCAUUGCAGAGCUCCAGCAACUCGUGAAAUUCUAAUUUUCAAUGAAGAAUUUUCGAAUGGUAAUUCAUUUUGUCUUCCUUCAAUAAUUGUAAAAGCCACCAAUCAUGAGUCUCGCAAUUCCAAUGAAAAGAAGAGGAGCAACUCUUUUGAUGAGAAGGAUGAGCAAUCUACUAGUACAGACUAGCACUAGAAGCAUAAGAAAUUCAAGGUAAUGACUUUCUCUUUGGAUGAUAUUGUUUUAGACCCUAAAGAAAUGUUUAAGGACAUUCUGGACAAAUAUGUGCUUGGUAUAAGUCAUGCCAAUAUUAUAAGAACAUUCUCUUGCCUUCUUUAGUUUGGCAUUUGAAAUUUACUUAUCAAUUUCAUAUUCAUGAUAUGUCUCAUAACAUUUUCCAUGUAGUUGAAUGAUCAAAACUUGAUUUUUAUUAAUGAUGGGAAAUCAAGCUAAGAAUUCGUUGAAGGACCCACUAUAUUUUAACUUUUAACAAAACAAGUGGUCAAUUCUACUCAAUAAAAGGGCAUCAUUGAAAAUUUCAAAAAGGCAGUGCAUGAUGAAAAUUCAGUUCAACAAAUCAUGCUACAGAAGAAAGAACAUGUGACUUCACCGGAGAAAAAAAAGUUCAAAAUUUUUGAUCCACAACCGUAGCCAAGGGCACCUCAAGUGUCUGAAUUUUGCCCCCAAACUAUGAUCUUAACAUGUCAUCGAGAUUACAUUCAAAUGCUCUGAAAUAAUUUGAAGGUGCUGAUAUCCGAAACAAUCCUGGAACGCAUUUCUGCUCUUAAGAUGAAAGCAAAUGAAAUCAUGGAGGAAAUGCAAAGUUUCAAUGCUAUGAAUAUUUCAAACUUGUAAGGCCUUUUAAAGCCUUUCUUUACAAAACCAAUUCGUUCUGUCGUAAUAAAGUCUUCUUUCUCAAAUAAAAUUUCAAUUGAAUCAUAUAAUGAGUUGUUUUCUAUAGCUACCCAACAUCUUAGAGAUGCUCAGAGUAAGGAGAAAUAAUAACUUAAAAAGUUCUCAACGUACAUGUUAAAAUUUAAAGAGAUUGACCAUGAGAAAAUAGAGCUAAGGAAAUGACUUGAAUCUAUGGGUACUCAUAGGAUGGAAAUACUUUCACUGCUACGAAAGAAACAAGACGAGCUUACCUAAAUGCAAGGCAAGAUGAUCAACUUAUGAAAUGAAAUUCAAAAGAUUGAAGAUUCCCUAUCUUUACUUGUUGAGGAGAGCCAAACAUUGAACAAAAUGCAAGCACUACUUGAAAGCAACUGCAAAAAACUGUCAUCAUUUGAACUUUAGAAUUAGUUACAAUCUUUUACUUUUUUCAAAUUUUAUUUAUUGUCACUUGCCUAUAUUAUAUAGCCACAGGCAUAAUUAAUUUUUUAUUUCACCAUGAAUCAUGAUUUUUUUUAUUUCAUGAUACUCUUGUGGAUAUUUCUUACUUUCCUUUGUUGCUUUCAUUAACCACCAUUUUAGACUAUCGAUUGCAAAAUAAACAAUUCAACAUUUGCAUAAUUUUAAUCACAUUUGAAGAGGUAAUUGUCUACAUAAUUUGAUAAUUUGAACAAUAUACUUUCAGGUGUAUGUUGCAAAGUAAUUUGAAUUGCCCUAAAGAGAAAAACUUUUUAUCUUUUAUUGCAUGACAUCUUUAUGGGGUUGUAACUGAAUUUCGAAGUUACCAUCUAAACUGUUUGCAUAUCCCAAAAGGGAAUAAAUUCACGUGUAGUUCCUACCAUCCACAGUUUAAUUUCUUGCAGGUCAGGAGUAUCUAUUUGCUUAUCACUUUAAACUUGGUGGAGUGUUUUAGUAGUUUAACCAUAUACUACACUAUUGGUGAUUGCCGUCCACAGUUUUAACUCAUAUGGACCAAGAGCAACAUGCAGUUUAGACUCAUGUGUCAUGAAACAACAUGCAGUUUAGGGUCAUGCGUCAUGUUGUCCUUUAUUUUUUUUAUGGCGUGUAUAAUCUUAAGAAAUUUUCAUUUAUGGGUCAACAUUUACACCAUUUUGUCAACUACCUUGUACGCGUUAUUUGUAUAAACAUUUCGGAUAAUAUAUGGUCCAUCCUAUUCGGAGACAAAUUUAUCUUUAGCAUGAUGAGUCAUAACUAUUGAUUUUCGAACGGCGAACACUAUGUCACCAAUUUGAAAGGAAUGAUGAUGAUAGCUUUAGAAAGGUAAGCCUGGUAGCAUUCAAGAUUUUGUUGAGUUUCCAAUUCCUUUUCAUCUAAAGUUUCUAAUUCUUUAAGAAGCAAGCAAAUAUUUUCUUUCUCCAUGAGCCCUUAUUGGAUGGCAAUUCUCAGAGAAAGAAUUUGUUGUUCAAGAAGCAAGACAACUUCUACACCAUAAACUAAGGCAUCAGGGGUGGCUUGCAUUGGAAUUCGAUAUGUGGUGCGAUAAACGCAGAGAGUUUCACCUAUCAUUUCAUGCCAAUCCUUCUUUGAUCUGGCCAUCACUUUUUUCAACAAGUUGCAUAGAGUUUUAUUGAAUGCCUAAACAAUACUGUUGGCAGGGACAUUAUACAUAAAGGACUUGCGAUGUUUGAAUUUAAAUUUCUCACACAACCUAUCCAUUAAACAGUUGAAGAAGGGUUUCCAUUAUCAGUGAUAAUGUGUUAGAGAAUUUCAUAACGAUAAAUAAUAUUUACACGAAUGAAAUUCACCAUAUCUUCUUUUCUCACUUGAGUGGUAUAGUUUCAUCCCAUUUAGAGAAGUAGUUGGUUGUAACCAAUAUAUAUAGAUGUUGUCCGAACGACUUAGGCAAUGGUCCAACAACAUUAAGGUCCCAGGCAUCAAAAGGCUAAGAAGUAAUAGUCAAAUGUAAUAGUUCGGGUAAUUGAUGAAUGUAAUUUGCAUAGAAUUGACAAGUUUGACACCUUUGAGCGUAUUCCAUACAAUCUUUGACCAUAGUAAGGCAAUAAUAGCCCAUCAUUUUAAUCCAAAAAUGCAACUUGGGACCGAAUUGGUGAGUUUGACAUAUUUCAAAAUGUGCCUCUUGCAUAGCUUGAUAUUCAUUAUCUUCAUUCAGACAGCGCAAGAAUACACUUUCAAAUGAUUUUUGAUAUAGCGUAUCUUUGUAUAAGAUGAAACGGGGGCACGACAAUAGAUAUCAAAUCUUUUAUGUUGCUCCUUAGGUACCUUUUGAUACUUGAUAUAAUUGAUAACAGGUUGUCUCCAAUCUUCUUUAUCAACUUCAUAAGUUGAGACGACAUAAGCAUCACCUUCCUCAAUAUUUUCAUUAUCAAAUAAUGGUGAAACUAUCCACUUUUGAUACACACGAACUUGUAUUUCAUAAUUUGACAUAGUCAGAGAAGAAGCAAGCAUAGCUAAUGCAUGAGUUUGCUUAUUUUCUCUUUUAGGGACAUGUUCAAUACUUGUACCUUCAAGUUACCUUAUAAGUUGCGUUGCAUUCUUGUGAUAUGGAAUUAAUUUAAAUUUUUUAACAUCAUAAUUUCCCAAGGGUUGACUAACGACUAAUUGUGAGUUGCCAUAGAUUUGAAACUCAAAUUAUUUCAUGUCAAUAGUUAUUUCAAGUCCGAAUAUGAGGGUUUGAUACUUAACGACAUUAUUUGAACAACGUUGAUUUAGAAUAAAGGAGUAUGGCAAAACUUCUUCAUCAGAUGUUGUAAAUACAAUUUUGACUCCAACUCCAUGACGAUGAGUAGCAGAUUUCAAUAAGGAGUACAUUUUUAUUUGGUAGAUCAUCACUUAACUCCCAUUCAACAAGUAUCGGGUGAUCAAUAAGAAAAUCUACUAGUACUUAACCCUUCACGGCCUUUUGGAAUACAUAAAUAAUUUUAAAUUAUUGUAACUAGGUACCAUUUAGCUAGACAGUUGGAUAGUGUUGGUCUACUUAUCACGUAUUUUAUGAAGUUUGCCUUGAAGAUGAGUCUCACACUGUGUGCUUGAAAGUAGUGUUUUAACUUCUAUAUUAUAAAAAUAAGAGUUAAACACAACUUUUCAAUCGGUGAGUAGUUUAAUUUAUUAGAGAUCAUCAUAAAUAAUAAAGGGCAGUUUCUUUCACUUCAUUAUUUUCUUGUGCAACCAAUACCUCCACUAAACGUUCUUGGGUAACAAUGUAAAGAAUUAAUGGCUUUCUAUAAAUAGGUUCAAUCAAGACAGAUGCCUUCAUGAGAUAAGAUUUAAUGCUAUUGAAUGUAUUGCUGUACGCUUCAUUCCAUUGGAAUGGUACACCUUUCUUCAUAAGGUGAUUAAAUGGUUGACACCUUUCAAUUAAAUUUGAGAUAAACCUCCACAGAUAGGUUAAUCGCUCUUGAAGGCUUUUUAUUUCUGAAUAUUGCGAGAUUCAGGCAUUCUCAAUAUAGCAUCAAUGUUGACUCGAUCAAUUUUAAUACCUCGAUGACAGACCACAAAAUCAAGAAACUUUCCUGAUGUAACUCUAAAUGCACAUUUGAGAGGAUUCAAUUUGAGUUGAUAUAUUUUCAACCGAUCAAAAUUUUGUUUCAAAUCCUCCAAGUGAUUAUUUCUUUUUUUUUUUAUUUAACAACCAAAUCGUCCAUAUAACAUUUAAUAUUUUUAUGAAGCAUGUCAUCAAAAAUAUUUUACAUUAAUCUUUGAUAUGUAGUUUUGAUAUUUUCAAACUAAAGGGUAUUAUGUUAUAACAAUAAAUACCCUUAGGAGUAUGAAAUCUAGUGAGUUAUUUAUCCUCAGGUGUUAUUCGAAUUUGAUUAUAGUUAGAAAAGCUAUCCAUAAACGACAAACCCUCAGACCCAAUAAUUGCAUUAAUCAUGAGUUUGGUGAUGGGUAGAGAAAAAUCAUCUUUGGAACAAGCACUGUUAAGAUCCCUAAAAUUUACGUAGAUGUGAAUUUGCCUGUUCUUCUUUCGUACAGACAUGAUAUUUGAAAUUCAUGUGAAAGACUUAAAUUCAUGAAUAAAUCCAUCAUCAGUGAAUUUAUUGAUUUCAACUUCGAUCAAAUAGACCAAAUCGGGUCUAAAUCACCAUUGUACUUACAUUACAGGUCGAACUCCCUUUUUAAUAGGUAAAUGGUGGACUGCUACUUUUGAAUUUAGACCUAACAUUUCUUUAUAAGUUCAUGUAAAAAUAUCUUGAUACUCUUGCAAGAACUCAACAUAUGUCUUCUCUUCAUCAGAAUUCAAUAAAGCACUUACCUAUAUAGGAUAUGGGUCCUGUGAAGUGCCAAAAUUGAUUUUUUAAGUCAUCUACAGUGGCCUUAACGCCUUGUUCAAAUUCAGGUGAAGCAUCUUCAACAUCUUCUUCUUCUCCAAGGGAAUUAUUAUCAAAUAUGGUUAUAUGGUUGUAUGAAACAAUACUUUCUUCAUCAUCUUCCUUUGAUCUUGUUUCUACAAUAGUAUGCUCUCUAACCUUUAGUUCAGUCCCAUAAAUUAUUAUAAGAUUUGUACAUCUCCUCAUUCUUGAGAGAAUAAUGUUACCAAACUUAUAAAUGUUAUGGGGACAAUCAAAAGAUUCUUCAAAUUCUUUCAGUGAUUUUGUCAUUCUCCAUUUAUUCUUAUGAGAAUUUUGAGACUUUUAUUUUCUUUGUGGUCCUAGUCUUUUGAAGACGAAUACUCACAGAGCCUUAUCCCUAUUUUUAUGAAAAACGUGUGACUUAUUGACUAUUUUAGAAGAUUCAUCUCUUAUAGCAAUAAAUUGACUACCAGCUCUAUUGAUUUUGAUGCGAAUUGGUACAGGUGAAAAAUAGUAAAGAUCAGAUUUAGAAUUCUUAACAGCAUAUCCUUUCCCUUUCAACAUCUUUUGAGUAAGGUUUAACCCAUAAGUCACAUCGCUAGUGGCUUGAGGAGGUUUCAAUACCAGAGAUUUCUUGAAAUCAUACCCAAUUUUGGUAAGAAGUUUAUAAGCAAUAUAAUCAAAAGCUUCAUUAAUUCUUGACGUCAGUAGCAUAUCUUGCUUGAUGUCAAACUCUUUAUUAAGAUGAUCAAACCCUUUGAUUAAAGGCGAUGGUAUAUUCGUAGCAUCAAGUUUAGCCACAGGAAGAGUUAAUCCUUUCAGAGUUUUGUGUGGAAUUGAAGAUGGUUGUCCUUGUCCCAAUCUUGACUUGGGAGGGUAUCCGAAGACAACUGAUUUAUUUUUUAACAAUGAGGCAUCAAUUUUUUUAUGAACUACCUCUUUUGAUUUUGGAAUCACCACUUUCUUCGUUUUGCACUUGAUGAUUCGAGAUCUUGGAUUUUAACCAUAGAUGGAGAUUGUUUAAACUCAUUCUUUAUGUUAUACUGAUUUAUUUUUUAACAAUGAGGCAUCAAUUUCUUUCUGAACUACCUCUUUUGAUUUUGGAAUCACCACUUUCUUCCUUUUGCACUUGAUGAUUCGAGAUCUUGGAUUUUAACCACAGAUGGAGAUUGUUUAAACUCAUUCUUUAUGUUAUAUUUUUGGAUAUAAAAUUUAGCAUUAGCGAUAUGCAUUUCUACUUCAGUGUAAAGAUUAUAAUCAGUUUUCACACUUUUUACCACUCCAUUUCGGUAAUACUUGAAAUAUUGGUGAAGAGUUGAAAGCACAACCCCAUUUUCAUGAAUCCAGGGUCUUCCCAGUAGCAUAUUAUUUAUUGUUUUAGUAUCUAUUACAUACAGUUGUGCUUUAGACAAUAUAUCAUCGAUAACUAUCUCUAAAUUUAACGAUCCAAUAGCUCUUUGCCCUCCUUGAUUAAGGUCUUGUAUUAUUAGUCAGCUUAUUGGAAAGUUUAUCAAUGGAGAUGCCAAAUUCCUUUAGAGUUUUUAAGACAAGGCUAUUGACAGCAGAACCUCUCUCUAUCAAAAUUUUAUUCACAUUUUAUUUUUUAGCAUAAACAGUUACAAACAAAGGACGGUUAUGUGAUGUUGACCCAAAAAACAAGUUGAUAGGGUGUUAAUUGUUAGUAAUUUUAUUGCUAUUUUUCCCCUUUGUCCUUGCCAAAUAUUAUUUUAAUUGUUAACAUAUACUUAUUUUUGGUAUUUGGACCAAUCUACAGGAAGUGGAACUGACAAAUGCUAAAAAGGAGAUUUUAUUGAGAAAAAUCCUUCACAUGCUAGAGCCUCCAGCGGAUAUACAAGUUGGGCCCACAUGGUGUUACAAAUUCGGUUGCUGAUGGGGAGCUCUUAUUAUUGGGAGUUGACUUGUACGUGUAGGAGUCCUCCUACCAAGAGGAAACAAGAAAAAAGGAAUUCGGCAGAGGCCCAUCUUUUGUACUUAGCUUUCUCAAUUCGGUAGGGACCAUGGACUAGAGGUUUUCAUUAGUGAUUGGACUUUAAAAGGGAAGAAACGUAUAGAGGCUUGGGGAUUAUUAUGAUUAGCGUAGCUUUAGUUUUAGUGGUUAGCUAGCGUUUCCUUUUCAUGCGCACGAGGUGCUCGACAAUAUUUUUCAACGGGAAAAAAAAACAUCUUUUACUCUUGCUUUCUAGUGAAAAACUUGAUGCCUUUGCAAUCAAUUAAUUUGCGUGGAGAUUUAAUUAUGCGGCGUGGCUAAGCCUUUUAUCUAGUCAAGGAUCAACUCGACGGCGCAGUCCCAAAUAUCUGUGAGAUCUAAUUAGUUUUCACGCGUUUCUUAAUUUGUUAAUAUUUGCAUGUUGCCUAUUUGAAUUUCCACGGGAUUAUUUUGUUAAUUGGAUAUCAAGAGCCCGAUGUUCAAUGUGACUUAUUAAUUUCCUGCCAAAUUAGUCAAUUAAAUCCGUAAUUGUUUGAUUGAUUAAUAUUAGUAGCAACUGACAUGUUUACACACUAGAAGAACGUGCAAUCUAAUUUAAAUAACCCUCGUAGCGUGUUAUUGAUUGGGAUUAGAUUUUUCUAGUUAUUAAUGCAAUUGGGAAAUUAAUUCAUACAGUUGUACCUAGGAGUAUUUUCUGGUUAGGAGUAAUCAUUGGUCGUACCUUGGUUAUCAAUAAAUUAAGGAAAAAUUGGUCGUUAGAAUUCGUCGGCGACUAUAACUAGCCUAUUAAUAAAUUAAGUGAACCUCCCUUGCAUCAAUGAUCGGGUAAGUGGACUGUGUCUGAGUAGUUGUAUUCUUAACUAAAAUUUAUCUAUUCUUGAUUUAAUUCCUGCCUAUAUUCGUGCUAAUUAAUUAUUUAUUUUUAGUGAAUUGCUUAAUUAUUUUUAGUUUUACUCCAAUAAAAUUCCUCUUUACCAAUUGGAAUCUCAAAAAGACAAAUAUUCUCAGUCCCUGAAGAGACGACCCUACUUGCCAUUGUCUACUAUUUAGUAAGUUUUGUCAACUAAUUAAUUUUGGUAUAUCGGAUUAAGCAAAUUUUUCGGGAACAGGGUGAAUUAAGUAACCUAUUGCACAUCUAGAGUCCCGGCUCUAAUAUCUAGGAUUCAUUAUUGACUGCUUUUAGUGGUAUUUAGGUUAUUAUUAUUAUUAUUGCACAGUCUCGACACCUGUCAAUUUUUGGCGUCGCUGCCAGGGACUGGCGUUAAUUAUUUGUUUUUUUAAGUUCAAUUUUGUUCUAAUUUUCUGGUAUUUUUUCUAAUUUAUGCAUCAUUCUUCUCGUAUAAGUGAAUUAAUUUUCGACCCUGAAGUAGAGAAGAUCGCGCGUAGAACGAGAAAAGAAACCAGACAAUUCAGAGAAGAGCACUCAAGUACUACAUCUCAGAGACUUGAGCCGGAAGUUGAACCGGCAAAUUCGUUUGGUAACACUUCGAGUGACUCGGAUCAAGAGAAACUCACCAUGGCAAAUGCACAAACAUUAAGGGAGUUGGCUGCUUCUAAUUUAAAUCAACAGCCUUUAUGCAUUGCUUUCCCAAGUUUGAAUGAUGACACCCUCUUUGAACUAAAAUCUGGUCUAAUUCAUCUCUUGCCAUCUUUUCAUGGUUUACCAGGUAAGGAGCCCUACAAACAUUUACAAGAGUUUGAUGUUGUUUGCAACAGUAUGAAACCCCCGGGAAUCACAGAAAAGCUGAUAAAAAUGAGGGCCCUCCCCUUCUCUUUGAAGGAUUCAGCGAAAGAUUGGCUAUACUACCUACCACCAGGUAGUAUCACCACGUGGGACCAGUUGAAAAAAAAAUUCUUAGACAAAUAUUUUCCUGCGUCUCGGGCCGCCAGCUUAAGGAAAGAGAUAUGCGGUAUCAAACAACACCCAGGCGAGUCUCUCUAUGAGUACUGCGAGAGGUUUAAGAAGCUGUGUAUCAAAUGCCCUCAGCAUCAGAUAAGUGAGCAACUGCUCAUCCAAUAUUUCUAUGAGGGACUACUCUUCACGGACUGGAGCAUAAUCGAUGUUGCCAGUAAAGGGGCGCUAGUGAACAAGACCCCUCGAAAAUCUUGGGAGUUGAUUGAGGGGAUGGCUGAAAAUUCACAGCAGUUUGGUGGGCAGUGGCGAUGGCGAAGGCUCGCGGGGGUGGAAGAGCCGUUGGCGCGACUGGGGCCGCGCGGCUGCUAGAAUCUAGUUGCAUCAGUCUCUGUGGUCCUUGGGAUCUUUGAUUCGGCUGUUCCAUAGCUUGUCGAUCCUUUGUUGCAUCCCUGUAGGCAUUGUAAUUCCUGUUGAUUGAGUUGUUAUCUAGUUUUUGAGGGCACCUCUAGUAGUUCCUUUAUUUGGGAGUUAUUUGGGGUUGAGUUGGGAGUUAUUGGCCAAUUGAUUCCUAUUUUGCUUUCGUCCUGUUUCUGGUACUGUAUGGUUUUGAUUGGGGGGUGUCUCAGUGGUUUGGGUUGCCUGUUUGAAUUGGUUCUUACCUGUGUGUGCACCAGUGGUACUGGUUGUGUUGGGAAUCCGUGACUGAUUUGUUCUUGUCCAAUUGAAGCCAUUUUGAGCAAUUUUGGGGUGAACACAUUUUGUCAUUAAUUGUUGAUUGUUGGGGGACGUUUUUGGUAACACUUGAGUUGAUAGGGUGUUAAUUAUUGGUUAUUUUAUUAUUAAUCUCCCUUUUUAUUCUUGCCAAAUAUUGCUUAAUUGUUAAUAUUUACUCAUAUUUGGUAUCUGGACUUAAUUUCAGGAAUGAAGUAGAAAACUACCAAAAAGGAGGGAUUUUAUGGAGAAUAUGGAAACUUCUAAGGGCUUCAAUUCUUGGGCCCUUGAAUUGGUGGGGACCACAAGCUAGUGAAAGGCAUUUAGUCAUUUGAGCUCUUCAAAAGAAGCUACGUAUAUUUUAUUUUAUUUUAUUUUAUUUAUUUUAUUUAUCUCUUAUUUUUUUUUAUAUAGUUUAUGGCUUCUAACACUUCGUAUUUUGGUGAUAUACUGGAUUUUGUUUCCGGGAAAGGCAAUGUGACUAGUUUUUUUGCUAAGUCUGCAUAUGCAGAGGCACUAAACUCUAUUAGAGAAAGAAUGGCUGCUGCAACCUGUAAAAUUUGUUAUACCAGGGAUCAUUCAACCGGUAUGUGCCCCGAAUAUCAAGAUAAUCUGAGUGUCCCAUUCGAUAAUUAUGGAGAAUUUUCACCCUGGUCUCAAACGUGGUACGACCCUAAUCCAAACGGGUAUGAUCAAGGAUGGUGGGAUAACUCCAAUUAUAAUUAUACAACGGGACCAAUGAAUUUUCAGCAGUAUGAGUCUCAAGAAUCGUCAUCUAUGUCAGGUAUGUCUCUUGAAGAAAUAGUUGAACCAAUAGCUACUAACACAUACCAAUUCCAACAGGAGACACAAAUGAGGAAUGAGAUGAUGAAGGAUGCAAUGAGUUAUCUGGCAGAUCAACUAUGUCUAUUGACAUCCAGAAUAAAUCGAUGGGCUUCUCAAAUGGAAGAACUGCCCUCGAAAACCAUUGUUGACCUAGAAGAAAAUGAGAGUGCAAUUUGCUUGACUAGUGAUGAGGAGAUGCAAGAGUGUCAAAAUGAAAAAUCUACAGAUACAGUUGAAAAAGAAGCCGAAAAGGAAGAAAUGGAACCCCAACCGCAACCCAUUCAAGUGAAAGAAUCCAGUGAAGAAUCAUCAAAUGUGGUGACACCACCUCCAUUCCCUAACCCGCAUUUUUUCUAACUCUUACUCUAUGAUUUCUGUUAAUGAGAUUGAUUUUGUUAUACCGGAAGUUUUUGAGUCUCAUGGCAGAAAUAAGUUGAGAGUGGAGAUGGCGAAAUAUCUUGAACCGUUGAAUGCUCUUGAUGGAGGAAUGGAUGAAGAAUUGCGAUCAAUGCUUGAUUAUGUGGCGCCAUCAACUAGUCCAUGGAAGCCCGUGGUUCGUGUGCUCAAAGAUUACUCCAUCUAUGAGGGUUACCAGGAUCAUAUUGAAGAUGAAGCAUUGAAGCGAGCUACAAGAUUUUAUCCUCCAUGAACAAGACAUAACAAUGUCUAGCCAAAGACAUUAAAGAAAGGCGUUUUUUGGGAGGCAACCCAAAUAUUGAUUUUAUUAUUUUUAGUUGUUCAAUUCUUUCGUUCUGUUGUUUCUCAUUUGGAUAGUAGUUGGUCUUGAUAUUUUUCUCCACUGUGAUCAGGAAGUGAAAUCUUGGCGUGCCCACGCGGUGUUUAGGUCUCCUGAGAUCAGAGGACGAACACCAAUCUUGGCGUGCCCACGCGGUGUUUGGGUCUCCUGAGGUCAGUGAAUGUUUUGUAAUCUUGGCAUGCCCACGCGGUGUUUGACGACCCAAAACAUGAAAAAAAAAAAGUUUCAAAAUUUCACAUUGAGAAAAUUCAAAAAUUCAAAAGGCAUUUUUCUUUUUCUUCAAAAAUUCAAAUUUUGGAAUUUCAAAUUCAGGAAAAAAUUUGAAAAAAAAACAUUGAGAAAAAAAAACCCAAAAAGAAAAAAUUAAGAUUCAAAAAAAAAAAAAAACUAUUUUUUUUUCUCUCUUUUUCUUUUUCUCUUUUCUUUUUCUUUUUUCUUUUCUUCUUUUUUCUUUCUUUCUUCCUUCACCACCGCAGCAGCUACCCCACGCGACUCUCCUCCGCCUACCCCAGCGCACAGCCCAGGCCACGCGCUCCCUCCUUCCUGCAGCCCGUCGACGAAGCCCACCAGCCACCACCAGCAGGCCGCGGCUCCUUCCCCCUUGCGCGGCCACAGCUCGCGAACCACCUCUCCCACAGCGCGCGGCCUUCUCCCUUAUCUUUUGGCCGCGCGUCAUUGGCUCGCCCAAGGGCAGCCGCCGCCGCCGUUCCUCACAGUCAAGCAAUCGCAGGCCAAAGCCCACAACCCCAGCCGGCGCCGCCCGCAGCUCCUCGUGCGUGACAGCCGUGCGACGCCGCGCCUCCCUCAGCAACAGCUCCAAGCUCCAGCUCACUCGCAGACAGCCGCGCGAUUCUCAGCCAUUCACCUCGCGCGACCCCGAGCGCACAAUUCCGCGUGCCGCCAUCGAAGACCGCCGCGCCUCUCCCUCAGCCCGCCAUUGCGCCCCACCACUGUCCCGCUGUCUACGGUUGGGCACAAGGGAGGUACUUUUAAAAGAAAUUUUUAAUUUAAAUACGAGAAUGUCAAUUUCUAAAUUCUGGGGCUGUUUAGUGAUUGUUUGGAUUUCUUGGUGGAUUUGGUUGGCCGUCUGAUUAAAUUCUUCCUUGUGUGAUAACCAGUGGUACUGGUUGGGGUCUUUCGACCAUAGUUGUUGCUUAUAUUUGGUCAGAUGUCUGCUUGUUUGAAAGUUCACGUUCUUGUGAUUGAGUUGUUGCUCAAAUUCUGAUCUGCUGUUGCUAGAACUUUUGGUUGGUUGAGUUGUGCAAUUGACUGUCCAAUUGGAGACAGUUAUUGAGAUCUUAGGUGGGAUGGUGUCCAAUUGCUAAAAUUUGUUGCUUUGUUUCGUCACUCGCACUGCUCCUAGUUUGUUCGAGUGAAAUUGGUUGGAUGUUCUUUGCCCGUGGAGUGUAACUGUUACAUUGUUUGGGGCAGUUUUUUGGUAUUGAUUGAAUUGUUGGGCGUAAAUUGCUCAGGACUUUACAUUGCUAAUUUGGUGGGCCAUUUAUUGUGCAUUACCCUUUUGAAUUGGGAGAUACCUGUGCUUAUUGGGUUUUGACUACUUGAGAUUUCUGUUGCAUCUGGGGGAUAAAAUUUGAUGACUUUUGUGCCAGUUUAUUUGUUUGGAAAUUGUUGGGGGUAAUUUGGGAGUUACUUGUCAAUUGGGUCCCGUGUUACCCUCUACCAUUCAGUGGUACUGAUUGGUGUGUUUGGCUUUAUCACAUGUCUUGGGUUGGCCAUUUGAUUUCAAUUUUCCUUGUGCAUGCACCAGUGGUACUGGUGAGGGUAGUUUACAUAAUAUUUGUUACUCCUGUGUUAUUGGUUGCCUAAUCGACUACUGGGCAUUUGUGGUUGAAUUGUUUCUGUCCAACUUCUGAACUGUUGUUGCUGGAGUGCCAUUUUCUUGGGUCAAUUGCUGAUUUUAGCAAGUUGAAGUGGGUAAUUGACUGUCCAAUUGGAGACAGUUGUUACGAUAUUGGGUCCGAUUGUGUCUAAUUGCUGGAAGUUGUUGAUUUAUUAAGACACUAGCACAGUUCCUAGUUUGUUCGAGUUGCUGUUCUGUUGCAUUAUUGGGAGCUGUGCUCUAGUAUUGUGGCUACUUUCCUGCGUUUAUUUGUUGAAUUGGGAUAUGAAUGUGCCUAUUGCUCAUUUUGUUGCAUCUAAUUGACUUGCUUGGGGUAAUCUGCCCAUCAAUUUUAAUUACUCAAGUCUUUGGAGCAGUUGUUGCACAUUUGGACUACUUUGUUUCUAUAUCUGACUGAAUUGGGACCACAAGUGCUUAUCAAUUGCAUUUGCUAUAAGUAUUGGGGUAUUCGUAUAGAUUUUAGGAGCCUGCAUUGUGCAUUUUAUUGUUUGGGUUGCCUACUAGUUACCAUGGUGAAGCCACGAUCCUCCCCCAGGGGCCGAUGACUGGCUCCAACUUUCGAUGACAGUUGAGAGACUGGAGACUCGAGUGACCCACAUUGACAUCGACUUGCAUAACAUGGCGCAGAAUUUGGCAGCACUCCGCCCGACCCGCCCCUGUUUUGACAAUUUCAAGGAAGUACCGUUGCCCUUCUCUUUACUUUUGUUGUUGGUUUAUCACAUUGAGGGCAAUGUGUGAUUUAGGUGUGGGGGGAUCAGUUUGGGUGCUAGUAUUUUUAGUUUUUAGGUUCUAGAGGUUUUUCUUUUGUUUUAGUUUGAUAUUUAGUUCUUUUUUUUUCGUCUAUUUUAUUUUAUUAUUAUUAUUUUUUUUUCUUUCUCCUUUUUUCUAGUGGUCAGUCUUCAUAUGAAUACCAAGUUUGAUACUGGAUUGUUGUCUCUAAUUCUGCUAUUGCCAAGUCUUAUUAAUAAAAGGGUAUUAAGUUAAUGUGCUUGAGUUCAGGAAUAUCUCUUUGGUGAAUAUCGGUAAUUGCUUAACUUUUUCAAUUUUUGGUUAACUUUUCUAGGCAUAGGGAAUGAUUGUUGGCAUUUUUCAUGUGAAUUGGUUCAGUUAUUAAUUUUAGUUCUCCAUGUCUGGAAAUUUGAGGCUGGCUGCUGUUAAUCUUAUGUUGCUUUUAGAUAUCGUGUUAUAUGGUUGUAAAUAAGAGUUGACUGUACUCCGCUAGUGGUUACUACUGAGUAACCGGGGAUUUUCACCUAAAGUGUCGAUUCUCGCGUCAAAAGGUAGUAGUUGCUAUGAAUGCGUGGUCCUGUAGCGAUCGGAGCUGAGUAACCGGGCUCCUCCAUCUGAUAAAUGUUGGAGUUCGCGUCAAAAGGCUCUAAAUGGCUAGAGACUAAGUCUUUUGCUAUUCCCAAAAAAAAAAAGAAAAAAAACAAGUAAAGUUUGUGUUAGUAUUUAAAAAAAAAAAAAAGAAAGUCAGCUUGCCUAUUUGUGAUCUUAAUGUCGAGAUUUUGGUUAAUAGAUGGACCAUUUGCUGAUAAAUGUGAGCAACCAUUCCUUUUCCUUAGAUUAGUUUGCUUCAAAUUGAAGGAGUUGGUGGUUUAGAGGCUAAUCGGGGUGAUUUUUCUUGGAUGUUGACCUGUGAUGCUUGAUAUUUAUUUUUCUUGGACAUCUUGGCAAUACGGUAGUUGGAGUAACAGCCAUGGUCAACUUUUGGUGUUCAAUUGUUGUUCCCAUACUUGAGGGCAAACAUGAUUUAGGUGUGGGGGGAAUUGAUAGGGUGUUAAUUAUUGGUUAUUUUAUUAUUAAUCUCCCUUUUUAUCCUUGUCAAAUAUUGCUUAAUUGUUAAUAUUUACUCAUAUUUGGUAUCUGGAUUUAAUUUCAGGAAUGAAGUAGAAAACUACCAAAAAGGAGGGAUUUUAUGGAGAAUAUGGAAACUUCUAAGGGCUUCAAUUCUUGGGCCCUUGAAUUGGUGGGGACCACAAGCUAGUGAAAGGCAUUUAGUCAUUUGGGCUCUUCAAAAGAAGUUACAUAGAGAGACUUGGAGAAAGAAGUACUUUGGAGGCUUUGUCCAUAUGUGUGGGGACCACCUAGAUAGCUUUUAGUCAUCUUUCUUUUGUUGCUUUAAAAGGGGACAACGUACAGAAGCAAAGGACAUCUAGGGCUUUAGUUUUAGUUUUUUUAGUUUAGUUCUAGUUUCCUUUCUUUGGACUGGCCUCUGACACACGCCAGGUGUUCGACAAUAUUCCCCAACGGGAAGAUUUUCUCAUGAGGCGUGGUUAAGCUUUUCUAGUCAAGGGGACAACUGACGAUUUGGUUCGACAAUUACUGUGAGAUCGAAUCUGUUUUAAUUAUUUUCUUCAUUUAUUGGUAUUUAUAUGUUCCUUGAUUUUAAUUGCUAUGGCCUUGUGUAUGAUUGAUUAGUGCGCAAUAAUUAAUUAUUCAUAUAGGCUAUUUUUGCUAAAUAGGGGUAAUUGAAUCCGUAAUUGUUCGUUAUCUCUACCUCAGUAGCAACUGGCGUAAAUGGGUUUAUGUCAGGGGAGCAUAUGAUCUAAUUUAAACAAACCCUCGUAGCGUGUUUGUUGGUUAGGAUUGGGCCUUUCUAAUUAUUAAUGCAAUCUAGAAAUUAAAUCCUACGGUCGUACCUAGGGUUGUUUUUGGGUUAGAGAAAUAGCUAACGGUCGUACCUUAGCUAUCGAGAAAUUAAGGAAGGGUUGGUUGUUUAUCGCGUGCAUGACAACUAUAACUAAUCUAUUGCUAAAUGUUGGAAUUAUUUCUGCAUCAAUGAUCAGUGCAUGAACCAUUUCUGAUGUGUACCCUUGGCUAGAGUUUCCCCAAUCAUUUCUUUUAAUUAAUUAUUUUCUGCAGUUAAUUUAUUUAGUUAGCAUUUAAUCCAAAACCCCCCAUACUUUGGACUCUAGAAGAAACGAAUUAUCCCCAAUCCCUGUGGAUUCGACCCUACUCACCGCUAUAUACAAAAUCUGUAUCUUUAUUGAGUAGGUAUUUAUUAUUGUACAGGUUCGGCACCUGUCAAUUUUGGGGUGAACACAUUUUGUCAUUAAUUGUUGAUUGUUGGGGGACGUUUUUGGUAACACUUGAGUCUAUUUUGCUGAGUUCUGUUGAUAGAGCAGUUAUUUGGCACAUUUUACAGUGUUAUUUUGUCCUAAUUUUGGCUAUUCAUGGUGUUAAGAAUUGGAAUAUCACUCAUAUUUGAUGUUUGUGUGAAUUGUAGGUGGUCGGCAUUAAAAAUGACCUCUCAAGGCAAAUUUCUAGAAGACUCUUCGUCUCAGAGCAUGGCCACGCCAGAGAAGGUCGAUGUUACCGAAAAGCCGGACCCCGGUCCACGUGAACCGCAAGGAGCACGGGAUUAAAGCUCUAAAAGGCUAGCUUUUGUUUCAAUCAAUUGGGUCAGACAUGACUUGGCUCCUAGAGGCUUCAAUUAAAAAAGAAAAGAAAGGGCCAGACGUCGAGGGAAUGAGAAUGAGGAAACUAGGUCUACAUGGACCAGCUACACGGGAUAAAAACUCCAAUGAAGAGAAGAGCUCUGCUCCGCGUGGAUUUCCCCUGCGGCACUAUAUAAGACAACAAAAAAGGUGAUGCAGCGGAGAAUAUAGAUUAGCUUUGAUUUUCUUUUCGAGAGGGGUCAGGCGAUUGCAGACUUUUGUAGCUUUUCGGUUGUGACACUUGGACUCCUUGGCUUUUGUUUUGACUCUGCACAAUUUACGUUAGUUUUUGUUCGUACACUUGCGGCACCAAAGCAAAGACGAAGGCAGUGCCUUCUCUGUUGUUACUGCAAUUAAUUCCCCUUCCCCAAUUUUCGGCGAAUAAUUGAAUGAAUUCAAUUAAAUCACGCGGGAUUGACACGAUAAGGAGCGGCUAAUUUUCUCCUCUACCCAAAGGUUGACGCGAAGGCGCGGUCCAUAAUAUCUGUGAGAUCUAAUCGAAUUUUCAUUAUUUCUUUCAAUUUAUUGCUAUUCGUACGUUUCCUGAAUUAAUUGUUCAUGAGUAUUUUACUAAUUGAAUAUCAACGGCCGGGUAUUUGAUUUAAUUUAAUAGUCUACUGCCACGUUAAUUAAAUAGAAUCCGUAAUUGUUCAUUUAGUUAACACCUCGUGGCAACCACCAUAAUUGGCUUUAUGAUGGGAAAACGCAAGAUCUAAUUUAAAUAAACCCUCUUAGCGUAUUUAUUGGUUAGGGUUGGAUUCUUCUAGCUUUAAUGCAAUUGGGUAAUUAAAUUCUCACGGUCGUACCUAGGGUUGUUAUCUGGUUAGAGAAGCAGUCAAUGGUUGUACCUUGACUAUCGAAAAAGUAAGGAAGAACUGGUUGUCAGAGCUUAUUGAUAACUAUAACCAACCUAGUGAUGAAUGGAUGAAAUACCUUUGCAUUGAUGAGCAUCUGUCUUGAGUCCAUUGAAGUGCCGUUGGUUGAGUAAUUUCUGCGUCUUUUUGUUGAAUUGGAAGGCUAUUGUGACACUUCCAUUGCACUUUCGGAAUGCAUUGUUUCUGUAUUUGACUAAAUUCAGGCCACCAGUGCUUCUUGAUUGCAAUCACUGUGCUGUUGGGGUAUUUGUACAGCUUUGAGUACCUGAAUUGUGUUUGUGUUGGUUGGAGUACCAUUUAUAGAGAAUGGUGAGACCUAAAUCCUCCUCUAGGUCUAGGACACCUAGAACUUCUCAGCCUCCUCCCACCCUAGGGGCUAACGAUUGGCUCCAACUCCGAAUGCAAGUUAAGAGACCGGAGAUUCGAGUGACCCACAUUGACAUCAACUUGCAUACCAUGGUGCAGAAUUUGGCAACAAUUAUGCACCAUGCGGGUCUUGUUCCUCAGUUUCCGUCUGACCCACCCCUGUUUUGACGACUUCAGGGAAGCACCGGUGCUCUUUUGCUUACUUUUGCUAUUAAAUUAUCACAUUGAGGGCAAUGUGUGAUUUAGGUAUGGGGGGGAUCAGUUGUGGUACUAGUAUUUCCAGUUUUUGAUUUUUAAGUGUUUUUCCUUUGUUUUUAGUUUGAUAUUUUUCUCUUUUUCGUUUAUUUCUUUUAUUCGUGAUCAGCUCUUAUUUGAAUACCAAGUUUUGAUGUUGGAUUGUUGCCUCUAAUUCUGCUCUUGCCAAGUUUUAAUAAUAAAAGGGUAUCAAGUUAAUAUGGUUGAAUUCAGGAACAUCUCUUUGGUGAAUAUCAAUAAUUGCUUAACUUUUCCAAGUUUUGGUUAACUUUUCUAGGCAUAGGGAAUGAUUGUUGGCAUUUUUCAUGUAAAUUGGUCCAAUUAUUAAUUUUAGUUCUCUAUGUUUGGAAAUUUGAGGCUGACUGCUGUUAUUUUUAGUUAUUGUGUUAUAUGAUUGUAAAUAAUAGAUAACUGUACUCCAUUAGUUGUUACUACUGAGUAACCGGGGAUUUUCACCUAAAGUGUCGAUUCUCAUGUCAAAAGGUAGCAGUUACUAUGAGUGCGUGGUCCCGUAGCGAUUGGAGCUAAGUAACCGGGCUCCUCCAUCUGUCAAAUGUUGGAGUUCGCAUCAAAACGCUCUAAGGGUUAUAAACUAAGUCUUUUGUUAUUCAAAAAAAAAAAAGAAAAAAAGAAGCAGAAGAAAACAAAAGAAGCAGAUUGUGUUAGUAUAUGAAAAAGUCAGCUUGCCGAUUUGUGAUCUUAAUAUCGAGAUUUUGGUUAAUAGUUGGACCGUUUGCUGAUAAAUAUGAGCAACCAUUCCUUUUUCUUAGAUUAGUUUGCUUUAAAUUGGAAGAGUUGGUGGUUGGGAAGCUAAUCGGGGUAAUUUUUCUUUGAUCUUGACCUGUGAUGCUUGAUAUAUGUUUUUCUGGAUAUCUUGGCAAUACGGUAGUUGGAGCAAUAGCCAUUGUCAAAUUUUGGUGUUCAAUUUCUGCUCUCAUGCUUGAGGGCAAGUAUGGUUUAGGUGUGGGGGGAAUUGAUAGGGUGUUAAUUGUUAAUAAUUUUAUUGCUAUUUUUCCCCUUUGUCCUUGCCAAAUAUUAUUUUAAUUGUUAACAUAUACUUAUUUUUGGUAUUUGGACCAAUCUACAGGAAGUGGAACUGACAAAUGCUAAAAAGGAGAUUUUAUUGAGAAAAAUCCUUCACAUGCUAGAGCCUCCAGCGGAUAUACAAGUUGGGCCCACAUGGUGUUACAAAUUCGGUUGCUGAUGGGGAGCUCUUAUUAUUGGGAGUUGACUUGUACGUGUAGGAGUCCUCCUACCAAGAGGAAACAAGAAAAAAGGAAUUCGGCAGAGGCCCAUCUUUUGUACUUAGCUUUCUCAAUUCGGUAGGGACCAUGGACUAGAGGUUUUCAUUAGUGAUUGGACUUUAAAAGGGAAGAAACGUAUAGAGGCUUGGGGAUUAUUAUGAUUAGCGUAGCUUUAGUUUUAGUGGUUAGCUAGCGUUUCCUUUUCAUGCGCACGAGGUGCUCGACAAUAUUUUUCAACGGGAAAAAAAAACAUCUUUUACUCUUGCUUUCUAGUGAAAAACUUGAUGCCUUUGCAAUCAAUUAAUUUGCGUGGAGAUUUAAUUAUGCGGCGUGGCUAAGCCUUUCAUCUAGUUAAGGAUCAACUCGAUGGUACAGUCCCAAAUAUCUGUGAGAUCUAAUUAGUUUUCACGCGUUUCUUAAUUUGUUAAUAUUUGCACGUUGCCUAUUUGAAUUUUCAAGGGAUUAUUUUGUUAAUUGGAUGUCAAGGGCCCGAUGUUCAAUAUGGCUUAUUAAUCUCCUUCCAAAUUAGUCAAUUAAAUCCGUAAUUGUUUGAUUGAUUAAUAUUAGUGGCAACUGGCGUGUUUAUACACUAGGGGAACGUGCAAUCUAAUUUAAAUAACGCUCGUAGCGUGUUAUUGAUCGGGGUUAGGUUUUUCUAGUUAUUAAUGCAAUUGAAAAAUUAAUUCCUACGAUCGUACCUAGGAGUAUUUUCUGAUUAGGAAUAAUCAAUGGUCGUACCUUGAUUAUCAAUAAAUAAAAGAAAAAUUGGUCGUUAGAAUUCGUCGGCGACUAUAACUAGCCUAUUAAUAAAUUAAGUGAACCUCCCUUGCAUCAAUGAUCGAGUAAGUGGACUGUGUCUGAGUAGUUGUAUCAUUGGCUAGAAUUUAUCUAUUCUUGAUUUAAUUCCUGCCUAUAUUCGUGCAAGUUAAUUAUUUAUUUUUAGUGAAUUUUUUAAUUAUUUUUAGUUUUACUCCGAUAAAAUCCUCCUUUAUCAAUUGGAAUCUCAAAGAGACAAAUAUCCCCAGUCCUUGAGGAGAUGACUCUACUUGCCACUGUCUACUAUUUAGUAAGUUUUGUCAACUAAUUAAUUCUGAUAUAUCGGAUUAAGCAAACUUUUCGAGAAUAGGGUGAAUCAAGUAACCCAUUACACACCUAGAGUCCCUGCUCCAGUAUUUAGGAUUAAUUAUUGACUGUUUUUAGUGGUAUUUAUAUUUUUAUUAUUAUUAUUGCAUAGGCUCGACACCUGUCAAUUUUUGUGAUGUUGACCCAAACAACAAAGGACGGGUUAUGUGAUGUUGACCCAAAUAACAAGUCUUCACUAGUGAAUGUGAUAUUUGUGAUAUCCACCUCUUUAUUACCAGUGGGCACGUGAGUUAUCUCACAAGGAGAUUCGCGAGUAUCAUCCUUUGUUCUUCAAUAUCAUCAACUUGCGUUGUGUGACAUGAGACCAUAUCAAUAUCAAAGAAUCUUUUAGAUAUGAAUUCUUUUAAAAUGAUAGAAACUCGCGACUUUUGCUUGAAUACUUGAUUUUCUUGAAGAUUGUGAUUAUUAUUAUUUUUCUCUAUAUUCUUCUCUUUUCUCUUCCAGACCAUUCUACUUCUUGUUAAGGCCUUGUUUACCUUAUUAGAUGGACGAGAGUUUCAUCUUCAUCUUCGCGUGAUCAGAGUUCAUCCAUCAUCAUCUACGUCUGAUUGUAAUGACUUCUCAUCUUCAUAUUCAUAUUUUUGAAGAGCUGAAGGGGCGAUUUUUUGUUCAACUUCUAUAGGAUCAAAUGAUCCAAAUUGAAUGGUUGGCAAUAUAGGUAUCGUAAACUUUUCGACUUCCAUGGACUGUAGUGAAUCAACGGAGGUUUGAUUCAUACUUGCUUUGUUUUUUUCAAGAAAAUUUUUUUCUUGUCUUGCCAAAUCCAUCAUCUCAUCUUUAAAGACAAAGUAUUUUUGAAUGGGAUGUCCAACCAAGCAAUGAUACUUGAUUUGGAUCAUCCGUAUUACUAAUCUCGUCAAGUCAGUUCAUCUUGGAAGCAUGAUCAAGUUCAUGCUUAACAAAUUAUCAAAUAUACUAGGAACAUCAGAAUCAAGGAAAUUGUACUUCUUGUUUUGCAUCUCCUUGAGUGUUGGUUUUUUCUUUCCUUCGUCUUGAUGCAUACUGGUUUUCUUGUCUUCUCUUUUAGCAGUUCUGAGAAUAAUCUUGAAAGGUGUUAUACUUGCAGCUAUGGCCUCUUUCUCACUUUGAUUGGGGGCUUGCCUCCUUUCCUCACUUCUUGUUUCUCCUUAGCCUUGCGAGAAUCAGGAAUUGGCGGCUCUUGUCCAUCAAGGUUAAUUUCUAUCUUAUGAGUUUUUGGGGAUAAUUCAUCAAAUAUUUCUGGUUAUACCCCUUACAAGAUAUAUCUGAAUCCCCAAUGCAAGUCUUGAAUACACAUCUCAAUAGCGGAAGACUCGAAAAUUCGAUCCUUACAGUUUAGGCUUAGAUUUUUUCGAGCGAUUGAUAAAGUUAAUAACAUGUUCAUUCUUUCACUAGCACAUAUUUUAGAGUUCAAUUAUGCUGACAGUCCUUUUCGUGCUAUAGAAGCAAUUAAGGAAUUCCUACUCUAAUUGCUCCCAACUGUCAAUGCUGCUAGAUUCUAAAUCUGUGUACCAAUCAAACGUGUUACCCUUCAAUGAGUGAACAAAUUGCUUAACUAGCAAGUCACCAUUAGUGCCAGCAUUGUUACAAUUUUCGACAAAGUGCGCAAUAUGUUGUUUAGGGUUACCUUUGUCAUCAAAUUAUUGAAACUUUGAAAAUUGAAAUCCUACAAGCAUCUUCAAACAUUUACUCUUGUGGUGUAAGGUUUGAUAUAAUUGCUAUAUGACUUGGUAUUUCCACCAAUCUUGUCCUUGAUCGUACCUUUGAUAAACUCCUUUAAAUUAUCAACAUGAAUGGUACUAUCAGGAGAGAUUGAAAACUCCUUCAUUAUUCGUGACUUGGUAUCCUCUUUCUCUUUCUUCCUUGAUGAUGAGUUACCUUCAUAUUUUUUACCAUGGCCAUUAGUUUGGCUAUUUUGGCAUCUUGACUUUGCACGUGCCCUGCUAGCCCUUCGACAAUUUGGCAAGAUUUGAAAUUUGAUCUCUACGGUUGUGGUGUUAGUCAUCAUGAUGGGCAUUACCACAGAAGUAGCUAAAUUGCUUGAGCUAUCAGCAGAUUCAUCAUGGACUCCCUUCUUGUUGGGAAAAAUCUCAAAAUUUUUUCUUUCAACCACAGCAUUCGCCUUAACCCUAUCUACUAAUUUCUUAGCCUUGCUCCUUGUCAUAGGUGUAGUAUACUGCAUCUCCUGAGUUGUUGGGAUGCCAGCAACUGAGCCUUCAAGAGCAAAACUCAUCUUCUUGGACUCCAUUGAUUCUUGAAACAAGUAAGCUAUUCAAAGAAAAGAGAUGAAAAACAGAGAUGGUCCCACCAGACGUGUCAUAAAAUUUGUGAGCAUAAAUUUUGUUGCCUAAAAUAAAGACAAGAAAAUUUGCAUAAAUAUCAAAUUUAUUAAAUCAAAUAAUAAAUGGGUUAUAAUUUUUGAAAAUUCUUGAAUUAAAGAUAUUAAUCUUCUAAUUCUUCUCUUCAAAAACUUCAAUUGAAGGGUUGAAAAGACUUGUUUACCGAUCAAGAGGGUGUUUCCUACGAUUUUGACAUAGAAAACCGCUGAUUUGAUGAUGACGUUAAAUAGUUGAUGUUGGGUUUGGAUUUUAUUCCACCAAUCGUUCAUUUUGUUGGAUUUGAGUUUUAUACCACCAACUGUGGGAUAAAACCCAAUCCCAAUAAAAUGAACGGUUGGUGGGAUAAUACUCAAAUCCAAUAAAAUGAAUGAUUGGUGGGAUAAAAUCCAAACCCAACACUUGUAUCUUUAAAUCUUCAAUGUCGAUAGAAGGAGGAUUUAUUUUAACUUGAUUUGGAUUUGAAUUUAAGGGAAAAUGCUCUCGAGAGAAUUUGACAGAAUUUCUUCAAAAUUUAGAAAUUUCAAUGUGUUUUUGUACUAAGAGAAUACCUUUAUUUAUAGGCAAAAUAUGUAGAUUAUGUCUUCAAGAAAAUUCUCCAGAACCUUCUUGCGUUUGGGUAACUUGUACCUCAAGAAACUCAUUUAACUUAGGUUUAAAUAGUGGGCCUAUUCAAAUAAUCCAUUGUGAAUUAAUACAUCAAUUAAUCCACUUUAAUUUAAAUGGGUAACACAUUGAUUUGAUUUGAUUUAAUAGCCCAUAUAUCAUUGGUCUAUUUUGUCAAUCAAAACAUAAUAGACUGCUAUAAUUUAAUUUAAUGUAAUCAAGAUCAAUUUAAUUUAUUUAAUCUUGACUAAAUAAAUUUUCUUUGUCUACAGCAUGUACGUGUAAUUUUCCAAAUAAUGAUACUUUUCAAAGAGAGUUUUCAAAUAAUGAAAGUUCUAAAACAAGGCAUUCACCGAAUGCGUGAAUGUAUCUUUUUAAACAACGCAUUUAGUCAAUACGUUUUUAAGGAAAAAUGCCUAUACAAAUAAAAGAAUGAAUUCUAUAAAUGUGUCUUUUGAGGAAACAACACAUUUACUAAGUACGUUUUUUCACUCUUUGGGAAGAAGUUCAAAAAACACCACCAUUUGAAAGGUAAUUUUAGAAAAUCCCACUUUUUGAGAAUUUACUCAAGCUUGUACUUGACAAAAUGUGUUGGGAAAAUUGUGACGUCAGGUGAAUUGUAAAACUGUUGUGCCAUCGUAAUGUAUGUUUUGCACUAGAUUGAGUAAGAAUUAUAUCAAAAUAGUCGGCCACAAUAUAGGAAUGUGAAAACUUUGUGUUAAGUAAGUUGUAAUAUUUUUGUAUCAUCUAACGUAUAUUUGAAAACGAUUGAGAAUAUAAUAUAUGGAAACAACAGGUCACAAUGUUGAAAUGUCAAACCUCUUGUUUCAAACCAAAUACUUAUUAAACUCCUUCAUAUCGCUAACGAAUUUUGAUUCUGAAGUAAUAAUAGUUUUAUUUAAUUAUUUGCCUUUUUUGGAACAAUAUUAAAAUGUAGCCAUAAAUUUAAAUUCCAAAAUUGUUGAAUACUUGAGGAAUUCUAGAAAUGGCACUGAGAGUCAAAGUUCACCUUAUUCAAAAGUCACCAGCCAUCUCAGAGUGCAUGUUUCUAUUGAGUUUCAGGUUCAAUGUGUACCCACUUCCACUUUUGGCUGAUCAAUCAGGACUAAGGUUCCGUUUGAUAAAACUGAAUCUGAAUUCUGAAAUCUGAAUACUGAAACAAUUAAUUUGCUGAAUUUUAAGUUCUGAAAAGAAAUAUAUGAAUGUCUGAAUUUUAAUGUUAAAUCUAUUUCUACUGUUUGAUAAACAUUUAUAACUGAAUGCUUAAUAAGUUAAAUUUGACAAAUUUGCCCUUAAUCUUUUCAUCCAAAAAAGAAGUAGAACCUAUGAUUUAAUUAGGUAAAAAUGUUAGGUAUGAAAAUGACAAUAUUUAUUUUUAAAUCAAAUUAAUAUAAAAGAUGAAAUAUAUUAUAUGCGGAGUGGAGAAGAUGUAAAAAUCAUUCAAAAUGGAGAAAAAAGAAAUAGAAAAUCAUUAGAUAGAGAAUAUUAGAUUGUUUAAUUAGAUAAGAAUUUUGAACAUAAUUAACAAACAAUGGUAGAUUUGAUAGAUAAGAUAAGGUAAUUGAAGUAAUUCUAUUGAUUCUUAUCAGAAUUAAGUAUUCAGUUAGGAUUUUUGUGCUGAAAAAAAUACACACAAUUUCAGCACUACUUAACAAGUUCAGCAAAUAGAUUUUCAUUUAUCAAACAUUCAAAACAUCUAAAUGUCUAAAAAAAUUUAGAUUCAACACUUUUUUAUAUUAUUAAACAGACCCUAAGAGAAUAAAAUAACUUGCUUGCUGUUAGCGAUGGCAACGGGGCGGGGUUGGGGCGGGGGACCCCUCCCCCGUCCCCCGCCCCGUUGCCUAUUAGUUCCCCCUGUCCCCCGCCCCCCCCCCCGCUUCCCCCGCGGGGUUAAUAAAAUUUUAUUAUAAUUAAAUUUUAAUAAAUAAUCAAUUACUAAAAUAUCAACACAUCACCAAAUUAUUAUUCAUUGUAAUUUUACAAUUAAAACUCAUAAAAACAAUCAAACAAAAGUUAUUUGAAUACAAUCCAAUAUGAUGAAAUAAAUAUAACUAAAAUAGUUAAGUUUUCGCUUUUAGUACAAAUGCAAUCACUAAUUCAUUAUUGUGUUUGUGCUUUUCUUUUGAGAAAAAAGUGUUAUUCUAUUAAGUGUAAUUAGAAAUUUAGUAUAAAUGUAUUAGUAAAUUUAGUAUAACUAAUUAAUAAAUUUUAUUAGUAGACAUGUAUAAUUAUUCAUAUAAUUGAUAAUAUCAAUUAUAUUACAUAAACUACUAUACAUUAUAUAAUACAUCUAACUAAUAAUAUCAUUAUCAUAAGUUUAUAACUAAUUAACUUACAUAUUAUAUAUAAUUAUAUAUAUAUUUUUUUUAGGGUGGCGCGGCGGGGGAUGGGGCGGGGGUAUACUCCCCCGUCCCCCGCCCCGUUUCUAAGCGGGGGGAAAAAUUCCCCCCCCCGCCCCAACCCCCGCCCCGAGAGCCCCCCGUGGGCACCCGCCCCCAUUGCCAUCCCUACUUGCCGUUUUUAAAAAAGGAUUCAUUAUUUUUUCUUUGAGCAUUGGUAUCUCCACCCUCAAUGACACUAAUCUGGAUUCAAUAUGAGGAGUGUCCGUAGAGGCUGACUCUUACUCGAGAGUAAAGACUUGACCCAGAGCUUUUCAAGGCGUCAUCAUAUGUAGGAGUCAAACUUAUGAACUCUGUGCAUAGAUAAUUUAGCUCCAGUCUGUGGAAUGUCUUGAUGUUAGGUGAGUUGUAAUAUUUUGGUAUCAUCUAAUGAAAUUUUUAAAAGAUUGAGAAAUAAUAUAGAGCAAAACACCAAUUUAUUCCCUAAAUUAUUUUGCUAAAAUCAAAAUACUCCGUAAAUUUAUUUUGAGUCAGUUUAGUCCCCCAACUAUUUUUACAAAGCUGAAAUAGUCCUUAAACUUUAUUAUGAGCCAAUUUAGUCUCUCAACUAUUUUGUUUAAGUGAAAUAGUACCCCACCUUUAUUUAUUUGGCCAGUUUGGUCCUUGUUUGACUCAUCCACCCAAUUUAUCAACCUUGUGCACUAACAAUCAGGGGCAAAAUAAGAAAUUUAGUCAAUGCCCUUACUAAAAUGAUAGAAGAAUUAGAUAUCUGGCAAAAUUAAAAACAAAAUUGAAUCAUAUAGAGAACAAAAAAAUAUAGUGUUUCUUAUGGAGGAAAAAAAUGGAGCUGAUGCCUAAAAUCUCACAUGGAUCCAACUCAGUCCAUUGAAUGGAGAAAAGGGAAAAUAACACAACAAGAAUAUGUUAAAAGUUGGAAAAUGUGCUAUAAUUAUGAUUACUCCUUUAAGAAAUAAAGCUGAAAGAAGCUCAAUUUCUUUUUGUUUUCCAUAUUAUUCAAUUUCGUUGUCGAUUUUUCGAUAGAUGUAUGUUUUUUUUUUUGUUUUAAUAAGGGCUAUGAUUGGAUUUCCUAUUAUGCCAUUGGCUGUCGAUGCUACACUUGAUAAAUUAGAUGGAUCAUCCAAAUAAAGACAAAAUUGGCUAUGUAAACAUUAGUGAGGGACUAUUUCAGCUUAAGAAAAAUAGUUGAGGGACUAAAUUGGCUUAUAAUAAAAUUAGGGACUAUUUCAGCUUUGUAAAAAUAGUUGAGAGACUAAAUUGACUCAUAAAAUGUUUAGGGACUAUUUUGACAUUAAGGAAAUAGUUUUGGGACUAUAAACAUUAGGUCACAAUGUUGAAAUAUCAAAACCCAUGUUUUGGACCAAAACUCAUAGAACUUCUUCACGUCGCUAACGAAAUUUGAUUAUGAAGUAAUGCUAAUUUUAUUUAUUAUUUGUUUCCUUGCUGGUCUUCUGUCUUUUUGGUUAUUCCAAAAUUGUUGAAUAUUUAAACGAAUUCUAGAAAGGGCACUGAGAGUCAAAGUCUUAUUCAAACAGCCAGCUAUCUCAAAGUACAUAUUUUUUUAUUAUCAGGUUCAAUAUGUAUCUAUUGCAAUUUUUGAAUGACCAGCCAUGACUAAGAGAAUAAAAUAAUUCACUUGCUGUUUUUAGAUAUGAAUUCAUGACUGUCAGUAGUCUAUAAAUACACUUAUUGCUCACCACUCUUUGCACCGCAAAAUCUCUUCAAGAUCCAACAAACCCUCCUGUUCUUGGUCUUUGUCCAUUUGUGAAAAAACAAAUUAAAGCGUCAUGGCCCCUAUCACUUGUAGUGCUGAGAUGACCUCCCCAAUCCCUCCUGCAAGGUUGUUCAAGGCCGCCAUCCUUGAUGACCACCCUUAAUGCCACAGGCUAUUAAGAGUGUGGAAAUCCUUGAAGGAGAUGGUGGCGUUUGAACCAUUGAGUUGAGCACAUUUGGUGAAGGUUAGAUGUUAUAUUAAAUGUAGAACCCCAAAUUUAAGGAUCUAAUAAUAAUCAAUGCGUGCAGGGUUACAGAAUUGGAGGGAUAAAACAAAUACUCAAAAUAUACGUGGAAGAAAAGAAAAAUAAUAAAUUCAACUCACAAUAUUAUUGAAAUUUCAAACAAUGAAGAAAAUCAUACCACAAUGAAUUCAACUGGUUCUAAUAAUAAUCAAAGCAUACAAGGUUACAGAAUUAAAAGGAUAAAACAAACACUCAAAAUAUAUGUGGGAGAGAAGAAAAUAAUAAAUUCAACACACAAUAUUAUUGAAAUCUCAAACAAUGAAAAAAGUCACACCAUAAUAGAAAACCUUGCUAAUGCUUCUAGAUUCUUUCUCUUGAGAAACCAACCUAAAUAAUGUUCUAUUUAUAAUCUACCAAACUUGUUAGGAAAGAAACCACUUGCAUAAGAAAUUACCAAAUAAUACAGAAAUUCCUAAAUCACACAACUACUAAAAACAUAACUCAAAUAAAACUAAAAAAUAAAUAAAUAUUACUAGGCUUAGUUUAAUUUGUCAACAUUGCCUCCUUUAAACCAUACUAUCCAUUGAGAUAGGUUCAACACCAUCUCGAGCAAUAAUUUCUAUGCAAAUCUAUGUUGUAGUACACUUGACAUGAAACUCUAACUUGUUACCAGUUAUUAAUUUCAUUUUUACACGUAACAGUGGACACACUAUGUAUUGUGUAAACAACUUCUCAGCAAUUUCUUCUUGAUCAAAGAACUCACUUAUACAAACCCAUUCAUCACCAGAAUCACCAUAUUUACCACCAAUGUAAGUGCCUAAAAAUACAAAAUCAUAGAUUUCUUUCUCGCUAAAAUUAUCAUCACCAAAUAAUUCAAAAUAACCACUACUACAAUCAUCCAAAAUUUUCAUACUGUCAGUCAACUCUUUUGGAGUAAAAUAUUUUUCAACUCCGAUGACAUCCAUAUCUAUUAAAUCAAACAUUCUCCCAUCACUUUGAAGAGAGUCCGAACCAACGAAUUUUUCAACAACAAUUUCAUGUUCUCUUCUCUUAUCAAAUCAAAAUUUUUUUCUUCUUUUGUCAAAUUACCAUAUUAUUUUUUUCAACAAAUUCAUUACUUCUAAUUUCUCCAAACAAGGUACGCAAAUCAAAACUAUCAAUUGAUUCAAAAUUUUCGAUAUCACCCAUAUUAUCAACAAAUCUAUCAUUUUUAAAAUCCACAAACCAAUACCAAUAAAUAGACUUCGGUUUGAAAGCAUAAUUUCUCCCAAUCGUGUGCAAAACAUAGUAAAUAUCCUUCCAAAAUCUCUAAAGUAUUUUAAUUAGUACGACCAAUAAAGGUUUUAUAAACACUUUUUGCCAUUAUUUUACGCAUCACUUGAAAGAAUAAUUGUGCCUUUUUCUUAAAAACAUGUUUUGACAACUUACUUGCAUCAACCCAACAAAGAAUAUCAUCCAAAUUACAUUGUUUAACAUAUUUUUCCACUAUUAAAAUCCAACCAAAAUAUGUAUGUCCAUUUGUGCUUAUAGGAGUCAAUAUGAAAAAUUUUUCACCGUGAAUCAGAUCUUUAUAAUAUUCCAUUAUUUAACAAUUUGUAUACCUGGAUAAAUUUUUUUCCUCCAUCCUGUCAUGUUUUCUUGGCCUCCCUGGUUGACUAACCAAAUUAUUGUUGUAUGUAUACCCAUGCUCGUCAAACCUCAUUUGUGUACACUCGUAAGGAGUGGUUCUGAGCUUCUUGUGAAUGCUCAGUACCAAGAAGUAGAAGAGAGAAUGCAUAAGAGAGAAUUAACUUGGCUAUAGAAAUAGGAAACAAUUGAGGGAUUUUUUAAGAAAUUAAUUCUCCAGCUACCACUUUUGGAAAUUUUCUAUCAACAACUAGUUACCAAAACACUAGCACAUAAUAAGAAAUCAGGAUAAUUUCAGAAACCUCCCUUGAGGCUUUUAAUAACCUCAAGAAGCUCCCCUCAAUAUUUUAAAAUUACACGUACCUUCCCUAUUGGUGCAAAAGUACUCUACUACCCCUAAUAGGAUACUCAAAAGACUUUUUUUUAUGGGAAAAAUGAAGCUCAGAAAUCCAAGCAAAAUCAAAAAAAUCAAUUGAUUUUCUCUUUUAGCCUUUUACACUUUUGCCUUCUACCUUUGCUCACUUUCCCAUCCCAAUCUUCCUACACCCGCUUUCCCAAUCCCCUUUCCCCAACUUUUCUCCUCUACUUCAAGACCAAUUUUUGUCUAUCUAUCCUGGCUUGUGCUUUGUUCCAUUCCCUUCCCUUCUCCUUCUUUGAUUUCGCCUACAUCUCCCUUUCUCUUUGCAAAAGUGACUAGGCUCAUGUCUCUCUUUUUCCCCCCUAUUCUAAGUGUAGUGGGUUUGAUUAUUUUGCAUCUAUUUUAUUUGAUUUGGGUUGAUUAUGGGUGAUAGAACUUGGCGAUGUCAAAUAUCAAAAGUUUGAUAGAUGGAUAUUGGGCUUUAGACAAUGAUUUGCUGAAAAAAAUGGCUGCAAUGAGACAAAGAGGCAAGGGGAUUUGAGUGUGGGGUUGAUUGUUGAUAAAUUGUUGUUUUGGACAAAAUUUGAGGUUGAGUUUUAUUAAAUUUGAUAGCAAGUGGCGAGUUUUGUUCAGGUUGCGGGAAAUAAAUUAGAUUGUGGUUUCUUGGGCACCCACAGUUGUUGGAAUUGGUUUUGAUUCAAAUUAGGGUGGUUACUUGAUUUUCCUAAUAGUGUUGCUUAAAAGCACACGAUCAUCAAAAUUCCUUAUUUUUAUCUUUUGUUUUUUCUUGUAGAAAAGAUUUCACGACUUUCGUGAUAGUCUAAUUUGGAAGAAGGCAAUCAAGGGAUGCAAUCAACAUUUAGCAAAAGCUCUUGUUCUUUCCUUUGUAAUUUUUAGGGUAAAAAGGGUAGUUUAGGGUAUUUGAAGGAAAUGAUAGUCUAUUGGGUCUAUUUUCAAGCAUAAAUAGUGAACGUAAGGGAGGUUGGUGUAAUUUCUGAAACCUAAGGGAAAUUGUCUGAAAUUGUUCGAGACCUCAGAGGAGGUUUUCGAAAUUAUCCCUAAGAAAUCAAAUGCGAAACUUGAUUAGUACACGCACACACGACACCGCACCACGCCGCGCGUGUGUUGAGGAUUGGUGUCCGUAACCAACGACAAGCAGGUUUUCAAUUUUUUUUUCCUUUCCUGGAUUCUCCAGAGAUGGUGUCAGCUUCUAUUAUUGAUGAGCAGGAGGAAAUCCACAAUAUACAGUACACAUCACCCAUAUUCUUUUUAAUUGAACAAUGUAUGAAAUUAUGGUGAUUCGAAAUUAAAUUAUAUGUUUAUUGGGCACUGAAUCCAAAAUAAGAGUUGGAAAUGUAUUGUGACAACAAUUGUUAACAUAGGCCACAAAUGAUCAAAACAAAUAUUUAAGGUUUAAUAUGACAUUAUGGGUUCAGAAUAUAGUUACUUGUUAUGAAACAACUAAAAGUAUGGAUAUCCAUUUGUAUUUUCAAGAGGAUCAAUUCAUAAUUCAUUGCUCCCAAGAGGAUUAAUUCAUAAUACAUUGCUACAUUAUGUAAAGGAAUUGCAUUGGAUGAACGGUUUCAAUCCAUAAAAGCUAUUUAUGUAUUGGAUGAACCGUUUCAUAUGGCUAUUCAUGUUCUUGUAGUAAUGAGUGUUUAAUAGAAUUGAUGUACCUUUAAUUUUGUAGUACCUAUAUAUACAGGUACUUUGGCACCUCUUGGGUAUACUUUUUGAUUAGUUGGAAUAAUAAGAAAAUUAUUCUUCAUUUCUGUACUUCUUUCUCUAAUAUUUCAAUUCCUAUUAUAGUAGUUCAUUUUUUUUAGUUUUACAACACGUUAUUAGCAUGAGUCUCUACUUUUGAACAAAAAGGUGAAAACGGAGCCUCUACCUUAAAAAAAAGUGAAACACGAGAUUCUGCCAAAAUUUUGCCCGUAUUUUUCCGGCAACUUCUGUCCACUUAUUGAGAAAUGGAUGCCAAAUAUUUGGGAUUAAAUAAUGGUGAUGAUGAUAUUUGUCUCAUUGAUAGUGCUACUACGCACACUAUAUUGAAAAAUAAAAAAAAAAUUUCUUGUAUGAAAAUGGGAGAGACAAAUGUUAAUACCAUAACUGGUAGUGCAAAAUUGAUUGAACGCUCCGGAAUAGCCUCUCUAUUUCUUCAUGAAGGGACUAAAAUUGUCGUAAAUAAUGCACUACUGUCUCCCAAGUCUCGGAGAAAUUUAUUGAGUUUUAAAGAUAUCUGCGAAAAUGAAUACUAUAUAGGGAUAAUGACUGAGACAAAUGGAGAAUUUUUAUUAAUCACAAGUAUCAUUUCUGGGCAGAAAUGCGUAGUAGAAAAAUUACCUUCUUUUUCUUCUAGCUUAUAUUAUGCACAAAUUAGUGCAAUUGAAAUUUAUCACCUAGUAGACCAGAAGUCUACUCAUCCCAAUAAUUUUAUGAUUUGGCAUGAUCGUCUCGAAAAUACUGAAUCUAUAAUGAUGAGACGAAUAAUCAAGAAUUUACAUGGUCACUCAUUGAAAAAUUAAAAGAUAUUAAAAGCAAAUGAAUUCUCCUGUGUUGCUUGUUCCCACGGAAAAUUAAUUAUUAGACCAUCACCAGUUAAAGUUGGGACUGAAUUCCCUACAUUUCUAGAACGAAUUCAUAGUGAUAUAUGUGGACUCGUAGAUCCACCAUGUGGACCAUUUCGAUAUUUUAUGGUGCUAAUUGAUGCAUCAACUAGAUGGUCACAUGUAUUUUUAUUAUCUACUCGCAACUUGAUAUUUGCGAGAUUGCUUGCUCAAAUAAUUAAAUUGCGAGCACAAUUUUCAGACUAUCUAAUAAAGAAAAUUCAUUUAGAUAAUGCUGGUAAAUAUUCGUCACAUGCUUUUGACAAUUAUUGCAUAUCUAUUGGAAUAACUAUUGAACAUCUUGUAACUUAUGUUCACACACAAAAUGGUCUAGCCGAAUCAUUUAUUAAAUGGUUACAAUUAAUUGCUAGACCAUUGUUGAUGAGGUCUAAACUUCCUUCAUCUGCUUGGGAAUAUGCUAUAUUAUAUACAGCAAUACUUGUGAGAAUUAGACCGACAAGUUAUCAUACUUAUUUUCCUCUAUAAUUAACUUUUGGUUAUAAGUCAAAUAUUUCUCAUUUACGAAUAUUUGGUUGUUCGGUUUAUGUUCGAAUUGCACGGCCCCAAUGUCGUAAAUUGGGUCCACAAAGAAGAUUGGGGAUAUAUGUCGGAUAUAAAAUCACCUUUAAUUAUUAAGUAUAUGGAACCAUUGACAGGUGAUUUAUUUACUGCAAGAUUUGCAGAUUGUCAUUCUAAUGAAUCACAUUUUUCGACAUUAGGGGGAGAUAAAAAUCAAUCGAAAAAGAAAAUCACUUGAAAAAUAUCAUUCAAUUUUCUCGAUUCUCGUACCAAAGAAUGUAAACUAGAAGUUCAAAGGAUUAUACAUUUGCAAAAAAUUACAAAUCAACUACUGGACGUAUUUAAUGACUCCAGAAGAGUUAUUAAAUCACAUAUUUUUAUUGAAAAUACUCCGAUUAAAAUUAAUGUCCUUGAAGGACAAAUUACAAGUGUUAAUGAGUGUAAAGUGCGCCUGAAGCGUGGGAGACCUCUUGGUUCUAAAGAUAAAAAUUCUCGAAAGAAAAGAGAAAUUGAUGAAUCAACAAUUAGUGACAAAAUUCAACCUCCUGAAGAAGUCGCUCCUAAAGAGCCAAUUCUUGAAGAUAAUGAAAUUAUAGAAAAUUCAAUAAAUUUUGUCGCUUCAGGAAAAAGUUGGAACAAAAAAAAAUUAUUAAUAGUAUUUUUGCAUAUAAUGUAGCACUUGUUAUUAUGGUAGGUAAUGAAGAUCGUGAGCAUAGAUCGGUUGAUGAAUGUCGACGUAGAAAUGAUUGGCCAAAAUGGAAAGAUGCGAUUCAAUCUGAAUUGGACUUACUAGCUACAAGAAAAGUUUUUGGGCCUGUAGUCCAAACACCUGAAGGUGUAAAGUCAGUAGGAUAUAAAUGGGCAUUUGUGAGAAAAAGAAAUGAGAAAAAUGAAAUCGUGAGGUAUAAAGCAAGACUUGCAACCCAAGGAUUUUCACAAAGGCCUGGAUUUGAUUAUGAUUACACGUAUUCACCUGUAGUGGAUGCUAUCACAUUUAGAUAUCUUGUGAGUUUUGCAGGACAUGAAAAAUCAGAUAUGCAUCUAAUGGACGUCGUUACUGUAUAUUUAUAUGAAAAUUUUGAAAAUGAUAUUUAAACGAGAAUCCCUGAAGGAUUCAACAUGCCUGAAGCAUGCAAAUCAAAUUUUAAAGAUAUUUAUACUAUUAAAUUACAAAGGUAUUUGUAUGGGUUCAAACAAUCUGGACGUAUGUGGUACCGCCUCAAUGAAUGUUUAACUAAAGAAGGCUAUACCAAUAAUCUAAUACAUCCAUGUGUCUUUAUCAAGAAAAAUGGACUAAUUUUAUGAUAAUUGUUGUCUAUGUUGAUAAUCUUAAUCUGAUUGGAACUCUUGAAGAGAUUCAAAAUAGUGUUGAAUAUUUGAAGAAGAAGUUUGAAAUCAAAGAUUUUGGAAAAACAAAAUUCUACAUUGAUUUACAAAUUGAGUGAUAGGUUGCAAUUUUAUCAUUUAUUUUAUUAUUAAUUUUCCCUAUUACUUAACCCAAUGUGAAUUAAUUAUUAGAUUCUACUCACUUUUAGUAUUUUACAUAUAUUUCAGGGAGUAGAACGAAAAUACCAUAAUAAGUGCCGAUUUGACAGUUAUCAGGAAAGAGUUCAAGUAGCAGGCAUCCAGGGCAUUUUUGGAACAAGGAGAUACAAGUCCUUUUUGGUAAUUCGCAGAGCGCAGCAUUAAAAGGAGGAACGAAGGGCUGAAGUAGGGAGUCUUCUUCCCCCUGGGAGGAACCGCCGCACAGCAGAGGGCUGUCUGGUCCUCUUAGUUUUUCCGUUUCUUUAGUUUUAGCUUCGGAUUUUGACUUUUCUUCUCGUAGGAAUUUUGGGUAGCCUUGAGCUUAGCAACUUUUGUUGACCCUUUUUUGGCCUUUUAGCUAGUUUGUUCUUACGCAUGGAAGAUGGCUGAAUAGCUGAGGCUUGUUCUUUGUUUUUCUUUGACUUUUCCUUUUGGUUUGCUUCCUGCGGACGCCCAGACCGAAGGAAAACUAUGAAGUCCCUUUUGUAGCUUUCUCUCUUUAUUAAAUAGACGAAUUGAAUUCCCUCAACUUGCGAAUUGAUGGCCGCAGCUUUUGCUUCAAUUUCUUGUGGGUUUAGUUCAUUAAUUAUGAACUAAUUCUACAAUUCUAGUCAAGGGGACAACUGACGAUUUGGUUCGACAAUUACUGUGAGAUCGAAUCUGUUUUAAUUAUUUUCUUCAUUUAUUGGUAUUUAUAUGUUCCUUGAUUUUAAUUGCUAUGGCCUUGUGUAUGAUUGAUUAGUGCGCAAUAAUUAAUUAUUCAUAUAGGCUAUUUUGCUAAAUAGAGGUAAUUGAAUCCGUAAUUGUUCGUUAUCUCUAUCUUAGUAGCAACUGGCGUAAUUGGGUUUAUGUCAGGGGAGCAUAUGAUCUAGCUUAAACAAACCCUCGUAGCGUGUUUGUUGGUUAGGAUUGGGCCUUUCUAAUUAUUAAUGCAAUCUAGAAAUUAAAUCUUACGGUCGUACCUAGGGUUGUUUUUGGGUUAGAGAAAUAGCUAACGGUCGUACCUUAGCUAUCGAUAAAUUAAGGAAGGGUUGGUUGUUUAUCGCGUGCAUGACAACUAUAACCAAUCUAUUAAUAAAUGUUGGGAUUAUUUUUGCAUCAAUGAUCAGUGCAUGAACCAUUUCUGAAGUAUACCCUUGGCUAGAGUUUCUCUUAGUUAUUUCUUUUAAUUAAUUAUUUUCUGCAGUUAAUUUAUUUAGUUAGCAUUUAAUCCAAAACCCCCCAUACUUUGGACUCUAAAAGAAACAAUUACUCCCAGUCCCUGUGGAUUCGACCCUGCUCACCGCUAUCUACAGAAAUCACUUUUAGUUUGAGCAGGUAUUUAUUAUUGCACAGGCUUCGACGACCUGUCAAUCUUUGGCGCCGUUGCCGGGGACUGGUGCCAGAUUAAAUUGUUUCUUUUUGAGUUUAUCUUGUUUUCAUUUUUUUAAUUUAUUUUUCUCUUAUUUUUUAUUAUUAUUAUUAUUUUUUUUAUGGCUGCUAACAUUCCAUAUUUUGAUGAUAGACUGGAUUUUGUUCCUGAAUGGGGUUAUGAGACUCAUGUUUUUCCUAACGAUCAAUGGGCUGUUGCAAAUUGUGGAACUUAUUUUGACUCAAGUUAUUCAACUGACACAUGCCCCGUAUUUCAAGAUAAUUUAAGUUCUCCACUUGAUACUUUUGGAGAUUUUUCACCCCAAUAUCAAACGUGGUAUGACCCUUAUUCAAACGGGUAUGAUCAAGGAUGGUGGGAUAAUUCCAAUUUUGAUUAUGCGACCGGGCCAAUGGAUUUUCAACAGCAAGAGUCUCAGCAAUCAUCCUCCGUGUCAGGUAUGUCUCUUGAAGAAAUGAUAGGUUUACUAAUUGCUAAUUCAAAUCGAUUUCAUCAGGAGACACAAGCGAGCCUAAAUCGAUUUCAUCAGAGGACACAAGCGAGCUGUCGCGACCUGGCGGAUCAACUGCGUCAAUUGACAGCCAGGAUGCAGCGAUUAGAGGCUCACCUUGAAGAAUUGCCCUCGCAAACCAAUAUCAAUCUUGAGGAAGAUGAGAGUGCAAUUGUCCGGGCAAAUGACAUGGAACUGCAAGAGUUUCAAGAAAACGGAUUUAAAGAUGCAGUUGAAAAGGAAGCUGAAGUGCAAGAAAUGAGACUCCAAGAUCAACUCGUUCAAGUGAAUGAAUCCAGUGAACAAUCUCCAAAUGCGGUGACAUCUUCUCCACUCCUUAAUCAAUAUUUUCCUGGCUCCUAUUCUUCAACUCCUGUUACUGAAAUUGAUUUUAUUAUACCAGAAAAUUUAAAAUUUCAUGACAGGAAUAAGUUAAGAGUGGAGAUGGCAAAAUAUCUUGAACCAAUGAAUGCGUGUGAUGGAGGAGUGAGUGGAGAAUGCAGAUCAUUGUUGACUUGUUUAGCGCCAUUUACUAGUCCAUGGAAGCCCGUAACUCGUGUGCCCAAGAAUUACUCCAUCUAUGAGGGUUACCAGGAUCACGUUGAAGAUGAAGCAUUGAAGCGAGCCACAAGAUUUUAUCCUCCAUGAGCAAAACAUGAUAAUGUCUAGCCAAAGACAUUAAAGAAAGGCGCUCAUUGGGAGGCAACCCAAUUUCUUUUAGUUGUUUGUUUGAUUUUAUUUGUUAGUUUAAAUCUGUCUUCCUUGAAUUUGACUGAUUUUGGGUGUUAAUUUUCGUUUUUACUGAUUUGUAGGUGACCUUCAGUCAUGACGCGCCCGCGUGGUGACGUGCAGGAAGCUCACGAUCAGAAACUUCUGGGAGCUCUCUUACCCUCAUGACGUGCCCGCGUCAAGUCACCUGGAGAGUUCCAGAUUCCGUGCCUUCAUGGUGUGCCCACGUCACGUUCACGGGAGAGAUAAGUAUUUAAAAAAAAAAUUCAAAAACGAUUGUUGAUUGUUGGUUAUCUCUGCUUUUGAAUCUCGAAAAUAAAAUUUGCUAAUGAAAAUAAAUUUCAAAAAAAUAAAAAAAAAUUUUUUAAAAAAAAAAAUUUAAAUUUUUGUUUCACGGUAGCUUAGAUUUUCAAAUCCUAAAAAAAAAAAAAAACACAGAAACUCUUUCUUAUCAACGUAGCUUUAGUGUCAAAUAUUUUAAAAAAAAAAAAGUCUCAAAUGAAAAAAAAAAAGGGCUUUUCUUUUUCUUUCUUUUCUUUCUUUCUUCUUCUUUCUCUUUUCUGUCUUCCUUCUCCCCUGUUUCUUCUUCCUCUCUGUUGACCGAAGCCCUCUGUCCGCCGCCGCUGCUGAAGCGCCCUCAGCCGUCGCGCAGCAGCUCCUCACUCGAAGACGCCGCGGCCACAGCACCUCUGCACGCGGCCUCCACCUCUCCAUCGCGCGCCGUCAAGAGCUCCGCCGACCCACGACGCGCGAGGCACCAGCUCGCGCGCCUCCCCCACCUAGCAACUGCUGGCCGACCAGCCCCACCACCAGCCCGCGCCGCACCUGCUGGCCGACCUAUCAACUCCUAAGCUCGCGAACCUCCUCAGCUCAGCUCCACCAGCGAGCUGCUCCUCGCUCACUCCAUCGCGUGAAGACCAGGCGAGCACGGCCCGCAGCCUCUCACCGCCACUGCGCACCUCUGACCAGCUCGCAGCACCUCUCUCUGCCCUCCGUGCGCUGCCCGCGCGUGGCACCAGCGCCUCCACAGCUCGUCGACGAAGCCCAAGCUGACAGACCACGCCGCUCGUCCACUUCCACCACUCGCGACGCACAGAUCAGCGCUGCCGUUGGUUGCCCAACCUCCCUGGUGCCAGGUUUUUCUUACUAAUUUUGUGGUCUACGAUUCCAAUUUCUUGAUGAUGGGAUUUUUGAUGAUUACGAUUUCAUUGAGUAAAUUUGAUUGGCUUGCAUCUGUGUUACUGGAGCCCGUGGGUUGGGUUAUGACCUGCAACUGAUUUGCCUAGUCUAAUAUAAUUGUCAUUUGUUUGGGCUCUUGAAGUACUGUCUAGUGUUGUUUGUAUUUCUUAGUGAAUUGAGUUUGCCGUUUGAUUUCAUUCUUCCCUGUGCGUACACCAGUGGUACUGGUUGUGGUAGUUGCCUAACAUUUAUUCAUUCUCAUUGGUGUGGCUGUUGGGAUUGAAAGCUCAGAACUUGUGACUAAGUUGUUAUUGCCUAAAUGCUGACCUGCUAUUACUAGACUUGCUGAUUUCUUGGGAGCAUUUGUUGGGAUUUUGGGUGGAUAUUAGCAAGUGGUAUAUUGCUUGAUUUUUUUUACCUGUGCCUUGCUUGGAGUUUCUAGUGCAUGUUUGGGGCUGCCUUGGGAGUUAUUUGCCACAAUUGAUUGCCGUUUUGGUUUCUUCUGUUUCUGGUACUGCUUGUGCUGAUGGAUUUAUCAGUGUUUUGGGCGGCUUAUUUGAAUUGCUUCUUCCCUGUGUGUUUGGUCAGCUGUUUGCUUGAAAACCCAAACCCUUGUGCUUAUAUUUGCUCCCAGUUGAGUUAUGUGUUGGACUUUCCAAUUGGUGACAACUUUUGGGCUUUAGGGGUGAGUUCAUUUUGUCAUUAUUUGCUACCUUGUUGGGGUCAUUUUUGGUUUCACCUGAGUCUAUUGUCCUGCCUUCUGUUUUGAGUCCAUUGGAGUGACGUGAGUUGAGUAAUUUCUGCUUUUGUUUGUUGAUUUGGAAGGCUACUGUGCCACUUUCAUUGCUUAUUGCUUAGUGAUUAUGUCUAAUUAACAAUGUGCAUAGCAUGGCGCAGAAUUUGGCAGCAUUCAUGUAGCAUGCCGGUCUUAUACCUCAAUUGGGUACCUCUAUUUGGUUGGCUGCGUUCUUAUUGUCCAAUAUCUAUGCUGUUUUCAAUGGAAUUGCUGAUCUUGGGUUAAGACUUUAGCUGGCCAACUGGAGCCAUUUGUUGAGAUUUUGGGUGAACUGCAAUACUGCACUCGUUUGUUCAAUUGGGAGGUUUCUUUUGGUAUUCUGGUUGAGUUAUUUCUAAAGUUGCCUGAUGAAUUGAGAGACAUAGAUGGCUAUUGCUCUGCCCUGAUAUUGCUUGGUUGCCAGUGCGCAUUCUCUAUGCCAAGUGGCAAGGAUGUCUCAGAACUCGGCUUCCCUCCACUGUUCCCUCCUAUCCCUUAGCUGUUCAGCAGGGAAGUCUCGUUAUCCUCUUCGCUUUAAUUAUUUUAUUACCUCCAUUGAGGACAAUGUAGGAUUUAGGUGUGGGGGGAGCAGUUAUGGUGCUAGUGUCUUUCGUUCAUUUUCUUUUUCUUCUUUUUAGUGAUUGGCUCGUAAGUGCAUGCCAAGGUUUGAUGUUGGAUUAUUGCCUCUAUUUCUACUUUUGCCAAGUUUUAAUAAUAAAAGGGUAUCAAGUUAAUGUGGUUGAAUCCAAAAACAUCUCUUUGGUGAAUAUCAAUAAUUGUUUUACUCUUAUAAUUUUUUGGUUAACUUUCCUAGGCAUAGGGAAUGAUUAUUGGCAUUUUUAGUGAAUUGGUCCGGUUAUUAACCUUAGUUCUCCAUGUUUGAAAAUGAGGCUAGCUGAUGCAAGUUUUCUUUUGGUUCUUGUGUUAUAUUGAGUUUUUGUGAUUUUUAGCUCUGAAUAAACUUGACUGUACUCCGCUAUUAGUUACUACUGAGUAACCGGGGAUCUGCACCUAAAAGUGUUGAUUCUCGCGUCAAAAGAUAGUAGUUCCUAUGAGUACGUGGUCACGUGGCGAUAGAAGCUGAGUAACCGGGCUCCUUCAUCUGGCCAAUGUUGGAAUUCGCGUCAAAAGGCUCUAAUGGCUAGCGACUAAGUCUUUUGUUACUAUUGAAAAAAAACGAGAAAGAAGAAGAAGAAAAAAAAAAGAAAAAAAAGAGAAAAGUAGAAAAAUGUGAAAGAAAAAGUGAAUGCUGUGUUAGUGUAUAAUAAAAGUCAGCUUGCCGAUUUAUGGAUUUAAUGUUGAGAUUUUGGUUAAUAGUUGGACCAUUUGCUGAUAACUGUUAUGCGUCAUUCCUUUUUCUUAGAUUGGUUAACAUGAAAUUAGAGGAAUUUAUGGUUUAGAAGCUAACCGGAGUGAUGUUUCUUGGACUAGACCAUUGAUGCUUGAUUAUUAUAUUUUCUUGGUAUCUUGGCAAUAUGGUAGAUGGAGUAAUAGCCAUUGGCAAGUGUUGGUGUUUAUUUGCUGUUCUCAUGCUUGAGGACAAGCAUGGUUUAGGUGUGGGGGGAAUUGAUAGGUUGCAAUUUUAUCAUUUAUUUUAUUAUUAAUUUUCCCUAUUACUUAACCCAAUGUGAAUUAAUUAUUAGAUUCUACUCACUUUUAGUAUUUUACAUAUAUUUCAGGGAGUAGAACGAAAAUACCAUAAUAAGUGUCCGAUUUGACAGUUAUCAGGAAAGAGUUCAAGUAGCAGGCAUCCAGGGCAUUUUUGGAACAAGGAGAUACAAGUCCUUUUUGGUAAUUCGCAGAGCAGCAGCAUUAAAAGGAGGAACGAAGGGCUGAAGUAGGGUCUUCUUCCGCCUGGGAGGAACCGCCGCACAGCAGAGGGCUGUCUGGUCCUCUUAGUUUUUCCGUUUCUUUAGUUUUAGCUUAGGAUUUUGACUUUUCUUCUCGUAGGAAUUUUGGGUAGCCUUUAGCUUAGCAACUUUUGUUGACCCUUUUUUGGCCUUUUAGCUAGUUUGUUCUUACGCAUGGAAGAUGGCUGAAUAGCUGAGGCUUGUUCUUUGUUUUUCUUUGACUUUUCCUUUUGGUUUGCUUCCUGCGGACGCCCAGACCGAAGGAAAACUAUGAAGUCCCUUUUGUAGCUUUCUCUCUUUAUUAAAUAGACGAAUUGAAUUCCUUCAACUUGCGAAUUGAUGGCCGCAGCUUUUGCUUCAAUUUCUUGUGGGUUUAGUUCAUUAAUUAUGAACUAAUUCUACAAUUCUAGUCAAGGGGACAACUGACGAUUUGGUUCGACAAUUACUGUGAGAUCGAAUCUGUUUUAAUUAUUUUCUUCAUUUAUUGGUAUUUAUAUGUUCCUUGAUUUUAAUUGCUAUGGCCUUGUGUAUGAUUGAUUAGUGCGCAAUAAUUAAUUAUUCAUAUAGGCUAUUUUUUGCUAAAUAGGGGUAAUUGAACCCGUAAUUGUUCGUUAUCUCUACCUCAGUAGCAACUGGCGUAAUUGGGUUUAUGUCAGGGGAGCAUAUGAUCUAGCUUAAACAAACCCUCGUAGCGUGUUUGUUGGUUAGGAUUGGGCCUUUCUAAUUAUUAAUGCAAUCUAGAAAUUAAAUCUUACGGUCGUACCUAGGGUUGUUUUUGGGUUAGAGAAAUAGCUAACGGUCGUACCUUAGCUAUCGAUAAAUUAAGGAAGGGUUGGUUGUUUAUCGCGUGCAGGACAACUAUAACCAAUCUAUUAAUAAAUGUUGGGAUUAUUUUUGCAUCAAUGAUCAGUGCAUGAACCAUUUCUGAAGUAUACCCUUGGCUAGAGUUUCUCUUAGUUAUUUCUUUUAAUUAAUUAUUUUCUGCAGUUAAUUUAUUUAGUUAGCAUUUAAUCCAAAACCCCCCAUACUUUGGACUCUAAAAGAAACAAUUACUCCCAGUCCCUGUGGAUUCGACCCUGCUCACCGCUAUCUACAGAAUUAAUUUUAGUUUGAGCAGGUUUUAUUAUUGUACAGGCUUCGACAACCUGUCAUUGAGCAUUUGAAAAGUGAAAUUUUUGUCCACCAAACUGCUUAUACCCGGAAGGUAUUAAAGUAGUUUUAUAUGGAUAAGGCAUAUACAUUAAGUACCCCAAUGGUCAGAUCAUUAGAUCCUAAUAAGGACCCUUUUAGACCGCGAGAGGAAGUUGAAGAGAUACUUGGUCCUAAAGUACCAUAUCUCAGUGCAAUUAGUGCACUAAUGUAUCUUGCUAAUUGUACAAGACCUGAUAUAUCAUUUGCAAUAAAUUUAUUAGCAAGAUUUAGUUCUCGCUCACAAGACGACAUUGGAAUAGUAUUAAACAUAUUUUUUGUUAUCUCCAAGGAUCAAUUGAUCUUGGCUUAUUUUAUUCAAAUAAAUCUAAACUUGAAUUGUUUGGUUAUGUUGAUGCUGGAUAUUUAUUUGGCCCACAUAAAGUAAGAUCUCAGACUGGUUAUCUAUUUACAUAUGGAGGUACAACCAUUUCUUGGCGAUCUACAAAGCAAUCAUUAGCUGCCAUUUCAUCGAAUCAUGCUGAAAUAAUAGCAAUUCAUGAAAUUAGUUGAGAAUGUGUUUGGUUAAAAUCAAUGACCCACUAUAUCCGGAAAAGUUGUGGGUUAUCCUCCGAAAAAGAAAAUCCUUCAACUAUAUUAUAUAAAGAUAAUGCAGCUUGUAUAACUCAAUUGAAAGGAUGAUAUAUUAAAAGAGAUAGAACGAAAUAUAUUUCACCAAAAUUCUUUUUUACUCAUGAUUUACAAAAGAAUGGUGAAAUUGAUGUGCAACAAAUCUGAUCAGAUAAUAAUUUGACAGAUUUAUUUACCAAUGCAUUGCCAACUGCAAUAUUUAAGAAAUUGGUGAAGAAUAUUGGAAUGCGACGACUAUAAGAUCUCAAAUGAUAUUUGCAUCCGGGGGAACAAUCAAUACACAAGAAUAGUGUACUCUUUUUCCUUCAUUAAGGUUUUUAUCCCGUUGGAUUUUUUCCUAGUAAGGUUUUAAUGAGACACAUUCUUUGUGUAAUGGACAUCCAAUGGGGAGUGUUAUGAAACAACUAAAAAUGUGGAUGCCCAUUUGUAUUCUCAAGAAGAUCAAUUCAUAAUUCAUUGCUUCCAAAAGGAUUAAUUCAUAAUUCAUUGCUACAUUAUAUAAAGGAAUUACAUUGGAUGAACGGUUUCAAUCCAUAAGAGCUAUUCAUGUAUUGGAUGAACCAUUUCAUAUGGUUAUUUAUGUUCUUGUAGUAAUGAGUGUUUAAUAGAAUUGAUGUACCUUUAAUUUUGUAGUACCUAUAUAUAGAGGUACCUUGGCACCUCUUGGAUGUACUUUUUGAUUAGUUGGAAUAAUAAAAAAAUCAUUCUCCAUUUCUGUACUUUUUUUUCUAAUAUUUUAAUUCCUAUUAUAGUAGUUCAUUUUUUUUUUAGUUUUACAACAUUACUCAAAGAAGAGGGUUAUUGGACUAUAUGUUUAUUGACCUCUACUAGGGAUGACAAUGGGGGCGGGUGACGGCAAUGGGGGCGGGUGACCGCGGGCACCCGUCCCGCGGGGGGCUAAUGGGGAGAGGGAUGGGGCCGGGGCGGGGGGUAGGGGAGUGUACCCCCGCCCCAUCCCCCGUCCCGCUACCCGCUUUAAAAAAAUAAAUAUAUAAAAUAUAUAUAGGUAUAUAAUUAUAUAUAUAAUAUAUAAUUUAAUUGGUUACAAACUUAUGAUAAUAAUAUUAUUAGUUAUAUGUAUUAUAUGAUGUCUAUUAGUAUAAAUAAUAUAAUUGAUAUUAUUAAUUAUACUAAUAAUUAUAUAUGUGUACUCAUACAAAUUAUUAAUUGGUUAUACUAAAUUUACUAAUACAUUUAUACUAAAUCCCUAAUUACACUUAAUACAAUAACAUUAUUUUCAUAAAAAAAACACAACCACAAUAAUGAAUUAGUGAUUGUAUUUGUACCAAAAGUGAAAAUUUGAUUACUUUAGUUAUAUUUUUUUCAUCAUGUUGGAUUGUAUUCAAAUAAUUUUUGUUUGAUUGUUUUUAUAAGUUUCAAUUGUAAAAUUGCAAUGAAUAAUAAUUUGAUGAUGUGUUGAUAUUUUAGUACUUGAUUAUUUGCUAAAAUUUAAUCAUAAUAAAAUUAUAUAACAAAUUUUUAUUAGCUCAGCGGGAGCACCCGCCGGAGAAGCGGGGCAGGGUGGGGACGGGGCGAGGGAAGCGGGGGAUGGGGGAGGGGUCCCCCGCCCCAACCCUCUUCCCCAUCUCCCGCCCCGUUGCCAUCCCUAACCUCUACUAACUUAUUUAAGGUCAUUUUAUAUCACUAUCCAAAGAAGAAUUAAGGUCAUUUUAUAUCACUAUCCAAAGAACAAUUCUUGGGCGUUAACAUUUUUCUUACAUGCCAAGACUAUUAAUGAAAGUUGACCCAAAUCUCUCUCUCUCUUUCUCUCAAUUCUUAGGACUGAUGCCAAUUCUUACCAUUUAGAAAGAAAAAUUAGAUUGUUUAUAUAUAUGAUGAGUUCCCUCUAAGUCAUGGUUAAGAAAAAUUCUUAGUUAGACGCAGUUUUAUGAAAUGUGAAUUUCCUUUUCUUUGUCUUUAUUCGUUAGUAUUAUUGGGGUUAUUGUAUUAUGAUUGCAAUGCACAGAUACAUGGAUUUUUGACAUUUUUUUCUCAUUUUUUCUUUUUAAUUGACUCUGACUAUGUCUCAAACUCGAGACAUCAAACCUGGAGAAGACUUUUGUCCAAAAUGCUUGUAAAAAUUCAGAAGAAUAAUGUUGGACCUUAUUAUUUAAUAAUGGUGCAAUUAUGAGAGUCAUUCCUGGUUUAAUUAUCAACAUCAUGUCAUUAUUAUUUUUUUGUUUCAUAGAAAAAUAAAGUAUUCUCCGACUCGACAUUAUCAUAUUAUUUUCAAUUGGCAGCUUUAAGUGAGAAAGGCCGGUGAAAAUUUUGGGCAUUACUAGUUUAUUUAGGCCUCACGCGCUCCGUGAAGGUGCCGACGUCAUCUUCGUUUUAAUGGAAAAAUUUGAGCGCGCUUUGAUCAUAAGGAAUUCACAAUCAUCGGGCCAACAAAGAAAGCACUAAAUGGUUAAAACAAACCAUGCAAAUUUGCUCAGCACUUAAACAAUAGACUCCUAAACCGACCAUUUUACUGUCUUGCCAAAAAAGGGCAUUAAAGUAAAAACAACCCAUGCCUAACACAACUAACAAACUUCAGCACCUUCACUUCACUGCCACGUCAUCAACAACAUCUGUAAAUUUCCAAGGAAGUCCACGCACUAAAGGUGCCAUGGGGGACCUCAGGUUAGUGUUCUUAACAUCAACUCCUGUCUUUAUAUUCUUAGGAAAUAUUGAAAUUAAACAUUAUAACUAAUCCUGAUUUCCUUAUGCUGUAUUUGUACACAAUUUGGCAACUUGAUAAAAAGUUUGUUCCAAUUUAUUCCAAUUUAAUUUGUCAGCUAGUCGAAUCUAAUUUGAAUAGUAUUUAACUUUGAAAUUUGAUAAAAAGUUUGUUCAAACUUGGUUUACUAAAUAAACAAGUUAAGUUUGAACAAAAUUUCAAACUUAUUAAAAUAAUUAAAUACGUUUGAAUACUAGGGUAUUCAAUUUAAUUAGACUCGUUUGCACCCAUAAUUAAAGCAUGCACUUUUUUAUAAAUUUAGGAAUCAACAUUAUCUAUUUGAUAGCUAGCUAAUGGCCCAAAAAGUUAAUUGCCUUAAAUUCUUUUAGCAGCCAUAAAGUAUAGUUGGAGGGAUUCCCUUGAAAUUGAUUAGAUUCUUCUAUGUGACUGUGACGUAUUACUAGUCCUACCCAAAAAAAAAUGGUAUUACUAGUCCUUUUUUCUUUUUGUGGCGUGCCACCGCCGUAGGGGGCGGGGAGGGCAGUCAGUGCGAGAAUUCUAGAUGGGGUAGAAGUAGCCAAAGUUCACCUUAUUCAAAGUAAACAACCGACAAUCUCAGUUGUCGACUUUCCUGUCGAUUGCGUAUAUAUUACUAUCUUUUACCAUGACUUUAGAGGAUACCUAAUUUUGCUUGCUAUUAAAUAAUAAUUCCUGGCACCACAUAAUUCUUUCAAGAACUACCAAAACCUUCUUGAAAUCCCUCUUUUUCCUUUUAGUUCAUUUCCAAGAAACAAAUUGAACCAUCAUGGCCCCUGUCACUUCCAGUUAUGAGGUCACCUCCUCAAUCCCUCCUGCAAGGUUGUUCAAGGCCACCAUCCUUGAAGAGAAGCAUCUUCACAAGAUCUUGCCACAGGGCGUUAAGAGUGUCGAAAUCCUUGAAGGAGAUGGUGGAGUUGGCACAAUUAAGUUGACCACAUUUGUUGAAGGUAAGAUAUCAAUACAAAGUGAUUAUUUUCACACAUUUGAAGUCCUCAAAAUGUUCUUUUUUUUUUUUAACAUUUUAUUUGUGGGGGUAAGUAUGUAUGUAAGCCCUAAUAACCUUUUUUUUUUUGUUGGGUUAAAUAUUUAGGUGGCGAGCUUAAGACUGCCAAACAGAGAGUUGAUGGAAUUGACAAAGAAAAAUUUACAUACAGUUAUACUGUACUUGAAGCUGAUGGAUUUAACGAUGUAAUCGAGAAAAUCUGUUGUGUCAUCAAAUUUGAACCCUCUGCUGAUGGAGGUUCAAUCUGCAAAACCACUAAUACAUACUACCCCAAAGGUGGUGCUCAGAUCAGUGAGGAACACCUCAAGGGAGGAAAAGAGAAGGGUUUGGGAAUGGUUAAGGCUGUUGAGGCUUACCUCCACGCAAAUCCUACUGCCUACAACUAAUUAAAAUGAAUGCUACUGAAGGACUCUUCGACAUAUUUUCUUCAAGAUUGAAGUAUAAACUGAGGGUGUCUGUUUCCUUUUUUGCUUGGUUUGCUUAAGCUGUUUGGUUAAGUUAUUCGCAGCAAGAGAAUAAAAUAAUUCACUUGCUGUUUUUAGAUAUGAAUUCAUGACUGUCAGUAGUCUAUAAAUACACUUAUUGCUCACCGCUCUUUGCACCGCAAAAUCUUUUCAAGAUCCAUCAAACCCUCCUGUUCUUGAUCUUUCUCCAUUUGUGAAAAAACAAAUUAAAGCAUCAUGGCCCCGAUCACUUGUAGUGCUGAGAUGACCUCCCCAAUGCCUCCUGCAAGGUUGUUCGAGGCCGCCAUCCUUGAUGACCACCUUCUUCCCAAGAUCAUGCCACAGGCUAUUAAGAGUGUGGAAAUCCUUGAAGGAGAUGGUGGAGUUUGAACCAUUAAUUUGAGCACAUUUGGUGAAGGUUAGAUGUUAUAUUAAAUGUAGAACCCCAAAUUUAAGGAUCGAAUAAUAAUCAACGCAUGUGGGGUUAUAGAAUUGAAGGGAUAAAACAAAUACUCAAAAUAUACGUGAAAGAAAAGAAAAUAAUAAAUUCAACUUACAAUAUUAUUAAAUUUUCAAACAAUGGAAAAAAUCAUACCACAAUAAAUUCAGCUGGUUCUAAUAAUAAUCAAAGCAUACAAGGUUACAGAAUUAAAAGGAUAAAACAAACGCUCAAAAUAUAUGUGGGAGAGAAGAAAAUAAUCAAUUCAACACACAAUAUUAUUGAAAUCUCAAACAAUGAAAAAAGUCACACCAUAAUAGAAAACCUUGCUUAUUCUUCUAGAUUCUUUCUCUUGAGAGACCAACCUAAAUAAUGUCCUAUUUAUAAUCUACCAAACUUGUUAAGAAAGAAACCACUUGCAUAAGAAAUUACGAAAUAAAUUAGAAAUUCCUAAAUCACACAACUACUAAAAACAUAACUCAAAUAAAACUAAAAAAUAAAUAAAUAUUUCUAGGCUUAGUUUAAUUUGUCAACAUUGCCUCCCUUAAACCAAAUUAUUCAUUGAGAUAGGUUCAACACCAUCUCGAGCAAUAAUUUCUAUGCAAAUCUAUGUUGUAGUACAUUUGACAUGAAACUCUAACUUGUUACCAGUUAUUAAUUUCAUUUUUACACGUAACAAUGGACGCACUAUAUAUUUUGUAAAAAAUUUCUCAGCAAUUUCUUCUUGAUCAAAGUACUCAUUUAUACAAACCCAUUCGUCACCAGAAUCACCAUAUUUACCACCAAUGUAAGUGCCUAAAAUUAAAAAAUCAUAGGUUGCUUUCUCGCUAAAGUUAUCAUCACCAAAUAAUUCAAAAUAACCACUACUACAAUUAUCCAAAAUUUUCAUACUGUCAGUCAACUCUUUUGGAGUAAAAUAUUUUUCAACUCCGAUGACAUCCAUAUCUAUCAAAUCAAACAUUCUCCCAUCACUUUGAAGAGAGUCCGAACCAACAAAUUUUUCAACAACAAUUUCAUGUUCUCUUCUUUUAUCAAAUCAAAAUUUUCUUCUUCUUUUGUCAAAUUACCAUAUUAUUUUUUUCAACAAAUUCAUUACUUCUAAUUUCUCCAAACAAGGUAUGCAAAUCAAAACUAUCAAUUGAUUCAAAAUUUUCGAUAUCACCCAUAUUAUGAACAAAUCUAUCAUUUUUAAAAUCCACAAACCAAUACCAACAACUAGACUUCAGUUUGAAAGCAUAAUUUCUCUCAAUCAUGUGCAAAACAUAGUAAAUAUCCUUCCAAAAUCUCUAAAGUAUUUUAGUAUGACCAAUAAAGGUUCUAUAAAUACUUUCUGCCAUUAUUUUACGCAUCACUUGAAAGAAUAAUUGUGCCUUUUUCUUAAAAACAUGUUUUGACAACUUACUUGCAUCAACCCAACAAAGAAUAUCAUCCAAAUUGCAUUGCUUGACAUAUUUUUCCACUGUUAAAAUCCAAUUAAAAUAUGUAUGUCUAUUUGUGCUUAUAGGAGUCAAUAUGAAAAAUUUUUCACCGUCAAUUAGAUCUUUAUAAUAUUCCAUUAUUUAACAAUUUCUAUACCUGAAUAAAUUUUUUUCCUCCAUCCUGUCAUGUUUUCUUGGCCUCCCUGGUUGACUAACCAAAUUAUUGUUGUAUGUAUACCCAUGCUCGUCAAACCUCAUUCGUGUACACUCGUAAGGAGUGGUUCUGAGCUUAUUGUGAAUGCUUAGUACCAAGAAGUAGAAGAGAGAAUGCAUAAGAGAGAAUUAACUUGGCUAAAGAAUUAGGAAACAAUUGAGGGAUUUUUUAAGAAAUUAAUUCUCCAACCGCCACUUUUGGAUCUUUUCUAUCUACAACUAGUUACCAAAACACUAGCACAUAGUAAGAAAUCGGGAUAAUUUCAGAAACCUCCCUUGAGGCUUUUAAUAAUCUCAAGAAGCUCCCCUCAAUAUUUUAAAAUUACACGUACCUUCCCUAUUGGAGCAAAAGUACUCUACUACCCCUAAUAGGAUACUCAAAAGACUUUUUUUAUGGGAAAAAAGAACCUCAGAAAUCCAAGCGAAAGCAAAAAAAUCAAUUUAUUUUCUCUUUUAGCCUUUAACGCUUUUGCCUUCUACCUUUGCUCACUUUCCCAUGCCAAUCUUCCUAUAACCACUUUCCCAAUCCCCUUUCCCCAACUUUUCUCCUCUACUUCAAGACUAAUUUUUGUCCAUCAAUCCUGGCUUGUGCUUUGUUCCAUUCCCUUCCCUUCUCCUUCUUUGAUUUCCCCUACAUCGCCCUUUCUCUUUGCAAAAGUGACUAGGCUCAUCUCUCUCUUUUUUCCCCUUAUUCUAAGUGUAGUGGGUUUGAUUAUUUUGCAUCUAUUUUAUUUGGUUUUGGUUGAUUAUGGGUGAUAAAACUUGGUGAUGUCAAAUAUCAAAAGUUUGAUAGAUGGAUAUUGGGCUUUAGACAAUGAUUUGCUAGAAAAAAAUGGCUGCAAUGAGAGGAAAAGGCAAGGGGAUUUGAAUGUGGGGUUGAUUGUUGAUGAAUUGUUGUUUUGGACAAAAUUUGAGGUUGAGUUUUGUCAAAUUUGGUAGCAAGUGGCGAGAUUUGUUCAGGUUUCGGGAAAUAAAUUGGAUUGUGGUUUCUUGGGCACCCACAGUUGUUGGAAUUGGUUUUGAUUCAAAUAAAGGUGGUUACUUGAUUUUCCUAAUAGUGUUGCUUAAGAGCACACGAUCAUCAAAAUUCCUUAUUUUUAUCUUUUUUUUUUUGUAGAAAAGAUUUCAUGACUUUCGUGAUAGUCUAAUUUGGAAGAAGGCAAUCAAGGGAUGCAAUCAACAUUUAGCAAAAGCUCUUGUUCUUUUCUUUCUAUUUUUUAGGGUAAAAAGGGUAGUUUAGGGUAUUUGAAGGAAAUGAUAGUCUAUUGGGUCUAUUUUGAAGCAUAAAUAGUGAACGUAAGGGAGGUUGGUGUAAUUUCUGAAACCUAAGGGGAAUUGUCUAAAUUGUCCGAGACCUCAGAGAAGGUUUUCGAAAUUAUCCCUAAGAAAUCAAAUGCGAAACUUGAUUAGUACACACACACACGACACUGCACCACGGCACGCGUGUGUUGAGAACUGAUGUCCGUAACCAACGACAAGCAGGUUUUCAAUUUUUUUUUCCUUUCCUGGAUUCUCCAGAGAUGGUGUCAGCUUCUAUUAUUGAUGAGCAGGAGGAAAUCCACAAUAUACAGUACACAUCACCCAUAUUCUUUUUAAUUGAACAAUGUAUGAAAUUAUGGUGAUUCGAAAUUAAAUUAUAUGUUUAUUGGGCAACGAAUCCAAAAUAAGAAUUGGAAAUGUAUUGUGGCAACAAUUGUUAACUUAGGCUACAAAUGAUCAAAAUAAAUAUUUAAGAUUUAAUAUGACAUUAUGGGUUCAAAAUAUAGUUACUUGUUAUGAAACAACUAAAAGUGUGGAUGUCCAUUUGUAUUCUCAAGAGGAUCAAUUCAUAAUUCAUUGCUCCCAAGAGGAUUAAUUCAUAAUUCAUUGCUACAUUAUGUGAAGGAAUUACAUUAGAUGAACGGUUUCAAUCCAUAAGAGCUAUUCAUGUAUUGGAUGAACCGUUUCACAUGGCUAUUCAUGUUCUUGUAGUAAUAAGUAUUUAAUAGAAUUGAUGUAUGUUUAAUUUUGUAGUACCUAUAUAUAGAGGUACCUUGGCACCUCUUGGCUGUCCUUUUUGAUUAAUUUGAAUAAUAAGAAAAUCAUUCUCUAUUUCUAUACUUCUUUCUCUAAUAUUUCAAUUCUUAUUAUAGUAGUUCAUUAUUUUUUUAGUUUUACAACACGUUAUCAGCACGAGUCUCUAUUUUUGAAUAAAAAACUGAAAAUGGAGCCUAUACCUUAAAAAAAGCAAAAAAUGUGAUUCUGCUGAAAUUCUGCAUGUAUUUUUCCGGCAACUUCUAUCUACUUAUUGAGAAAUGGAUGCCAAAUAUUUGGGAUUAAAUAAUGGUGAUGAUGACAUUUGUCUCAUUGAUUGUACUACUACGCACACUAUAUUGAAAAAAAAAAUUCUUGUAUGAAAAUGGGAGAGACAAAUGUUAAUACCAUAAGUGGUAGUGCAAAAUUGAUUGAAAGUUCUGGAAGAGCCACUCUAUUUCUUCCUGAAAGGACUAAAAUUGUCGUAAAUAAUGCACUACUAUCUCUCAAGUCUUGAAGAAAUUUAUUCAGUUUUAAAGAUAUCUGCGAAAAAUGGAUAUCAUAUCGGGACAAUAAAUGAGACAAAUGGAGAAUUUUUAUUAAUCACAAAUAUCAUUUCUGAGCAGAAAUACGUAGUAGAAAAAUUACCUUCUUUUUCUUCUGGCUUAUAUUAUGCACAAAUUAGUGCAAUUGAAAUUUAUCACCUAGGAGACCAGAAUUCUACUCAUCCCAAUAAUUUUAUGAUUUGGUAUGAUUGUCUCGAAAAUCCUAGAUAUAUAAUGAUGAGGCAAAUAAUUGAGAAUUCACAUGGUCACUCAUUGAAAAAUCAAAAGAUAUUAAAAGCAAAUAAAUUCUCUUGUGUUGCUUGUUCCCACGGAAAAUUAAUUAUUAGACCAUCACCAGUAAAAGUUGGGACUGAAUCCUCUACAUUUCUAGAACGAAUUCAUGAUGAUAUAUGUGGACUUGUAGAUCCACCAUGUGGACCAUUUCGAUAUUUUAUGGUGCUAAUUAAUGCAUUAACUAGAUGAUCACAUGUAUGUUUAUUAUCUACUCGCAACUUGGCGUUUGCGAGAUUGUUUGCUCAAAUAAUUAAAUUGCGAGCACAAUUUUCAAACUAUCCAAUAAAGAAAAUUCAUCUAGAUAAUGCUGGUGAAUAUUCGUCACAUGCUUUUGACGAUUAUUGCAUGUCCAUUGGAAUAACUGUUGAACAUCCUGUAACUUAUGUUCACAUUCAAAAUGGUUUAGCCGAAUCAUUUAUUAAAUGGCUAUAAUUAAUUACUAGACCAUUGUUGAUGAGAUCUAAACUUCCUUCAUUUGCUUGGGAACAUGCUAUAUUACAUGUAGCAAUACUUGUGAGAAUUAGAUCGACAAGUUAUCAUACUUAUUUUCCCCUAUAAUUAACUUUUGUUUUUGAGUCCAAUAUUUCUCAUUUACGAAUAUUUGGUUGUUCGAUUUAUGUUCUAAUUAUACCGUCCCAACAUCGUAAAUUAGACCCGCAAAGAAGAUUGGGGAUAUAUGUUGAGUAUGAAUCACCUUUAAUUAUUAAGUAUAUGGAACCAUUGACAGGUGAUUUAUUUACUGCGAGAUUUGCAGAUUGUCAUUUUGAUGAAUCACAUUUUUCGACAUUAGGGGGAGAUAAAAAUCAACCGAAAAAGAAAAUCACUUGAAAAAUAUCUUUGAAUUUCCUCGAUUCUCAUACCAAAGAAUGUGAACUAGAAGUUCAAAAGAUUAUACAUUUGCAAAAAAUUACAAAUCAAUUACCGGACGCAUUUAAUGACUCCAGAAAAGUUACUAAAUCACAUAUUCCUAUUGCAAAUGCUCCGAUUAAAUUAAUGUCUUUGAAGGACAAAUUACAAAUGUUAACGAGUCUAAAGCGUACCUAAAGCGUGGAAGACCUCUUGGUUCCAAAGAUAAAAAUUCUCGAAAGAAAAGAGGAGUAGAUGAAUCAACAAUUAGUGACAAAAUUCAACUUCCUGAAGAGGUCGCUCCUAAAGAGCCAAUUCUUGAAGAGAAUGAAAUUAUAGAAAAUUCAUUAAAUUUUGUCAUUUCAGGAAAAAGUUAGAAUCGAAAAGAAAUAAUUAUUGAUAGUAUUUUUGCAUAUAAUAUACCACUUGAUAUUAUGGUAGAGAAUAAGGAUCACGAGCCUAGAUAGGUUGAUGAAUGUCGACGUAGAAAUAAUUGGGCAAAAUGGAAAGAUGUGAUCCAAUCUGAAUUGAACUCACUGGUUAAAAGAAAAGUUUUUGGACCUGUAGUCCAAACACCUGAAGGUGUAAAGCCAGUAGGAUAUAAAUGGAUAUUUGUGAAAAAAAAAAUGAGAAAAAUGAAAUCGUGAGGUAUAAAGCAAGACUUCUAGCCCAAGAAUUUUCACAAAGGCUUGGAUUUGAUUAUGAUUACACGUAUUCACCUGUAGUGGAUGCUAUCACAUUUAGAUAUCUUGUGAGUUUUGCAGUACAUGAAAAAUCAGAUAUGCAUCUAAUGGACGUCGUUACUGCAUAUUUAUAUGAAAAUCUUGAUAAUGAUAUUUAUAUGAGAAUCCCCGAAGGAUUCAACAUGCCUGAAGCAUACAAAUCAAAUCCUAAAGAUAUUUAUUCUAUUAAAUUACAAAGAUUUUUGUAUGGGCUUAAACAAUCUGGACGUAUGUGGUACUGCCUCAAUGAAUGUUUAACUAAAGAAGGCCAUACCAAUGAUCCAAUAUAUCCAUGUGUCUUUAUCAAGAAAAAUGGAUCAAAUUUUGUGAUAAUUGUUAUAUAUGUUGAUGAUUUAAAUCUGAUUGAAACUCUUGAAGAGAUUAGUGUUGAAUAUUUGAAGAAGAAAUUUGAGAUCAAAGAUUUUGGAAAAACAAAAUUCUGCCUUAGUUUACAAAUUAAGCAUUUGAAAAGUGAAAUUUUUGUCCACUAAACUGCUUAUACCCCGGAAGGUAUUAUAGCAGUUUUAUAUGGAUAAGGCACAUACAUUAAGUACCCCAAUGGUCAGAUCAUUAGAUCCUAAUAAGGAUCCUUUUAGACUGCGAGAGGAAGAUGAAGAGAUACUUGGUCCUAAAGUACCAUAUCCCAAUACAAUUGGUGCACUAAUAUAUCUUACUAAUUGUAGAAGACCUGAUAUAUCAUUUGCAAUAAAUUUAUUAGCAAGAUUUAGUUCCUCGCCCACAAGACGACAUUAGAAUGGUAUUAAACAUAUUUUUCGUUAUCUCCAAGGAACAAUUGAUCUUGGUUUAUUUUAUUCAAAUAAAUCUAAGCUUGAAUUGCAUGAUUAUGCUAAUGCUGGAUAUUUAUCUGACCGGUAUAAAGCAAGAUCUCAGACUGGUUAUCUAUUUAUACAUGGAGGUACAGCCAUUUCUUUGCGAUCUACAAAGCAAUCGUUAGCCGCCACUUCAUCGAAUCAUGCUGAAAUAAUAGCAAUUCAUGAGGCUAGUCGAGAAUGUGUUUGGUUAAGAUCAAUGACCCACUAUAUCCGUAAGAGUUGUGGGUUAUCCUCCGAAAAAGAAAAUCCUCCAACUAUAUUAUAUGAAGAUAAUGUAGCUUAUAUAACUUAAUUGAAAGGAGAAUAUAUUAAAGGAGAUAGAACAAAACAUAUUUCACAAAAAUUCUUUUGUACUCAUGAUUUACAAAAGAAUGGUGAAAUUUAUGUGCAACAAAUCCGAUCAGAUAAUAAUUUGACAGAUUUAUUUACCAAUGCAUUGCCAACUGUAAUAUUUGAGAAAUUGAUGAAGAAUAUUGGAAUGCGACAAUUAUAAGAUCUCAAAUGAUAUUUGCAUCAGGGGAAGAAAUCAAUACACAAAAAUAGUGUACUAUUUUUCCAUCACUAGGGUUUUCGUCCCAUUGGAUUUUUUCCUAAUAAGGUUUUAAUGAGGCAUAUUCUUUAUGUAAUGGACAUCCAAUGGGGAGUGUUAUGAAACAACUAAAAGUGUGGAUGCCCAUUUGUAUUCUCAAGAAGAUCAAUUCAUAAUUCAUUGCUCCCAAGACGAUUAAUUCAUAAUUCAUUGCUACAUUAUGUAAAGGAAUUACAUUGGAUGAACGGUUUCAAUCCAUAAGAGUUAUUCAUGUAUUGGAUGAACCAUUUCAUAUGGCUAUUUAUGUUCUUGUAGUAAUGAGUGUUUAAUAGAAUUGAUGUACGUUUAAUUUUGUAGUACCUAUAUAUAGAGGUAUCUUGGCACCUCUUUAGUGUACUUUUUGAUUAGUUGGAAUAAUAAAAAAAUCAUUCUCCAUUUCUGUACUACUUUCUCUAAUAUUUCAAUUCCAAUUAUAGCAGUUCAUUUUUUUUUUUGGGUUUACAACAUUACUCAAAGAAGAGAGUUAUUGGACUAUAUGUUUAUUGACCUCUACUAACUUAUUUAAGGUCAUUUCAUAUCACUAUCCAAAGAAAAAUUCUUGGGCGUUAACAUUUUUCUUACAUGCCAAGACUAUUAAUGAAAGUUGACCCAAAUCUCUCUCUCUCUUUCUCUCAAUUCUUAGGACUGAUGCCAAUUCUUACCAUUUAGAAAGAAAAAUUAGAUUGUUUAUAUAUAUGAUGAGUUCCCUCUAAGUCAUGGUUAAGAAAAAUUCUUAGUUUUAUGAAAUGUGAAUUUCCUUUUCGUUGUCUUUAUUCAUUAGUAUUAUUGGGGUUAUUGUAUUAUGAUUGCAAUGCACAGAUACAUGGAUUUUUGACAUUUUUUUUCUCAUUUUUUCUUUUUAAUCGACUCUGACUAUGUCUCAAACUCGAGACAUCAAACCUGGACACGACUUUUGUCCAAAAUGCUUGUAAAAAAUCAGAAGAAUAAUUUUGGACCUUAUUAUUUAAUAAUGGUACGAUUAUGAGAGUCAUUCCAGGUUAAUUAUCAAACUUGUAACUUGAAAAUAAUGUCGACAUCAUGUCAUUAUUAUUUUCUAGUUUCAUAGAAAAAUGAAGUAUUCUCCAACUCGACAUUAUCAUAUUAUUCUCAAUUGGCAGCUCAUGUGAGAAAGACAAGAAAUUCACAAUCAACUGGCCAAGAGAGUGCCAACAAAGAAAGCACUAAAUGGCUUAAACAAAGCAUGCAAAUUUGCUUAGCACUUAAACAAUAGACACCUAAAUCAACCAUGUCACUGUCUUGCCAAAAAAGGGCAUUAAAGUAAAAACAACUCAUGCCUAACACAGGUAACAAACUUCAGCACCUUCACUUCACCGCCACGUCAUCAACAACAUUUGCAAAUUUCCAAGGAAGUCCACGCACUAAAGGUGCCCAUGCCCUUAGGGGACCUCAGGUUAGUGUUCUUAACAUCAACUCCUGUCUUUAUAUUCUUAGGAAAUAUUGAAAUUAAACAUUAUCACUAAUCCUGAUUUCCUUAUGCUAUAUUUGUACACAAUUUGGCAACAAGGUUGUCCUUUUUUGGGCCAAAUUGGACAAGUAAAAAAAAGAAAAUUAAAAGGUUUAUCUGCAAACUGUAGUUCGGCCUGCCUCUUUUUUUUUUUUUUUUGGGGAUAAGAUCGUCAUGUAUCAAUAUUUCUGUACUUAGCAUUGGCUUCUUCUCGCCUGAAGAACACACGAACCACCGGAUGAAAGUGGUGAAUGAAAGUGCACUUAACCCUUUUAAUUUUUCAAAACAAUGCUUUUAGAAAAAAUAAUAAAGACUUUUUUGAAUUUAAUUUUAGAGAAGAAGAAUUUUAAACUUUUUUGAAUUUAAUCUUACAGAAGAAGAAGUUUAAAAUGUACUUUAAUUUUCACAACUGAUGAUGAGAAUAGCAAAAUGUAUACGGACGGUGACAAAAGUGCCGUCUUAUCCUUUUGCUGACGGCCCGUUUUCCAAUGAGAGGAUGCCUCUGCUUCGUAUUUUAUCCAUAUUGAUAUAUAUUCUUUUCUGUCCCCCUAACUAUUAAAUGUGAAAGGUUGCCCACCAAAUUUGACGAAACCGUUUAUCCUAAUUGAUUAUUAUCCAUAGGGCAUAACUUUAAUAUUCUUCUUCCAACCCGUCCGUCAAUGACCACUAACCACCUCUAAUCUAUUCUCAAAUUUUAAUGAAAUUGCGCAAUUAGUUUUCAUUUCUCACUUUUAUUUCAAAUUUGGUCUCAAUUUAAUGUGAAUCCCAAUAAAUAAGACCGGAGUUGAAAUCAAAGAACGUAUUUCAAUCACCAUCGGAUAAAUUCUUCAUGUCUAGUUUUGUCCUUGAGAUGCAUAGAAAAUGUAAGCUGAUCUUGCAGUCUACGAGAAAAACGAAGUCUAAGAGAAUAAUUUUGUCAAAACUUGACAAUGGAAUGAACCGGUGGUCGCUGGUUGGCAGCUGCUAGAAGUCAUAGCAGUUUUAAAACAUAAUUGCAGCAAGUAAAAGAUUAAAACUACGUUGUGUACUGUUAACGACUUACAUUGACAAAAUGGUUAAGGACAGAGUUGAAAGAUGAAUCAAACUGUUCGACAUUCGAUUCGAAUUUGACUUGGUAAAAACUUAUUCCAAUUUGAUUUGUCAGCUAGUCAAAUCUAAUUUAAAUAGUAUUUAACUUUGAAACUUGAUAAAAAGUUUGUUCAAACUCAGUUUACUAAAUAAACAAGUCAAAUUUGAACAAAAUUUCAAACUCAUUAAAAUAAUUAAAUACGUUUGAAUACUAGGAUAUUCGAUUUAAUUAAAUGCGAUUGCACCCCUAAUUAAAGCAUGUACUUUUUUUAUAAAUUUAGGAAUCAACAUUAUACAUUUAAUAGCUAGCUAGAGGGUCAAAAAGUUAAUUGCCUUAAAAUUCUUUUAGCAGCCAUAAAGUAUAGUUGGAGGGAUUCCCUUGAAAUUGAUUAGAUUCUUCUAUGUGACUAAAGAAUUUCGGGUGUGACGUAUUACUAGUCCUACCCUAAAAAAAAUGGUAUUACUAGUCCUUUUUUUCUUUUUUAGCGUGCCCCCGCCGUGGAGUGUGGGGAGGGUGGUCUGUGCGAGAAUUCUAGAUGGGGUACAAGGUGCCAAAGUUCACCUUAUUCAAAGUAAACAACCUUCCAUCUCAGAUGUUGAAUUUCCUGGCAAUUGCGUAUAUAUUACAAUCUUUUACCAUGACUUUAGAGGACAGCUAAAUUUGCUUGCUAUUAAAUAAUAUUUUCGGUAGUCUAUAAAUACUCUUGGUCCUAACUGCUUCUUGCACCACAUAAUUCUUUCAAGAACUACCAAAACCUUCUUGAAAUCCCUCUUUUUCCUUUUAGUUCAUUUCCAAGAAACAAAUUGAACCAUCAUGGCCCCUGUCACUUCCAGUUAUGAGGUCACCUGCUCAAUCCCUCCUGCAAGGUUGUUCAAGGCCACCAUCCUUGAAGAGAAGCAUCUUCACAAGAUCUUGCCACAGGGCGUUAAGAGUGUCGAAAUCCUUGAAGGAGAUGGUGGAGUUGGCACAAUUAAGUUGACCACAUUUGUUGAAGGUAAGAUAUCAAUACAAAGUGAUUAUGUUCACAAAUUUGAAGUCUUCAAAUUGCUCACUUUUUUUUUCUUUUAUUUGGGAAAAGCUAAUGACUUUUUUUUUUUUUUUUGGUUGGGUUAAAUAUUUAGGUGGCGAGCUUAAGACUGCCAAACAGAAAGUUGAUGGAAUUGACAAAGAAAAAUUUACAUACAGUUAUACUGUACUUGAAGCUGAUGGAUUUAACGAUGUAAUCGAGAAAAUCUGUUGUGUCAUCAAAUUUGAACCCUCUGCUGAUGGAGGUUCAAUCUGCAAAACCACUAAUACAUACUACCCCAAAGGUGGUGCUCAGAUCAGUGAGGAACACGUCAAGGGAGGAAAAGAGAAGGGUUUGGGAAUGGUUAAGGCUGUUGAGGCUUACCUCCACGCAAAUCCUACUGCCUACAACUAAUUAUAAUGAAUGCUACUGAAGGACUCUUCGACAUAUUUUCUUCAAGAUUGAAGUAUAAACUGAGGGUGUCUGUUUCCUUUUUUGCUUGGUUUGCUUUAAGCUGUUUGGUUGAGUUAUUUGCAGCUAUGAUCAUAAUAUUUGAUCGAAGUGUGCUUUUCUUGCAAC